rnacentral:lncRNA from 1 species
UCCAGUAUAUAAUCACAUAUAUAUUCUCACAUAGUCACAUGUAUAUUUUCAGUACAUAGCCACAUAUAUACUCACAUAAAAAAUAGAGUUUUUUUAUUUUUCACCAAGGGUAAAACGAUCUUUUUACCCCUGACUUAACACCGUCAGCUGCCUAAAACUGACAAAAGACAUAGAGCCAAAUAAGUGUUGUUUUGAGGCCAUAGAGCCAAAUUCAAAAAAAAGGCCAUAUACCUAAAGAAACUUUUUUCCACGGCCAUACACCUAAUUCUCUCUUCUAACAAACUAUUACAAUUGGCGCGAUAUGGAGUACCAAAUAUGACCAGACUUGUGUCCUUCGGCGAGUCGUGAGCGCCGAUAAUGUUCAGCCCAAUAUGCAAUCCCACAUGUGCCAUGCCUUUUACUUGUAUGCCAUUUUCAAACGGAUGCAAGUAGCAAGGAAAAGUCACAUACAUACCUUAAGCAGGGAAGUGGAAACGAAAAAAAAAGAAUCAGGAAAGGCUAAUGAAUACGUCUUUCAUUGAUAAAAACGGGAUCGGGAAUUUUUUUAGCUGAUGAACAAGACCGAGUCAAUUUAUGAUUAUAGGUUAGAUGAAAAUCUAAGGUGGACUGAAAUUUUGCCUCUUUAUUAUUAAGUAUAUACACUACUACACAAAAUAUUAUCCGAGGCGGACAAAAUAGAUUUACCAAGGUGGGCAUCGCAACCGCCUCGGACAUAAGGUCACAGUAAAUAGAGCAUUUUCCGAGGCGGUUUGAUGCCCGCCUCCGUAAAUCAAAUAAAAAACAAAAAAAAGAAAAAGCCCGUGGACUGGCCCGCUGAGCCCAUCCAUGGUCCCGCCGAGCCCAUCCAUGAGCUACCACCACUGCUGCCGCUGCUCCGGAGCCACUGGAGCCAUGGAGGGAGUGGAGGAGGCCGGAUCCACACCCGCUGGGCUCCAACCCACUAGAACCGUGGCCGUAGCCCACCUCUUCGCUGGAUCUGCAUCGUAGGGAUAGGAGGGAGGAGGUCGAAGCAUGGCCGGUGUUGCCAUGAUGAGGGGGUGGAGGAGCAUCGUUGCGGAGAGGCCGGAUCUGGCCACCACGCCACCAGAUCCCGCCACCACACCACCGGAUCCGCGCUCACGCGCCUCUAGAUCCAUGCUCUGGGCACAGGAGGGAGGGAAGGGAGAGGCGUCGACAUCGAGGGAGGGGAGGGAGAGGCGCCGGCGCCGCGUGAGCUCGGGCGCUCUGGGCCCAAGAGGGAGGGGAGGGAGAGGCACCGGCGCUGAGGGAGGGAAGGGAGAGGCCGCGUGAGCUCGGGGGCUCUGGUGACGGAGAGGGAGAACGAGGGGGGAGGGGAGGCGCUGUUGCUUGGGCACAGGAGGGAGGGGAGGCGCGUGAGAAAGAGAGGGUGAGUUCUAAGUGAAACCUUAGGUUAGAAAUUUAUACUUGAGCGCCUAUCGGGCCUCAGUAUGGGCCUGUUUGGGCUUUGGCCUUUUUUCUGAGGUAGGCAAGUUAGGAGGUGUGCCUCCGAAAAUAGAAGUAUUUUGGGGGGCGGGCUUUUUAUAAGGCCUGCGAGACAGUUAUUUUGUAACCGCCUUCAUAAAUUGAUUUUGCGAGGCGGUUCAUUGUGGCCGUCGCGGUUAAUAAAAAGUGACCGCCUCGGUUAAUCACACGCAUUAACAGAGGCGGUUUAUAUUUUUGCCCGCCUUCGAGGCCCAUUUUAAAACGUCUCGUAAAAGAUUUUUUGUAGUAGUGAUAGAUAAAAUGUCUUUAAAUUUAAGCAAAUAUAUAUAAUAAAAUCAUAAUAUUUAUUAUGUAUAAUUAUUAUCAUUAGUUUAGAUAAAUUGAAUCUAUUUUUAUAAUAAAUUUAUCAGAGAUACAAAUAUUUAUAUAUUCUUUUAUAAGUUUAGUUGAAUUUAAGUAUGUUUGACCAACAUGAAUUUUGUAGUAACAUUUUUUUUAAAGACGGAGGGAGGAACUCUUUAUGCAAAUGGCAGUGCCAAAAAAGCUCAUGUGAUUCAAGCUGGCAAGGUAUUGCUUUUCCGGUAUCCUCCUUUCCUUUACCAUGCUCAUCAUAUCCAGUUAUGUCUUUUUUUUUAGCUCGGCAUCACCGUCGUCGCGGCGCCUAAUCUCGACGGGGCUUUACCAAUUGCACGAGACAAACAACACAAGCGACAGAAAAUGGCAUUGCGCCACGAGCUGCCGGUGCCGGAGACUCGCCGCUGCGUUUGCCGGCAAAGAAGAGUUCCGCCGCGCGCCCUUCUCCUCGUCGUCACAUCACGCGUACGCGCCCGGCCCUGGAGUCAAAAAGCUGUACGCACAAGAGUCCACAGCUUCCGAGCUGAGCAAAACACAAACAACGGUCCAAAUAUUCCAGUUAAAAAAACACACACACAGAGUCCAAAUAUUCCAGUUAGGGCUUGUUUUAGUUUCCAAAAAUUUUCAAGAUUCUCCAUCACAUCGAAUCUUUGUAUACAUGCAUAGAGUAUUAAAUAUAGACGAAAAUAAAAACUAAUUACACAGUUUGUCUGUAAUUUGCGGGAUGAAUCUUUUGAGUCUAGUUACUCUGUAAUUGGAUAAUGAUUGUCACAUACAAAUGAAAGUAUUACAAUAGCAAAAACAAAAAAAAUUUGCGAACUAAACAAGUAUAGGCUGUGUAUGUUUUCGCAACAACGCACGAAUACAAUAUUCUAGUUAAGAAAACAAGUCAUACUACAGUCAAGGAAAGAAAAAAACCGUUGAAAACUCAUGUAUUUCGCUGGCUGAUAUUGUAGGUAGGACGGCAUAGUAGUAUAUUAUUUAGGGACCGGUAAAAAAUGAAAUUAUGCUUCCACUCCAGCAAACUACCUAUUCCACCCAACACAUUUAUUGAGUACCUAAAUCUCCCUCUCCACUACCUAUUCCUGUUGGGUCAAGGACACUACCUAAAUCUUCUCUCCCACCCACGUGCCUCUCUCUCCUAUUCAUGCUCUGAUUAUGGGACCCAGAAGUCAUCCUUUACUAAGACAAAAAUGGGUAGCUAGUUUUAGGUAGUAGUAGUACUGCUGGAGUUGAGAAUUAAAUCUAGGUAGUAUUAAGUGGGUGGUUACCCAAAUAAACAUUUAGGUAGUCUGAUUUAGGUAAACAUCGCUGAAAAUGCUCAAACAACCACAUUGCUGAAAAUGCUCAAACAACCAAGUCUAAGAGUACCAGGACUCAUGCCUAUGGCACGUGACAUGAAUACCAAAACUUGUCACGCCACACGGAUGUUACAGAUGGUUAGGUAAUUGUUUGGUUGACUCUCGUAACUAUGGUGUGCUAUAUUUUCUUAGCAAUAUAUCCUAUAAGUCAUAAACUCAUUUUUUUAUCAACCUUUACCAUAAAGUGUGGCUUUGAUUUUACUCACGCAUUUUUUUUAAUUAAUGUUGCAACACUUUUACUCUGCUAUAGAUGCCAUCGAGCCUGCGCUCGCAUCCAUCCAUCACCUGUUUCACAUGUUGUUGAGCAAACUCCCGUUGUUAUCACCUAAUUCGAUCGACUGUCACCGAUCAGCCUGGGCAACAAAUACCGAGAACCGAACCGAAAAUACCGAUAACUGAACUGAAAGUACCGAAACCAAUUUUUUUUGGUGCCUUGUUCGGUUCCUAAUUUUCCGAAUUUACGGAAAUGUGCUGAGUUUGAGUGUAGUUAUAUUAUUAAUAGUACUAUUUUAGUCUAUUAUAUUUUAUACAUGUGGUACUAUACUCAUAUAAUUGUGUAUGUAUUUGACACUAUUAUUCUUUAAGAAUUAUUUUCAAAUUAUAUCAAAAUUAGCUUUUGAACUUGCUAUUAUAUGUUUAUGUGAUCAGUUCGGUAUUUUUUGGUAAAUACCGGAACCGAACUGAAAGUACCGAAACCGAAUUUCCUCGGUACCAAUUUUUGAAAGAAACCGAUCCGUACCUAUUUUUCGAGAAACCGAUUUUCCAUAAAAUUCAGACAUAUAAAAGGAUCUUUAUGCCCAUGAUAGGCAGUUUUCUCAUGUAUACUCGCACUUGCCUCGGCUGCAGUAGGUACUACGUGAACAGAUCGCCGAGGACGCAGUCCAGCAAAUCUGACCACCUGCCCUAUUUUCUCCUCUCUCUCUAUCUCUGCAGCUGCCGUCAUCGCGUCUCCUCCGCAUCUAAGCGGCCAACGGCGACUCACCCCACCCCCAUCCCCGUCCCCGUCCCGACUCUCCUUCCUCUGCACCCUGCAUCGGCUGGUUCCCUCUCAUCAACUCACACGCUCACAGGUGAUGAUUUCUCUAUGUUCUUUUCUCCUGUCUCGCGUCAUAUGUGGAUUGGGAAUUGAAGAACCGCUUGAUCUCUCGUGGCUGCUGCGGCGUUGGGGCUACCAGUAGAGAGGAAUACUUGCUUCGUUUUGUGGGGCUAGUGCGGGUUCGAGGGGUGCGCUGGCGUUGGCUAGUCCUUGCCUGCUUGCCUGCUAGUGAUAGUUUGUGUCAGCGGCUACUGUCUUUCACGGUCCAUACUUUAUUUUGCUGGAUGUGGUUAGAUGAUACACUUAUACUAGAUGGGAAUAUAGGAUUGGUAAGAGCCUGAUAUGAUAUGGUACUAUAGACAAGGAAAGGGAAGAAGCCCCAAUAUGGAUUACCUUCACAUUGGUAAUGAAACUAGUUGGCCUUUUCUUGUUUUUGGAUGAACCUUAUGCUUUCAAUUGAGAAUUAUAGCAACACGUAUCCAUGUACAAUUAGCACACAUUGCAUACUAUGUCUACCUAUACUUAGUGGCGGAGCCAAAAGUUAUAUCAAGCUUGGGCGUAAUGUCAUAGUAAUACUAACAAGAAAAACAUGAUAAAAGAUUAUAAGAGGGGUUAAGUGCUAAGAGAGCACUGACUUGCUGACUAAGUUUAAGCAUGCUCAAGCAUUCCUAAUCCCUUAAGAGUUCUGUGAUGUAGUAGACAUUACAAUUUUAAUCUUAAAUUGAAUAAAUAAAGAAGAGAGUGGAGAGCAGUUGAGAAAGAGCAAAUGAAUACAUAAGUUUUUGUCUAUCUCCCCUUUUUCCUUUUUAUAGAAAAUGUGUGAGGGAAAUUUUUCAUAAUUUCCCCUAAUAGGGUUUGUAUUUUAAAAAAUAUUUUUAGAGAAAUCAUUAUGUUACAAUGUUAUGUGAUUGAGCCCUGUUAACAUUAGUAUGAUCCCUAACAUAUAUUAUUAUAUAUAUAUAUUAAUUAUAUAGGUGCUAAUUUGUCAAAAGAUGUUAGAAAAAAAAUAAAAGUUGCUCAAAAAAAUGAAAAAGAAAAGAGAAAAAAAUUGUAUGGGCUUUUAUUUUGUGGCCCAUCAAACCCAUGCACCGCUAAGGAUGGCAAUGGGGCGGGUUCGGAUCGGAUGAAGUCUAUGUGCACCCGAACCCGAAACCCGAAAUCGAAACCUGAAACCAAACCGAACACCGAUUCAGGUGAUAACUCCUCCUAAACCAAACCCAUGGAUACCCAAAAACCCGAAUGGAUACCCAAAACCCGCUUUCUAUGCCAACAUAAUAAUAGCAAUAAGUACUUUCUAUAAAUAUAUACAUAAUAUAUGUACACAUAUUUACAUGUAUAAACAAGAGACAAUAAAACAUAAAUAUUUUCAUGAGUUAGCUUAAAAUAAAUUUUAUAAUCUAAGUAAACAAGUUAUUAUUAUCAUAUUAUAAAAUAUAAAAAUUAAUUUUAGUGAUAUAUUUUGAAUAUCUAUUGGGUAUCCACGGGUGGGAAUAGAUUUCGGGGCCGUCGGUAAAAAAUCAACCCAAACCCACGAGAACCGAACCGCGGAUAUCCGACCCAAACCGGCCCGCUCCCAUCCUUACGCCGCCGGCUCCUUGCAGCGCAGCGCCCACUCUCAUCCCUAGUUAUUUGAACCGAACCAGACCGGCGGUUGGACCGCUAAAAGACCGAACCAGAGCUUAAACCGGUCCGGUUCACUUAAAAGACCGUUUAAGUAAUUGAACCGGUAAAAACCGGUCAAACCGGCCGGUUUUUUUGGAACUGGUGAACCGGCCGGUUCUAGUGGAACCGCCCCGGUCUGUGCAGUGGCACGUGAUCAUCUGUAUUUGUCAAGUCCUGCUGUGCCGCGUGGUGCUAGUUGGUAGAGCGCAUGCAUCGAGCAUUGAUGGGCCCCACAUUGAUGAGCAUUGUUGGAGUGAGUUGCAUGCACGAGCAAGAAGCACUGCAAUGGAUUGACCCAGCAAGCGGUUGUUGAAUUUUUUUUGAGUGUUGACUUUUGGUAGCGCCAUGUCAGUAUUACCUUUUAAAUUUUAAAAAUUUAUAACGUUUUUAAAUGAGCUCUAAAUUAGAUGAAUAAUAUAUCUAUUUUGAUUACCACAACGAGCUCUUUACAAUGAUGCACUCCAUUUUAGCAUUUAUGAUUGUUUUGCAAUGAUGAAUAUUUCUAUUACUAUUGUAGUUAUGUGUUUUAAAUUAUUACAAUGAGAAUGUUCACGUCUGAUGUUUUGAAUUUAAGAACAUGUCAUUCUGUAUCUGCAUAUGUAUGAAUCUUAUGGGUAUACAAUUAAAUUUUAUUGUCAACCAUCUAUUAAUUUUUAAUUACAUUAUAUAUAUAUAUAUAUACCGGUUAAAUGUAUUUGUGACCGGUUCGAUUUAGCCGGUCCAAUCCAAUUGAACCGGCGGUUCAAUCGGUUUUAAACGGUUGGACCAGUGAAGCAGUGAAGACUUCACGGUUCGAUCUCCAGUCCGGUCUUAAUAAUAACUAUGCUCUCAUCUCCCUCGCAGUCGCAGCGCCGCUCAGGCUCGGUCCUCAGCGCAGAUCUUCUGCUCCUUUCCCCACUCGCGGCUCGGUCCCAAGGAUCGGAUCUUCCGCGCGUCGGCGGCUCCCCCUCGGCGGCGUCCAGCGACGGAGGGGCAGUCCCAGGUUCGCGGCGGCGUCGGCGGCUCCCCCCACCUUCUCUCGCCAGUCGCCUCGCGCCCUCGCCUGCGUCCUCCGCGCACCGGCCGACGACCCUGCGUACGCACCUCCCUCUCCCCUCCCGCCUCUGCUGUUCCCGUGGGAGCCCGGCCAGCUGCCCAGGGUGGCCGGGCCUUGGCUCCGCCGGUGUCUGUACUGUGCGCUUGCGGAUUUCUCUUUGCUGCGCCCAUGUGCUUCCGCGGACAUUGAUGGAGAAAAUGGUGAAACCACUCAUGAUUUCUCUGGUCAUAUGAUUGAGGUUAAGGACGAAGAACUGUACAUGAUGUGAGAUUGGCCAAGCAGCUGAUAUUAGUUGUAUGGUUCGGAUUGGGUUUCUCAAGUGUUUCUGCACUGUACUAGUUCUAUGACCAUUUUUUUGGUGGGAUAUUUGGUUUUACAGUUUUGGUAAAUUCUGUUUGAAUGUGGGGUUGUAUUAUUGAGUUGGUUUCCGUAAAGAUCUGGCAACUAUUGUCUUAGAGAGAUGGGAGAUAGUUCAGAGCAUUCUUUGUGGACAAUGCUGAUGGCUGAUAUUUGAAACAUUGAAUUUGGUUGGUUGACCAUUGCUCGUGAUAAUUACUAAUGGUGCUUAAUUGUGGCGUGCCUUUAAUUGAACCCCUAUUAUUGGAAGGCCAUAUCUUUCCAUUAAUCUGCGGGGUUUUGUUUUCAUUUUGUUUUGACUUUUGAGAGGGUGCAUACCUCCACAAAUAGACAACUUAUUCCCAUUCCAGACAAUUUUAACCAGUCUUCUAUUUCACAUGCAAAAGAAAUUCUACUCCACCUAAUGUUCCUGCCAUAUUACUUCACCUCAAUCCUCUGCAGGGUCGGUUGGAUCAGUCACAUUUUACUGAUUGUUGAGACCAUUUUAGCUGUUGUGACUUUGCGCUUUGUGAGCUAAACAUUGCAAAAAGGAUAAAGAAACAGAAAAACAAAGUGCUGCAAUGGAUCAGUCAUGCUCCUAUAUCCUUGUGAUGGCCUCAUUUCUUGGGUUGAAAUUGGCUAACAGCUGUAUAAAUAAUCUGUUUAGGUAACACUAGCUGGAGAAAACACAAGCAUGUGACCCUUCAUUCAAGAGAGCUAAUGCAAACAUGGAAGGUUUGCGAUUGCACUUGACUACUUGACAGUAGUGUCCUGGAAUUGAUGGGGGCUUUUAGAGUUGGAGAUCACCAUGAUGAUGUAGGGUGUAGUCAUGUUUGUGUGUGUAUUUGGGUUAUGUGAACUUGCAUAUGAAUCUUCUAUGUUUUGGUUUGGGUUCACCAGGGCAGAGCCCUGACUAUAGAUUGAGAAGGGGCAAAGGGGGCCAUCCUGCUGCGGGAAGUGGUACAGUGCUGCAUGAUACUGUCAAGCAUCGAUGAGCAUGAUACACUGCAAAUUGAAUGUCCAAGCUGAGGAUCUGAUGGGUGGUGCCACUGGAGCUCAAGGAGAUGUACAGUGGUGUAAUGGUGGCAAGUUAGAGGAGGUGGCAGUGCUGGGUUGUGCCCACAGGAUAAUGGCAGCUGAGGUGGGAUAAGGAUUUUACAAUUGACAAAUGUGAGGAGGAUUCUUUGAUGGAGACCUAGUCAUUCAGAGUUUGAGUACUCUGUAAUACAAUGAAAAACUUCACUCAGAUGCUCCCUGGACGCAUUCGUGUCAUAUACCUCUUUUGUUGUUUAUUCAUUUGCAUCUGGUUCCAUCUUGAAUGUGGUCUACUGCUAACUGAAUUAUAACACCAUUGGAUAACUGAACUGCCAAGGCAGAAUAUUUUUCCACAUAAUUUGAACAGUGCCAAUAUUCUGCUUGUGGUGCAUUUAAUCAUUUAUGCUGCCUUUCAGAGUGCUUUUUUCCAGUCAGUAGCGUAGCCUGGAUUUGUAGCUGGGGUGGUCCAUUGCCUUGUUUAAAAUAAAAUUUAGCCGCUAUAAAUAUAACAUGGUGGUACACAGAUAUAUAAGCUACAAAACACAAUACAAUUAAGCUAGAGGACAUACGAACAUCACAAAAUAGACGAGUCUAGAUUGAUUAAUGUACCAUUGAAAGAUUACAUACCUAUAAUAGGUAAAGAACAGUCACAAGAGUCAGUGAACUAUACACAACUAGAUACAAUUAGCAUUAGAAUGGAUCAGACAGAAGUUGGGCACAGAUUGACAGAUACUCACCAUUUUCUUUAGGUUUCAACCGUGCACCAGGAAGUUUGCAAAAUGUAUUUCUGGUUUGCAGGAGCAGUAUGUGAGGGUGGUUCUGCUCUUGUACCUGUAUAGGAUAGCGCCAAGUGAAGAUUUUAGGUUUUCAUUUUUCAAAUUAAAGGUUCAUUCAUAGGCAAUAGCAAGCAGGUUGAUUGACUGUGAGGCAUACCUGAGGACUGAGUUCUCAGGUGUGCUUCACUGCCCGUCACUGCUGCCGACGUGUGCAGCUGUUGCCUGUCGGAUGUGGAUGAAUAUGAAGGGUCACAGAUGGUCGCACAGAGGAGCUAAUAGGUUGAGUGGAGCAACAAAUAGGAAGGGAUGCAGGCAACUGGCAUCUGGGACCAGCCAUGCCUGUGAAGGUGGAAGCGGAAGCAUCGUGGUGGAUUUUUUUUUCUCGAACGACACAGGAGAGCUGCGUGUCAUUUCAUUAAGAAAGAAUAAGAGUACAACAAGUCCGUACAAGGACCAACCCAAGAACUAAACCCACACACCCACAUCAUAUGAGCUUUUAGGAACGGUGGAUUAGGAAACAGAAUUAGAAUUCCUAAAUCCUAUGAGCUUUUAGGACAGUGUGCAGGGUAGUCCAUGGCCCACAGGAACCACCCUGUAGCUCCGUCCCUGCUUCGAGUAUCAAUCAAAUAUGCUUUCACUAUAGAUGGAAUCAAAUGUUGUAACCAUUUGUGAGACGUAAACUGAACACAAUGGAGAAGUAUCUAAAGUUUCUUUAAAAAACAUAGCAAAUGAAGCAAUUAUGGCACAUAAGUUUAUGACAUAGCUAAUGCAUUAACCGGCUAAUUUUAAAACAAAUGAGAGGUUCAUAUGUUGUAACAUAACUGGUGUAUUGACUGAUGGGUUUGUAGACUAGCUUGUGUUUAACUGUUUGUCUAACUCUGAGAUGAGAAGUUCAAUUGGUUGCCAUAAAAAAAUUAACUUGAUUGAAUUCUAUUUUUAAGCAAGUUUUCUCACAGGUUUCAUAUUUUGUAGGUUUUAUAAUUGUUUGCAAAAGGGCUAUAGUACUUGAUGAGAUGAAGUCAACAGUGUUUUCGGCAGUUGUUGUUUCUAUUGGGUAUGCAAUGCUUGGAUGGGAUUUUGCAGCAUUAUUAGGUAAUUUUUUUCUUUGCUUUAUUGAUUGUCAUUAUACAUUAAUCACCUCCAUUAGAGAUCUCAACUAUCUGACAAUCAUACUAACCUUGAUUUUUAUUAUCUGACAGAAGCUAAUCAUCAUAUGAAAAAAGAAUUUGAAUUGUUGAAUGGACCUUCUAUUGAAGGUAUAACUUUAGCUGCCUCAACAUUUGGGGCUAUUGUGAUAACAAUAUUCUCUGGAGCACUAUUAGAUUGGCUUGGAAGACGUGCCAUACUGGUUUACUCGUCUCUGGUAUUAUUUUCGGGAGGUGUGCUGAUGCUGUGGUCUCCUAACAUCUACAUUGUACUUCUAGCUAGGUUAAUCGUUGGAUCAGGAAGUGGGUUGGUUUUCACCUGUGUCCCUAUUUAUAUAUCUGAAACAUCUCCUCCAAAUAUGAGGGGAUUACUUGGAACUAUGCCACAGUUUAUGUUCUUCAUAGGAACUAUCUUUUCAUAUUGCCUGAUAUUCUGGUUAACACUAAUGUCUUCACCUAACUGGAGAAUCAUGAUUGGUGCAAUCUUUGCUCCUUCCAUUGUCUACUUUGCUUUGUUGGUUUACUACUUGCCAGAGUCACCUAGGUGGCUUGCAAGUGAUGGAAAGAUUAGUGAGGCCAGAGUUUCUCUGCAACGGCUUAGAGGGAAGAAACAUGAUGUUUCAGGUGAGAUUGUUACCACUUGACAGUGCUUCCAGAUUUAUUCACAAGCUACUAUUUCAUCUGAAUAUGGUUUGGUCUUAACUAUUAGGGAGCUGAGUAAUAGAUGUAGUUAUUGUGGGGACUUGAGAAAUGUAAAGUUGUAGCCAAUGUCUAACAGCAUGGUCAUACAAACUAAAUUUGCAGUUUUGGAAAUAUUACUGUUAUCGGUUGAAUUGUGGGAUCAUGAACCUGAUUUUUGUGGCAUUUAAUGGGUGAUGGUGCUAUUCCAUCCACCUCUUUCUUUGUCUGGUGUUCAUGCAGUCAGAACUAUGAGAAAUGAAGAGACAUGAUCUUUUGAUUUCAGCUUGUCAUUGAAGGUGCUAACUGAACCUCUUACAUUACAUAAAAGGCCUCAUAACAUAGAAGAUACUAAUAGAACUAUGUAAGUAACAUAGUAACCUAGUAACACAUGACUUCAUAUCAAAGAACUGAAUGGGAACUAAUUCAGUCCUCUUAUUCAUGUCCUAGAGAACCUUUAUGCUGUAAAAUUGUAUACAUAAGGAACGUUUGACAUUACAUACUGAACAUAGAGAUUGAACAAUUGGAUGGGGGUUUUGUUUUACAGUUAAAGGCUGUGAGACAAUGUUGAUAAAGUACCGACAAAAACAUGUCAAUAUAAUUAGGGGUUGAUGGUGGUUUAAUUAUACAUGAUGCAUUAACAGAGUGUCUUGUUUUGGUGAAUUGAGCCAAUCACUUCUUCAUAUCUAUUUUUAUCGAAAAUAAAGAAGCAUAAAUGCAUCUUGACAUCACAUAGACCUGCAGGAGAGAUAGCUGUUAUUGUUGAUGGUGUGGACAUCAUAUCGGACUCCGCUGUUGGCACUGCUCGAGCUCAAAGUUUCUCUGGAACCAGUGCUAGCCGCACUUGGCCCCGUAGUACUUUUUAUUGGCAGCUUUCGGAUCCACUAGUUGAUCUUCUCGGAAGCAUUCAUGAGAAUAUGUCAGAAGGAGGAAGUAGACGGAAUAGUUUCUUCCCAGUCUUCAACAGUUUUUCUUUUCCAGAACAUGAACAUAUGAAUGAGCACAGGGAUGGUAACAGUGAUCAACAGACUAGGGAGGCUUAUUCUGCUGGAGAAGUUAACAAUGGAGAUGGUUUGCGGGCUUCUCUGCUUUCUCAGGCAGCAAGUGUUGAAGUAAAUGAUGCAAAUACCUCUUUUACUUCUGAAGGGAGCUCUUCAUAUUUAAGAAGGCAUGGAACAUCAGUACUUGCGCAAGAGUUUAUGGCAUCUAUACAUGAUCAUGACAUUGAAGAAGAAGAAGAAAUCCAUGGUUUUGUAUUGCCUCACCAGUCUGCACCUCGUGAUAUGGAAAGCAGAGGGCGACAUCAAGUAGUCCGGCUAUCUGAAACAGCUGAUAUGAAGUUUAAAUGGCGGGUGCUUCUUCAACCAGGAAUCAGGCAUGCCUUGUGUUAUGGCAUGUUAAUUCAAGCCCUUCAGCAGGUACAAUUCUGUGUUAUUGUAGAUUUUAUAUUCAAUUCAGCAUGGAAUUAAGUUUACAAUCCUCCUGCACUGGCUACGUUAUAUAUAUAAUGCUAGUUAGUCUGCUGACUUUUUUUUGGGGGCUUGUUUCUUGUUUGCUCUUCUCAAAAAUACAGUCUACAGGAAUCAGUGGUCUUCUCCGCUGUGCUCCUGAAAUACUUGAACAGGUUGGAGUUAGCUUGUUUUCAGACAUUGGACUUUCUCCGCAUUCAACAUCAAUUCUCAUAAGUACCCUCCAAGCUUUGCUGAUACUCCCUUGUAUAACUGCCGCAAUGCUGCUGAUGGAUGUCUGUGGAAGAAGGUAAACUUUGAGACACCAUCAACAUUACAGUUUCACAAUAAUGUUGAUUUACAAUUAGUAGAAAUGCAUCCUCAUGACCAAGAGAAAGAGGUCUGUUCAUAGAUACACCAUCUGGUCUCAUUAUAUAGCCUUUUGCUGCCUCACCAGCAGCAUUAGAUGUUGUACCAUUUCUGAACUCCAAUACUCUGACAUUGUAUAGUUGUGAUUCCACACUCUGCUUCUUAGGUUUAUUUGCAUUGGGUAUCCUAAAAAAAUCCCUUGCCAACAUUAUCUACCAACAUUUCGCUUUGCCGGCUUAUCCAGCAACAAGUUUGUCAUGUAGUGAUCAUGAUUUGGAAGUAAAUAUUCAUUUUAGUUAAUUCUUUUACAUGUUUGUUCCUGUUCCUGUCUUCCUGAUAGAAACUACUUUUUAAUACAACUCAACCUUUUUUUGUAGGGUUCUUGUGCUGGCCACUACUCCUAUCCUUAUAUUAUCAUUGAGCGUUAUGUCUAUGUCCAUCCUGUUCAAUAUGGGACCGUUUGACCGUGCCAUCGUCUUCCACUUCGCAUUAACAGUUUGCUUCUGCUCCUAUGUCAUUGGUUUGGGACCAAUACCCAACAUUCUCUGCUCAGAGAUAUUUCCAACUAAGGCCCGUGCGACCUGUGCAAGUUUCUGUUCGCUUUCCUUCUGGUUUGGGGGCCUGCUUUCAGCGUACUGCUUGCCUGUGAUGAUGAGCACCAUUGGGCUUGGCGGAGCAUGCGGGAUCUAUGCACUUGUGUGCUGCGCUCCACUUUUUCUGUUCUACUAUCGGAUACCAGAGACGAAGAUGCUCAACUUGGAGCUCAUCGCAGAGCUAUUCAAGCUUUCAAGGCAGGAGUAUGUACAGUAGACUGUCCAGGACUCAAGGUAGCCCAGGCUGAGUGUUGAUGGAUGAUGUGUGUACAUAUGACAAAUGUAGCUUUGAUUGUUGAUUUUUUUUUUGCUAGUUAGGAGGAUUGGUGAUAGUUUAUGAAGUGGUUUACCCUUUUAUUGUACAUAGAUUUGUAGCAGUGUUUGUAGUGUUUUGUUUUAUUGCCUUCAGAUGUACAACAAGAAAUCCUUGAGAACAAGAUUCAUUUCUAAGAGCGAAAUAAUAUUGCUGCGGACUUACUCAUUAUGUUACCAUUGGUUCCUCUAAGAAUAUAUACAUUUUUAUUCUUAAAAAGCUUAUUGCUGUGGUUAUGAAAAAUAAAAACAUAUAUAAUUCCUGAUAGAUAAAGGUAAACAUCCCUCAAAACAUUACCUCUGCCCAAUUUUCCUCAGGUGAACUGUUAAGUCUGCAUUUUGAUUUGUAGCAUGUUAUAUUCAUGCAAUGCAGCAAUGAACAUGAAGCUGUUUCAGUCUUACUAAUUUAAUCCUUUCUUAUUUUGCUCCCUUGACUAUAUUUAGUCCUGUCUACAAAAACCAGGAAUCAUUUUUACCUGCCAGGGAGAAAAUCAAAGUUUUAGCCAUAUAGGCCAUCAUCCUCUGCUGUAAUCCAACCUUUUGUCCCAUUACAUUCCACACCUGCUCUGAUUUCUGAAAGAAGCUGGAACACCUCUCUGCUCUUUGUAUUGUAUCCCGUCGUCUUCUCCGUUGGUCGCUUGCCGCCUCAGCUGCGGCACCCUAUUUUUGGGUCCGAUCGAGAAGGCAGCAGAAGAGGCGUUGACAAAAACCAGGGCGAAGCAGCGCCACGAGAAGGGAGAGAUCAUCCGUCGUCCGAGAGAAGCGAGCUGGAAGAAAGCUAGAGGACAGGCUCUGACCACCACCACACCCGGUCAUGGUCACCCUCCUCGCCUUCCGGCUCCCACCUCUCUUCCUCCUCCUCGCCGCCGCCGCCGCCGCCGCUGCUGCUGACAAUGGCAACAUGACGGAGGCAGAGGCGGCGGCGAUGGCUGCGCUCGUAAAUCUCAAGAAGUCGUUCACGGACCCGACCGGCAGGCUGGAGGCGUGGUCGGCGACGUCGCCGUUCCCGCCGUGCGACGCCGCGAGCCCCUGGCCCGGCGUGCAGUGCUACAAGGGCAGCCUCGUCGGCGUCCGCCUCACGCACAUGAACCUCUCCGGCACGUUCGACUUCGGCGCCAUCGCCAAGCUCCCCCGCCUCCACUCCGUGAACCUCAAGCACAACGCGCUGUCCGGCCCGCUGCCGGCGAGCCUCGGCACCCUGCGCGGCCUCCGCGCGCUCUACCUCUCCUCCAACAACUUCUCCGGUCCCAUCCCCGCCGACGUGUUCGCCAACAUGCGGUGGCUCAAGAAGCUCUACCUCGACAACAACCGCAUCACGGGCCCGCUCCCCGCGGACGCGAUCGCCAAGGCGCCGCGGCUCAUGGAGCUCCACCUCGACCGCAACCAGAUCGACGGGCCGGUUCCGUUCAAGCUGCCGGAGUCGCUCAAGCGGUUCAACGUGUCCCACAACCGCCUCAGCGGCACCAUCCCGCAGAGCGUCGCCGAGCGCUACGACGCGUCGUCGUUCGCCGGGAACCCCGGGCUGUGCGGGUCGCCCGGCAGCGACGCCGCGGUGUGCGUGGCGGCCGGGCCGGCGCUCCCGCCGGCGUUUCCGCCGCCCACGGCGGCGGAUUACAUGGCCAUGGAGGAGGAGACCAGCGUGUUCGUCGUCAUCGGCAUCAUCCUGCUCGUCAUCCUGCUGGUCAGCGGCGCCAUGGUGCUGAUGCUGCGGCAGGACGAGAGGAACAGCGUCGCGACGGCGUGGGACUACUACGCGGGCAGCACCACCACCGGCGGCGCCGGCGCCGGCGCCAGCGGCUCCAGCAAGUCCGUGGCGGAUGCGGCGUCGACGACGGCGGCCGCGCCGCGCGCCGGGGAGGCGGUGGCCGUGGACAUGGCCAGCGGCGGGUCGUCCAGCAGCCACGGCGGCGGCGGCAGCAGCUCCGGGCGGCGGAUGGGCGAGUUCGUCCUCCUGAACGAGGACAUCCCCGCGUUCGGCCUGCCGGACCUGAUGAAGGCCUCCGCCGAGGUUCUGGGCAACGGCACCCUCGGGUCCGCGUACAAGGCCGCCAUGCGCAACGGCGUCACCGUGGCCGUCAAGCGCCUCCGCGACAUGAACCGCUUCGGGCGCGACGAGUUCGAGCAGCACGUCCACAUGCUCGGCCAGCUCCGCCACCCCAACGUCCUCCCCCCCGUCGGCUACCAUUACCGCAAGGAGGAGAAGCUCAUCGUCUCCGAGUACAUGCCCCGCGGCAGCCUCCUCUACAUCCUCCAUGGUUGGUUAAUUUAAUUAAUUAUCCUCCAUGAUUAUAUGAUCUGGCUAAUUAAUCACGUGAUGACUAAUCAUCAAAUGGCAUCCAUGGAUGGAUGCAGGCGACCAGAGUCCGAACAGGGUGAUCCUGGACUGGCAGGGGAGGGUGAGGAUCGCGGUGGGCGUGGUGCGGGGGCUGGCGUUCCUGCACGAGAGGCUGGGGAUCCCGGCGGGGAGGCUGGUGAGCAUGGACGGGGCGGACUUCGACGCGCCGCCGCCGCCGCCGCCGCACGGGAACCUCAAGUCGGGGAACAUCCUGCUGGGGGCGGACAUGGAGCCACUGCUGGUGGACUACGGCUUCUUCCCGCUGGUGAACGCGGCGCAGGCGCCGCAGGCCAUGUUCGCGUUCCGGUCGCCAGAGGGCACCACGCGCGGGGUGGUGUCGGCGCGCUCCGACGUCUACUGCCUCGGCGUCGUGCUCCUGGAGCUCGUCACGGGCCGGUUCCCGUCGCAGUACCUCCUCAGCGCGCGCGGCGGCACCGACGUCGUGCACUGGGCGGCCACGGCCGUCGCCGAGGGCGGCGAGGCGGAGCUCGUCGACCCCGCCAUCGCCGCCGCCGGAGGGGACGCCGCCGUCAGGCUGCUCCGGGUCGGCGUGCACUGCGCUAGCCCCGAGCCCGAGUGCCGGCCCAGCGUCGCCGAGGCCGCGUGGAUGGUGGAGGAGAUCGGCAGCGCCGCCGGCGGCGCGUCGUGAAUCGUGAUCACGGACGCACAAACGUCACUGGUGCAUUGGAGUGUGGCACGUCCACGUACGCACGGGUGGAGUCGAGGACAUGCAUGCAUGGGGAGGACCUCGGUCGUCAGAUCCUGGCCGUUGAUCAGAGAUGUCGAAUGGGUAUGGUUGCGCCACGUGUACAUUACGGUUGUGGUCCGAAUUUGUGUGUAAAGGAAAAAAAGGACUAAAAUGAAAGAGGGAGACGAGGAGCUGGGGGUGUACGCAUGCCAUAUUUGAAAAAACCUAGGGGCCAUUUCUUCUAGUGGAGGAGAGCGUUUACGACCAUACUUUAUAUCAAGGGAUCAAAGAUCAUGUGUCCUAUUGUGUGUGCAUGUCAAAAGCAGCGUUUUGUCUUAGGAUGCUAUGGGUUUGUUGUAAUUAAGGAUACAUGUAUUUUAGCUUUCAAAUUGGUGUCUAAUUUUGAGUAAAAAUGUCACGAGCUACUCUGUCUUUAGUAAAAUCACAACUAAAUCUCACAUUUCAGAAGUAGUCUACCGACGCUCGGUGGUGGACCUCAUCAAUUUUCACAUCUAGAGCCAUUCUGAAAGUACAUACUCCUAUGCUAGGCCCAAAUAUGCUCCUCUUGGCCCAAAUCAAGCGGAGUCUUCUUAGUCAUAAUUUUUCUUAGGCUAGUUCUAAUAAAAAUUUCAUCUCCAUCUAAUAAGGUGGCACAUCAAUGAAAAUGAUGAUGAUGUAACAUCUGAAUUAUAAGUAGAGAGAGGAGUUAAGUUUUAUCCAGAUGAAAUCUAUAGCGUGCAUGGUUAGUUGGUUACUAAUGCAUCGGACACGUAGUGAGGCUCCACUGAGAGCGUUUUAUUUCAUCCACACACAUUACAAAACGAGUGAACCACUAGAAGCAUUUCAUUUCAUGCCACCGUGCAACGGUAAUUAAAUGCACAAGCCUAUGAAACUAUGCACUGUAAGUCUUCUUGUUUUAUUUCGUCACCUAAAAUCCACUUUUGAAAACAAUGCAAUGGAUGUCCAAAUAUUGUUGAAAAAAACCUUUUGUUUCUCCAGCCGCACUAUAAUUAUAACUUAUAAACUUUAUGGAAAAAUAGUGAUCAUCAAACGACGCUUUGGCCGAGUGGUUAAGGCGUGUGCCUGCUAAGUACAUGGGGUUUCCCCGCGAGAGUUCGAAUCUCUCAGGCGUCGUUGUUUUUAUGUCUAUAUUUAUCCUUUUUUUUGCCCAACGUAUAUUAUUAUGUAUAUAAAUUCAUUAUUACCUUCAAAUUAUUUUUGUUAUUAUUAGAUAGCGUGUCCAUGCCUUGCUAUAAGAUAGCUAAUAUUUUGUACUAAAAACAUAGGAUCGCACUAUAAGAUAACAAUACUAUAAAAUUAAAUACCAAUGUUAAAAUAACAGUUAAUCUAAAAAGCAAAGUUUAUGAAAUUAACAAUCACAAAAAGUGUGGUGUUGUAGGCUCACAAACUCUAUUGUAUAGACCUUUCCAUAAUACAGCUAAGAUAAUAUUUUGUAUCAGUAGGAAGAAAUUUUCGAUAUCUAUUUCUUUUAUACAUCAAUAAAUUUUAAAAUAAAUUCCGCCACAUCUCUGUACUAUCCUGUACAUAGGUUUGAUUUGAGUAUAUGUGCUGUCACAUAGUCAAUACUAUGUGUCUUGAAACAUCUCACAACCUUAAAACAAAUAUACAAAUAUGUUAUACUCACCGUAUAAACCUUUUCAACAAUUACAUUACAACUUCACUAAUUACAAUACAAUAACAACACAUCUGACAAGAAAUGUAUAUUGUAUCUCUAAUUUUUUUUGAUAAAACUGACCACAAGUUUCUUGAAAGAUGGCGGACACCCUGUGCCGUUGUAGCCCCAGCCGAGCCACCACUGGUGAUAUGUUGUGCAACAACCUCUAAUGUUUGACAAUAUCCUGUUCCUCAAAUGCAAUGAAUGUUAGUGCUUAUUCACUUGUCCUCAGAUAUUUGCAUGCAGAGAGGCAGUAGUAACACCUCCAACAAUUCAAUGAUGAGUAAAAACCAACCCUUUUUCCAAAGCAGUGUCAAAAUAAUUAGAGGGCUAAUAAGUAAUUAUAGAGAUUAUAAAACACUCACAUUACUUUUUUAGGGGAUACUGACAUUAUACUCAACAGAGUUGUGUCCUAAAAAUCCCCUAAAAUGAUCCACAACACAUGCAAGAUCACCAAAAUGUUAGCACCGAACGUUGAAUAGUGUUUAGCCACAUCUGAUGAGCAGCGUUCGAUGCUCUCAGGAAUGACCAGACACGCAUGUCCCUGCGUUCGGUGCUUAACCCUAGGUGAAACUCUCUGUGUGUUGCAAGUCACUACUGACCGGAAGCACGCCUAGCGUUCGGUGCUCACGCCUGUUGCAUUUGGUGUGUAGUUCUCAGUGAGAAACACUCCCGCGACUUCACUACCUUUUCAAGCCACCUCCGACACAGUGGAAAAUAGGCAAUUCAUUUUCACAAAGACGCUGAACCCCUUUCUAUCUCUCAAACUCCAUCUACUUUGCAAAUGUGCCAACACCAACAUGUGUACCAUUAUGUGCAAGUGUGUUAGCAAUUACACAAGCAUUUUCUCAAAGGAGUUAGCACUCACACUAGAUCUUACUGCAUAUGCAAAGAGUUAGAGCAUCUAGUGGCACUUUGACAACCGCAUUUCAAUACAAGUUUCAUCACUCUUCAUAGUAUGGUUAUCAAUCCUAAAUCACUCGCACCCUCUAUGGUGUCUUAAGUGUAAACCAAAAAGCUCAUAACCAAUUAUACCUUUGCCUUGAGCUUUUUAUUUUUCUCUUUCUUCUUUUUCAGGCCUGAGCACUUGAUCACCUUGGUUCCACCAUCACCAUGAUGAUCAUCACCCAUGUUGCUCACCACUUGGAGUGUGCUUUCCUAUCUCAUGAAUACUUAGAGCAAUAGGUUAGCGCAUAGGGUUUCAUCAAUUUACCAAAACUAAACUAGAGUUCUCACGUAUUACAUCUAUUCAUCAAUUGACCAAAAACUCCCAUAUAUAGCUUGUGUUUCCUGUUAUUUAUUAAACAAUGUCUAAUAAUAUAUUGACUAAAUAAUAGAUAAAAUAGAACACCAAUAGCUUGUAUAUCGUCCACACCUUGUAGAACCAAACAAAUCACCUAGUGCCUUAUAGGAUUUCAUUAACCUAUUGGUUGAAUCAUUAUAAUCUGACAUAACCUCAAGUGUUUGGAAUACGUAGAGAUUAUUUUGUAUAUUUAUUAUUACUUAAUAAGUCAAUGUCCUAUUAUCCCGGGAUUUAAACGCUCGCCCACAGGCAUGUGGCAUGCCCACCUCUUAUACCUCCCUCCCUCCCUCCCUCCCUCUCUUAGAUAUUCGAUAACCUCCUCCCUGGCGGUGACCUGCUCCCUGUGGCCACACUUGUGCCCCGCCUUCUCCCACACGGCCCCCCUCUCUCCUCUAUGGCAGCAGUGACAGUGCUGACGAGGUCGACCUUCUCCUCGUGGAUAUGCUCUUAUGGUUCCGGCGAGCUCUCUCUCUCAUCUUUCCAAACUCCAACAUCCUUAGAAGAAAAGAGGUUUGGGGGAGGAAGGCCGUCCAAGUGGUGGGAGACCGACAGGCGAUUUAGGGGACGUGGAGGCGGGAGGCACCCGGGGUAGGAGGCACUCGGCCUAGGUCGGGGCAAGGGCGCUAGGGCCACGGCAACUGCAGCGGGGCGGGGGAGGGGGGGUGUUAGGCGAAGGGAGAGAAGGUGGGGUCCUGGUUGCGGAGCUCCGACUUGCUGCAGCAGGGGCGAGGGCCAUUGUAGAGGGAGAAAGCGCCAGCUAAGAGGAAGAAGAGGAAGGGGGCGAAAUGAGGAAAGAGACGGCUGUGCUUGGCGCCAAACGCACGCACGGCUGCACGGUAGCCACGUCCAUUACUAUAAUCAGAGGGUGAUAUAAACACACCGCUAAUCAAAUGGCGGUCCCACACCCUAUCUCCGGAGAUCUUUCAGUCAACACCUUUUCUUUUAUCGGUUUCACUUUCAGCCCGUGUGAUUGAUGGUUCAGUUCAAGAAAUCUUUGGCCCUCUAUUCACAUCCACGUUCCCAUUGGGACUCUUUGAUCAGAGUCUGCUCCUGAUCCCAACAUCCCAGCGGCCCAAUCUCAAAAAGAAAAAAAAAGAAGUCAACGGCAGCACGGCGACUCAACAGUGGCUUCCAUCGAUUCAAGCUCAAGCUAGCGACGGUCCCUCAGAUCCGGCGAAGAGCGGCCGCGCCGUACCCCACCGCCGGGGACACCGGUCAGUACAGUACGUUCUCCUCCCUCCAGGCUGGCUCUUUCGCUCGCCGCCGUUCUUUAUCUCAAGAUCAAGGUCGUCGCGUCGCCCACAUUCUAUUCUUUGUGUUCUAGAGCACACAAAUAGUACUAUACACAGCAAUCUUUUACAUGGAGGUCGUGACGGGGGUGCUGACGGGGCUUGUCUUCAAGCUUGGUAAACUGCUGGUGGGCGAGUACAAUCUGCAGAAGGGAGUGAAGGGGGAGAUCAUGUUCCUCCAACCUGAGCUCCAGAGCAUGCAGGGCGCCCUCAAGGAGAUAUCCAAAGCUCCGUCAGACGAGCUUGACCACCAGGACAGGAUCUGGGCCAGCGAAGUGCGAGAGCUGUCCUACGACAUAGAGGACAGCAUCGACAUGUUCGUGGUGCGCUGCGAGGGCGGUCAGCAGCUCCUCGCAGCACCGGAUGGCAUGAGAGGGUUCAUCGAUAGGAGCCUUGAUCUGCUGACAAGGUUCCGUGUUCGCCGUCAGGUUGCCAUGGACAUCAGAGACAUCAAGAGGCGUGUCAUAGAGGCGCGCGAGAGGCGCGAGGCGUACAAGAUCGACGGUGUUGGUGGAGCUCGGCCUGAUGUUGUUGAUCCUCGGUUGUUGGCUCAUUACACAGCGGUGACAGAGCUCGUUGGCAUCGAUGACGCUAGAGAUGAGCUAAUCAAGGUUCUGACGGAUGAUGGGAGCCAAGAAGCUUCCAAACAGCAUGGCAGGGUAGUUUCCAUUGUUGGGUGUGGAGGCCUGGGAAAGACCACUCUGGCUAAUGUUGUGUACCAGAAGAUCAGAACGCAAUUUGAUUGCUGGGCUUUUGUUUCAGUGUCUCAAACUCCUGACAUGAGGAGAUUAUUCGAGGGUAUACUCUCUGAACUUGGCAAGGACAUCAACGAAGAAACACGGGAUGUGAGGCACUUCAUUGAUGCAAUCGGAAAAUUCCUUCAGACAAAGAGGUAGUACUCCUUUGAAUGAAUGUACUGUUUUCCAAUGUUAAUCUACGCCACAUGUCUCACAUCUGAAUUUUACGUAUGACAUGCCAUUGUUAUGUGUGCAGGUACUGCAUUGUUAUUGAUGACAUAUGGGAUAUCUCAGUUUGGAAAAUGAUUAGGUGUGCUUUGCCUGAUAAUAUGGGUGGAUAUGUAAUUAUCACAACUACCCGUAAUUUCAAGGUAGCUGAAGAAAUUGGUGGCGCUUACAGCAUGAAAGCCCUCUGUCAUGAAAGCUCCAGAAAAUUAUUUUAUACAAGAAUAUUUGGCAAUGAAGAAAAAUACAAAUGUCCUGAUGAGCACCUAACAGAAGUAUCUCACAGAAUAUUGAAUAAAUGUGCCGGUGUGCCAUUAGCUAUCAUUACGAUAGCUAGUUUGUUGGCUAAUAAAGCAAGAGACAAAAUGGAGUGGCUCGAGGUGUACAACUCUAUUGGUACCGGACUCGAGGAUAGUACAGAUGUUGAGAAUAUGAGAAAGAUUUUGGCAUAUAGCUACUAUGAUCUGAAAUACCAUCUGCGGGUUUGCUUACUAUAUUUAAGUAUGUUUCCAGAAGAUUACCCAAUUACAAAAAAUCAUUUGAUAUGGAUGUGGAUAGCUGAAGGUUUUGUACAAUGUGAACAAGGGAAGAGCUUAUUUGAACUUGGAGAGUGUUACUUCAAUGAGCUCAUAAACACAAGUAUGAUCCAGCCUGUGUACGACAGGCAUGAGGCCAUGAUUGAACAUUGCCGUGUACACGAUAUGGUUCUUGAAGUUAUCCGUUCCUUGUCAAAUGAAGACAAUUUUGUUACCAUAUUGAACAAUGAGCACAGCACAUCAUCUCAAUCGAAAAUGUUUCGAAGGUUGUCCCUUCAGAACAGUGUUGUACACCUGGCUAGUCCAUUCCCUAGUACGAGCAUGCUACAAGUGAGGUCAGUUAUUACCUUUUCAUCUGCUCUUGAUCAAAUGCCGGCCCUUGCAAGCUUCAGGGUUUUGCGUGUACUAAAUUUAAAAGGUAGUUAUCUCCCACAAGGUUGCGAUCUUAAGCAUCUUGGAAAUCUAUUUCACUUGAGGUAUUUGGGACUUGGACGGACUUAUACUAAUGAGCUACCUGAAGAAAUAGGAAACCUGCGUUAUCUACAAACAUUGGACGUAGUGGGAAGCUACAUUGGUAGCCUGCCAUCAACUGUUGUUCAGCUAAGACAUUUGAUGUGUCUUUGUGUCGACCAAAAUACAAGAGUGCCAAACGGGAUUGGGAGACUAACAGCCCUCGAAGAGCUCUCAACGUUAUACACCUGCGACGAAUCCACGGAUAUCCCAGAAGAGCUGUGCCAUCUAACAGAACUGCGGGUGCUAGAACUUUUCUUCUGGAACAACACCUUGGAGAAAUCUUUGGUGGCGUGCCUAUGCAAGUUGAGAAAAAUCCAGAGUCUAGUUAUCUGGGCCUCUGGUGGUGAAUACAAUUUCGAUGCAUGGGUUGCUCCUCGACAUGUCCAGAGAUUGCAGCUACAAUCCUGCUGGUUCUCAAGGCUGCCAGAUUGGAUGAAUCCUUCACCUCUGGGCCUCUCCUUUCUGUGGAUCAACGUGAGGGAGCUGCGCCAGGAGGACCUAGAAACUCUUGGGAGGUUACCAGCACUCCGUCAUCUGUAUCUGAAGCUGGACCAUGAGAAACUCAAAAUCCCUCGGAGAUUCAUCGUUGGUGCUUGUUCGUUCCCAUGCCUGGUGGAAUGCAGGCUGUUGGGAUUUAUGGGGGCCGUGUUCUUCCAUCAAGGAGCUAUGAUAAAGCUCAGGAACCUUUCCCUGACGUUGUAUGCAAGGGAUGUGAGAGAAAUUAUGGCGAGCAGCGAUGGUAGUUGUUGUUUCGACUUGGGCCUAGGGAACCUGCUGUCACUUCAGGAGUUCAGGGUGUCAUUAUUUACUUCCGAUCUGGAGGCGCCAACGAGAUGGAAGUGGAGAAGGCCAAGGCUGCAGUGAGCCAUGUGCUUGAGAUUCAUCCCAAUCAUCUCGAAUAUCACAUAUGGGGUUGAAGGUUAGCUUAACUAGGAGGAUUCUCCGCGCGUUGCUGCGGGUACGAAGGGAGAAUAUAAAUAUAGCCUUAUUGUAGUCUAUUAAGUCAUCUAUAUAGUUUUAGUAGUCAGUUUCAAAAGAGAAAGAGAGAAGAUCACGUGAGAGAAUAAUUGCUAGCAGUAUGCAUGCAUGGUCAUGUGUAGGUAGUUGCAUCUACUACUGAAACUAUUUAUGAGUGGACACUUAAUUGCAUACAACAGCAGAAGAAGUGGAUGAUGAUGUGGUGCAAGGAGGUGCAAGAGAAUUAGCUUAGUGGAGUUUAUCUUUAUAGGAUAUAUAGAUAGAUAACCCUGGUCGUUGUUGUUUUUUCUCCAUUCUGUUGCUUUUUCCUUUCAUGCAACCAUAACCUUCCUCUGUUUCUUUCUCAGAUUCAUAUUGACGAGCUGGGAAAAAGAUUCAAUAUGAACGGCAUCCAAACCAGAGGAAGCAAAAGAAAUUCAUACGUUUUCCCACUCCUAAUACGCUGCAAGUAGUGGAAUAUGUGAUUUCUGCGCUGCGGCAUGCCACUGAAAUGCAUCCCAAUCAUCCCAUCCUUGACCCUUCAAAAUCCGAUGAAGCCAAUACACAGCUGAAACCAAUCCAAACCGGCCAGCCCUUGCAACUAACGGCAGCAAAAGAACCUCAGUUUGUCUCCUUUCUCUGUAUUCUAAUCUUUUUCCCCUGUUUUCCUCAAGAAAAGAACCUCAGUUUCUGUCGCAGGUUCAGAAUAGUGAUGGCCAAUGGAAACAAGUAAACAACAGGCCGACUCCACCCCUGAGAUUCUGCAUAAACGGAUGAUCCUAACUGUACAUCAACCCCGCACCCCAGCAAUGAUGUUAUUAUUUACUCAUUGCCCAUGCAAAUGUCACAGAUCAGGAUAUACGAGGAGACAAAAAAUGUGCAGUUGUGAUUGUAAUUCUGGGAUUCUUUUUCUUUCAGACUGUAGAACUAAAAAAGGAUUGGUGAUCAAGGUUUUUUUAACUUGUGAAUGGUGACAUCUCACCUGUACCACCUAGUUUUGGAAAGCCCUCUUCUUUAAGAGAUGGUUAUUGUUGUGAAUGACUGCGAAUAAACGACGAAGAACACAAGAUCAAAUCACAACGGAGACACAAGAUUUAACGUGGAAAACCCCUUCAAUAAAGAGAAAAACCACGGGCGCCAGCUAGCAAACACUCCUCACUAUUAUCAAAAGUCGAGGUUACAACGUCGUGCGGCGGCCGAGCCUGUUCGCUUAUCUUAUAAGCCGUACCUUUUCUACCAGUGAACAGUGUUUUUCUCUUACAAUAAAUUAGCGAACAAUAUUUCAGCUAUAACUUUUCAGACUAGCGAACAGGCUCAGUGGAACUCUAAUUUGGGUACGUACCGUGGGGGGCCAGCCCCCGCACCCCCCAUGUGACAAUGAGGGCACACACCAAUGGGCCACCUCAGACUCCGCUUCGCUCCAGCCCAGCCUUUGCCUUCAACGGACCUCCUCUUCGUUGCAUGAGAAGUCACCCUUUAUAAUGUGCAACUGAAUUUGAAACAUAUUCAACAGCUAUGACUUAUAAAUUAUCGUAUAACUUCAGGUAUUGGUGAUUAGCAGAUACAACUGUUUUUAUUCAAAAUUGAGGAGGUACCUACGAUAUUUUUAUUAGCAUUUGAACAUCUAACCAGAAUAUGUUAAGUUUUGUGGCAACAUUGCAUCACAUUGAGGCUUGCAGAUAUUUUAGGUUUCCAUAUAUAAUAACAAUGAUAUGGAGACAAAGGAAUCCGCUGUGAACCUCCUGUAGAGGUUGAGGUAAACUGUAAAGCUUGUUUGGUUGCAAGCCUGGACUAAGGCCUUGUUUAGUUACAAAAAAUUUUGGGAAAUCGACACUGUAGCACUUUCGUUUGUAUUUGACAAAUAUUGUCCAAUUAUGGACUAACUAGGCUUAAAAGAUUCGUCUCGUCAAUUCCGACCAAACUGUGCCAUUAGUUUUUAUUUUCGUCUAUAUUUAAUACUUCAUACAUACGUCUAAAGAUUUGAUGUGAUGGGAAAUCUGAAAAAUUUUGCAAUUUUUUUUUGAACUAAACAAGGCCUAACAGCUACAGCCUAUUUUCCUGUGUGUUGUUCGGAAUCGUGGCAGCACCAGGCAACUGUUGCCCCAGUCAGAGCCAGGAGGACAAACGUGAGUUCCUGGGCCAAAAGAGCAGUUGCUGCCUGGGUUACUGAAAGUCACCGUGGGUGUGUUUGCAGCAUUGCAUGAAGGCAGCCAGACCCUAGAUCAGCCAUAACCAGACUAACUCGGUACAAGCCCCCGGUGGUAAGCCAGACCCAAUAGAGAUUGUGUUUGUUUGUUAGCCCAAAUAGGAGAUAGGAGGAUAGGAGGGUCACUUGCUCCCUCCAUCUGGCUAGACGAGCGCUCAAUCUAGCCCGACUCUGAAAAAAAAAUAUGCCCCCAUCGUUUUUCUAGCCCUAGCCCAAGUGCUUUAAGCUCCUUACGGGGUGGACUCUGAGGCUGGGCCAGCAACAUCAAACAUGGACUGCUGCAGCUAGGGAGCUCGGGCAAUCCUCUGCCCCCACUAGCAAACACACCCUGUAUCUAUUCUAAUCUAAAUCAUAUGGCUGCCUAAACUCUAGUUUUUAUAUAAAAAAUACAAUAAACAAGUCUUUUAAAAAACUUAUUUCCUUUUCCAGUUCUCUGCCUAGUCUUUAGUUAAAUGUACUACUAGCUUACUAUUCAAAUAUUUAUAUUUCCAAGUAUAAAUAUUUACUUUUAAGAAUAUUAUAACUUGGGAAAAAAUCCAAAUCAUUUAUUCUGUUAAUCAAACUAAAAGAGUGCACAUUCACUGUACAUACAACCUUUGGAUAUGACCAUUAAAGUUAAAAAUAAAAUGAGCUCAUUCUUCUCUAUUGAGUUCAGCACAAAUGAUCUUUUACAGAUCGCAGAGCAGAAUUCUGUUCACUGAACCAAUGCGCUUCAGCCUUACAAAUAGUGAGAAAUGAAGACACGAAAAUUAAAGAGACGGCAAUUUGAACGUCUGAUGGACGCCGGGUCCUCAACAAGCAUGAACAGUGUGAAAGGGCCUCUAACCUAGUGGUUAGAGCACCUGAGUAGUACCAGCAGACCUGAGUUCAACUCCUCGUGGGAGCGAAUUUAAACAGGUCUAUAUUAUAAAAAAAAAGAGACCUAAAAUAGAUACAGGUCAUGCACAGUUAAAUAGGCAACCCCUCAAAUCUCUCCUUCUCCAACAACUACGGCAAAUAGAACACCCAAAACUACUGCUCGCAUAGAUACGCCGCGCCGCUGUGGCCCCUCGCCGUGGAUGCCGCAUGGCCUAGCCGCGGACCAGAUCAGCCUUCGUCUUUGCCUGCCGCCGGCCACCGAGCUGUGAGAUCCAGCCAACCGAGAGCAGAGGAGACGACAAAGAGAAAAAAAAAAUCCCCAAAAUCCUAGGCCAAUUUAUUCGCGGGGAACCGAUGAUGGAGUCCAUGGCGACGGCGCCCGCCACCUGCGAGAUCGCGCGCCUGCCGGACAACCUCCUGGCAGCAUAGCUAGCCCGGACGGGGCUGCAGAACACCUGCCGUGCCGCCUUGGCCUCGCCGGCCUUCUGCGCCGUGGGCGACAUGACCUGCCCGCGCUCGCUGACGGGGAGCUCCCCGCUGACCAACAACCCACCAAGAAGCAGCGGCAACCUCGACGGAGGAAGAGGCACAGUCGUCCCACUCCUGCUGCGUGGUGGUGGUGGGCCCUGCUACGUGGAGACGCAAAGACAUCGAGGCAGACGCAUAUUUGCGUUCCGCAACGACGACGAUCGUAGGUUUGGGUACUCCAUUAUAGGGUGUUUUUUUUCUACUGAAACACUGUUCAGGAGGCAUUUUGGGUAUGAGUCUUUUUAUGCCUAUCUUGUUGGAGAUAGUCUUAGUUCCUAAAAUAUUUUGUAAAAUUUUUCAUAUUCCUCAUCACAUCGAAUCUUGCGGCACAUGUACGGAGCACUAAAUAUAGAUAAAAGAAAUAACUAAUUACAUAGUUACCUGUAAUUUGCGAGAUGAAUCUUUUAAGGCUAGUUAGUCCAUAAUUGGAUAAUAUUUAUCAAAUACAAACGAAAGUGCUUUAUUUCUAUUUUAUAAAAUAUUUUAAAAGUAAACAAGGCCUUGAUCAAUCUAACAAGUCGAAGUUACUUUUCUUUUCUGAAAUUAUGUACUGUCGCUUGCUGAUCUCAAUGAUGCGGUGCCAGUGCAAAACACGGGUACUUUUGACGAACUAUUGCGACAACGAACCAUGCCCUGUUUCGGUGUGCAACGAGGUUACGUGAUAAGAUAGUGGUGAGUGGUGACUGCAUGCUCUGUUUCGGUUUGCUCUGUUCUGUGGAUCACGUACAGUACAACGUGACCAGGCUCCUCUGAAAAAUCACGUCAAACUUGGAUUGCUGAUUACGCGUACUCGGAGCUGUCCUCAUAAUCUUCGAUGUCACGGAUUACGCAGGCUCAUCGGUACAGGUUACUUCAUGGUUAUGUACUACUCCAGUUUGUAGUACAACCUGCAGCAGUGGAAAAGUACUACGUACAGAUUUGUGUUAGAUUGGAUCGACCAUUACUUCGGCCUUGUUCAGUUUCAAAAACUUUUUAUUUUUCGAAACUAUAUCACUUUUAUUUUUAUUUGACAAACAUUAUUUAAUUAUGGAGUAAUUAGGCUUAAAAGGUUCAUCUCGCGAUUUAUAGGUAAACUAUACAAUUAGUUUUUAUUUUCGUCUGUAUUUAGUACUCUAUGCAUGUACCACAAGAUUUGAUUUUUUUUUUUAUUUUUAGGGUGAACUAAACAAGGCCUUACUCAAAACGAACAAGGCGAUCCACGGCAGGAGUAGUCAACAAAAGAAGCUUUGGACUUGUCCAUGUGAAUAGAGGUGCAAAGGCUAAGCUUUAGGUGCACCUCCAAACCUCUUUAGUAUUUUUUAAUUUUUUUUUAGAGAAGUAGUAUAAACAUUUGAACUAAAGAGAUUUAGAGGUGCACCUAAUCAUCACUCAUUUGCACCUCUACAUGUGUGAAGCUAAUCUGUCUGUGUCAUAUGUACCCUCGCUUUGUGCAUGGUGCACAAGUAUUGCACGAGCCGCCAAAAGUCCACCACAGCAAUAGCCGCCGUGGAAAGUGGAAUGGAAUAGGUCACCACCAACUCCUACAUGCACCUGUACAUCAUGUCGACACCACCAGGUAGGCGUAGGCCCGUACUUAGCAGCCAAGCAACUAUAUACACAUGGCCACGUACUCACAUUCACAUGGUGUAUAUAUAUAUAUAUAUAUAUAUAGGUGGCAACGAUCGUCCUGCUGUGUGGCUCUCUUGAUCAGUCUGCACAGCGAAACAAGAAAGGCAGACCAUUUGCAAUUGCAACGAGGAGAGAGUGAGAUCGAUCGGAAGGAAAAUGGAGAGAGCCACACAACAGCAGGACGAUCCACGCCCACACUUCGUGCUCGUUCCGUGGCAAGGAGGCAUCAGCCACAUCAUCCCCAUGACCGACAUCGGCCGCCUCCUCGCCUCCCACGGCGCCGCGGUCACCAUCAUCACCACGCCCGCCAACGCCCCACUCGUCCAGAGCCGCGUCGACGACGACGACGACCUCGUGACGACGCCGCCGGAGGGCGCCAUCACGGUCACCGCGAUCCCGUUCCCAGCGGCGGAGGCCGGCCUCCCCCCCGACGACGGCUGCGAGAGGCUGGACCUCCUCCGGUCCCCCGCCGACGUGCCCCGCUUCUUCGCCGCCAACAGACACUUCGGCGAGGCCGUCGCAAGCUACUGCCGCGCCGGCGAGGCUAUGCCGCGCCGGCCCAGCUGCGUCGUCGCCGGGAUGUGCCACACGUGGGCGCUCGGCAUGGCGCGCGAGCUCGCCGUGCCGUGCUACAUCUUCCACGGCUUCGGCGCGUUCGCCCUGCUCUGCAUCGAGUACCUCUACAAGCACAGGCCACACGAGGCGGCGGACGACGACGACGGCCUCGUCGUCAACAUCCCAGCCCUGCCGGCGCCGUUCGACGACUGCUGCAGGCUCUCGCGCGCGCAGCUACCGCCGCAUUUCGCGCCGUCGACGGCUGUGGGUGGUGGAGCAAUGCAAGAGAUACGGGAGUUCGACGUGGCCGUGGACGGCGUGGUCGUCAACACCUUCGACGAGCUCGAGCACGGCUCCUGCGAGCUUCUCGCGGCCGCGACCGGCAAAGCCGUCGUCGCCGUUGGCCCCGUCUCGCUGUGCCGCCGCCGGUCACCUGAUCUCGAUCCACAGGCCAUGGCGGACGACGAUGCCAGGCGGGUUAUGGAGUGGCUGGACGCCAAGGAGACGACGAGGUCCGUGGUGUACGUCAGCUUUGGCAGCGCCGGGUGCAUGCCGCCGGCGCAGGUCAGGCAGCUGGGCAUGGCACUAGCGUCGUGCCCUUGGCAUGUCGUCUGGGUCGUCAAGGGCGCCGACGCCAUGCCCGGCGACGUCAAGAAAUGGCUAUCUGAGAGCUUCGACAGCGACAAGUGCUUGGUGGUGCGAGGCUGGGCUCCCCAGGUCGCCAUUCUAGCUCACCGUACUGUCGGCGGCUUCCUCACGCACUGUGGGUGGGGCUCGACGCUGGAGGCCAUUGCCGCCGGCGUGCCCAUGGCGACAUGGCCGCUUUUCGCCGAGCAGUUUCUCAAUGAGAGGCUCAUCGUCGAUGUGCUUGGUGUUGGGGUGUCUGUAGGCGUGACAAGGCCAACAGAAAAUGUCCUUAGUGCUGGUAAGCUCAACGGCGGCGGAGCGGAUGUUGAGGCGGAGGUGGGUAUGGAACAAGUGAUGAAGGCAUUGGAGAGGCUGAUGGAUGAAGGUGAUGAAGGGGAGCAGAGGAGGAAGAAGGCUCAGGAGCUCAAGGCCAAGGCAAAUGGAGCGUUAGAGAAGGGUGGGUCGUCCUACAUGAAUUUGGAGAAGCUAAUCCAAUGUGCUUCAUGAUAGAAUAAUUAAUAAUUAUGUUUUGCUGAAUAAAAUAGCCAGUGUCCAACCUUGGGUACAAAUCACCAAAUUUGUUUGAUGUCUUUGAGAUUGUAUGAAGAAGGUUAGAUCGUUUGGUACGUACGUUUGUGUUUGAGACUUAACUGUGAAGGUACUGAAUUGUUUUGUCACAAUAACAAAAUUUUCUAUUGGAAUAAUUACCGAUGCCAUAUAUAAAACAAUUGGAUGUAAUGGCGAAGUUACUCCAAGAACUAGAUAACACCCCGUUGCUGCGGAAAUUUAUAGUGCUCUUGAUGGAACAUAAAUACAUAAUGCAUUAUGUUAUAUGUAAAAUGGUAGAAGGAUGUAUGGAAGGUACAAAAUUAUAUGUAGUAAAUAAUGACAAAAGCAAGAUUAUAAAGACACCCAUAGCUGGAAAACAUGACUAAACAGGUGGUUUAGACAUUAAAAAUGAUUAUAUGUAUUAAUUACUAAUAAUUUGAUUUAUUAUGGACGCGAAACACACAAAUGGAAGUAAACGCUGCUAAAACAACUUAUUGAAACUUGUAAUGAUGGAUUCCAAGAAGUAUGAGAAAUGGAAAUUGUAAAUUAAAUAAUAGAAAAAACAAAGCAGCCAUUCAGAACAACAUGAUGAAUUAGGGAGGAGUAGAAACCUAUUUGUUAGGACAUCACACUCUCGUCUGUACCUAAAACACAAAAUGAGAUUUCGUAUCCCCAACCCCAAUGGCAAUGUAGAGGGCCUCGAGAACUCUGCUAUAGCCAUCGAGAAGCUAACAUUAAAGUGCCAGUGUAAUAUGAAACCAAUCCUGCUUAAAGUCUGAACCCCAGCCAUCGUUUCAGAGAUCAUGAAGAGACCAUCUCCAUGACGACAGACUUACAAACAUAGCUAGCCUAGACUUGGUCGGUGACCUGUUGCAUCCUCGUCCAAUGCUAUCUGAAGAAUCUCUCAACCUCGGUGCACAUACUGAGCCAAUAAUCAUCAUAGCCAGUAAACUCGAUAAAGAGGUUGUAGUGGCUUGUUCAGCAACGACCAAACCUGGAAAACUCUAUGUAGAGGUCAAAGCAGAAGCAGCAGGCUAAGGAGUUGGACGGCGUCACAAUUUGACUCCAACUGGAUUGUGCUAGUGACCCCAGCAUCAAAUGGACUCCAGACAGACCCUCAAAAAAAAAAAAAAAUGGACUCCAGACCGCCGCUGCACACACCCACAACCUGCAUCCCCUACUUCGUGCGUCGUGGGGAGCGCCGCAACCACCAUGGCUCUUGUCGCCCCAGCUAAGCACAACCAGGGCUGGCUCUAUAGUUUUAAGGGCCGUUGGACAAGUAAAGAGAUAAGGGCUCGUUCAGCUAAUUUUUAUAUCAAAAUUACUGUAUAUACUAUCGAUAAUAAAAAUUACUACCUCCGUCCCAAAAAAAUAUCGUUUUAGAUUUUCGUGCCACAAGUUUGACUCGAUUUGUAGAAAAUAUGAGCAAUAUUUAUAUUUCUAAAUAAAUUUGUUAAAAAACUAGACUUAAAUGUCUUUCUAAUGAUACUAAUUAUGUACUAUAAAUAUUAAUAUUUUUUAUAUAUUUAGUUAAAGUUAUUUCUCGGAAAGCGCAAACGACACUUAUUUUGGGAAGGGGGGAGUACUUUGCAAUAUAUAUAUAUAAUUCAUAAAAUAUAAGUACUUUGUUCUUUUUGUUUUUCUUUUCUUUUUUGAGUAUCCGACAAACGCUUCUUAGGCAACAUCUAGUAUAUUCAGAUAACUACAUUGAAUUAUAAAUUUAUAAUGCUAGGACCUAGCACUAUACGAGCAUAGCGAGUACAUAAAACAAUUAAGAAAAUAUAUAAAAAAACUAAUCCAUCAUGGUUGUUGGUGUAUUGCUUACUGUGAUGACAUGUGUACUAUCCGAUGUUUCCCUACCGUUAUGUAGAAUAGGACCAGAAGGAAGAGUAAUCUACGGCUUUGACUAAUUUAUCUUAGAUCUUCAAAUACUUAUUAUGCCAAAUAAAAAAUUAUAUAUACUAAUUACCUAUAUUGUCAAGGGCCUCUAAGGUUCAUGGGCCCCCGGCGGUCGCACCGGCUGCCCCUCCCUUAGAGCCGGCCCUGAGCACAGCUACACUACAACCUUGGAACUCUGGCGCUUGGAAGCGCUCACCCGUUCUUUGAUCUGUCGCGGUUGCACGCGGCCGCUCAGAGCCAUGUGAAAGGUCCUAAUAUGGCUAGAGGGGGGGUGAAUAGCCUAUUUAAAAAUUCUACAAAUUCACUAGAGCAAGAGGUUAGUAAAUAACAAGCGAAGCUUUUUGCUCUAGCUCUAAAGAGGGUUUUGCAAGCCACCUAUCCAACAAUUCUAGUUGAUAUGAUCACUAGGCACACAAGAGCUAUGUCUCUACUUACACUAGAGAGCUACCUAGAGUUUCUAUACAAGUAUGUAAGCUACUCUAGUUUGCAAGAAAGUAAGAGAGAAGGUUUGAUCUUUAUACCACCGCGUAGAGGGGAUGAACCAAUCAAUGAUAUGAAGUCCAAUCAUCGGGAGAAAUCCAAAGUACAAUCACAAUGGAGACACACGAUUUUCUCCCGAGGUUCACGUGCUUGCCGGCACGCUACGUCCCCGUUGUGUCGACCAACACUGGGUGGUUCGGUGGCUAAGAGGUGUAGCACGAACCUCAUCCUCACUAGGACACCACAAGAACCUACCCACAAGUGAGGUAGCUCAAUGACACAAGCACUUUACUAGAGUUACCUUUCGGCUCUCCGCCGGGGAAGGUACAAGACCCCUCACAAUCACCGGGAGAUGGCCACGAACAAUCACCAACUCGUGCCAAAGCUCCUCCGCUACUCCAAGCCGUCUAGGUGGCGGCAACCACCAAGAGUAACAAGAACCGCAGCCAAAUCGAUCCCCAAGUGCCACUAGAUGCAAUCACUUAAGCAAAUGCACUUGGAAUCACUCCCAAUCUCACAAAGAUGUAUAAUCUAUGAAGGAGAUGAGUGGGAGAAGUUUGCUUAGGCUCACAAGGAUGUCUAGUAUGUUAGAAUGCCAAGAGAGUUAGCCCUAGGCCGGCCAAACACAUAUUUAUAGCCCCUCAAACAAAUAGAGCCGUUGGCUCUUUCACUAGGCGAAAUACGGAGUCACCGGACGCUCUUAAAGGGGCACCGGACGCUCAACACCUGCGUCCGGUGCUCCAAAGUUAGCCACGUGUCAGGGUCCAACGGUAACCUGCAGAGCACCGGACGCUAAGCAAGUUACCACCAGACGCGUCCGGUGCACACCGGACCCGUGCGCAGAGAGCUCCGCAAACUCGCAGGGUCACCGGACGCGAGCCACCGGACGCACCCUGAGCGUCCGGUGCUCACCGGACUCAUGCGCAGAGAGGGUCGCCAAACCGCCCGCACACCGGACGCUGAGCACCGGACUCACUCCGGUGCGUCCGGUGCACUCUGCUACACCCGACAGCACACCAGACGCUAAAGGCCAGCGUCCGGUGCCUCUGUGCAGAGCGUCCGGUGAGUGUUUCUCCGAUGACUUCUCCAAAAAUUCCCACCGGCGCAAUAGAAAAUAUACACUUAUUUUUCUCAAACCCAUCCUCUCGCUACCCUUCAAACUUCAACUCCCUUCUUGAAGUGUGCCAACACCACAAAGUGUGUACCAACAAGUGCACAUGUGUUAGCAUUUUCACAAUCAUUUUCUUUGAAGGAGUUAAGUUAGCUCACUAGGUUCUAAAUGCAUGCUCAUGAACAAUGACACCUAGUGGCACUCGAUAACCGCUCAGCCAAAGAAUUCCCCUCUUUAUAGUAUGGCUAUCUAUCCUAAAUGUGAUCACACCCUCUAUGGUGUCUUGAUCACCAAAACCAAAACCCUAAGCAAUACCUUUGCCUUGAUCUCCAUAGGGUUUUAUUUUUCUCUUUCUUCUUUUCCAAGUUGAGCACUUGAUCAUCUUGUGGUCAUCACCAUCAUCACCAUGAUCAUCUCUUGCUCCAUUACUUAGCAUGUACCAACCUCAAUAAGUCUACACCCACUUAGUAUGGAGGUUAGUACUAGGGUUUCAUCAAUUAUCCAAAACCAAACUAGGGCUUUCACCAUGGAAGACCUGCCUGCCUUCGCCGAUCGAGAAACCUGGGGGAUGGGAGAUGAAUGGUUUCUGUAACACCCAAAAACUGAUUUUGAAUUAAUAGGAUUUAAUUGGAGUUAUUUAAGCAUUUUUGUGAGCAUUUAAUUUAGUAAAUAAAUAAUUUUUGUUAAAAAUUAAAAUUUAUCAUAAGGUUAGAAAACCUGUUUUGCAUUCAUGCUGGAGCAUAUUUUAUUAUGUGCUGAUUGUUUCUGUUGGAGUUUCUUUUUUAGAAUUUAAAAUCUGUUUGGAGAAAGCUUUUGAAAAACAAAUUAAAAAGAAAAGAAAAGAAGAAAGCCACCCUCGUGGGAUCAGACCAGAGGCCUAGCUUCCCCCCUCCCCCUCGCGCGGCCCAGCGAAGGCCCAGCUGCGGGCCUCUCCUCCCCUAUCUUCUCUCACUGGCGACCGGGCCCCGCCCUUUCUCCCACCGACAGCAUGGACCCACAUGUCAGCGCCCCUCUUCCUUCUUCCUCGAGUCGUAACCGAGCCCGACGCCAACAAACCCAACCGAGCCACCAAAUCCCAAAAACACCGGGAUUCUUUGCCAAAUCGUGCUCUACCAAGCCCUAUAAAGCUCCCAGCAACGUCUCCACGUCUUGUUUUUCCGUUUAUGCGACCAAUCCGAACCCUAAGCGUCAUGCUCGACGAUUUUUGGAUCUCACCGAGGUACCUCACCGCCACAGCCGUGGAACUUCCUAUCCAUUGCCCGGUUGACGAAGACAGGACUGUGCCGAGCUUCGUGACGCCGUUGCGGAGCUGCUGGACCAUGUUUUCCUCCUUCUCGUGUUUCCUAUGACUCGCUGACUUGUGCCGAACCUCUGUAGGAGCCCCGUUUUCGCCCACUACGGCUACAAGCUCUCUCCACUCCUUCCUCGUCCAAGCAAAACUCAUUGGUGAGUUCGCGUGAUGCCCCUAUUCGUUUCUGUGUACUCAGUUUUGUCUUUGGUGGACAGCAGUGGAGGUUCCCGAGCUCCGGUGAGGCUCUCCCAUGGCGCCGCCGCGCCGGACUCCUGGGAGAUGGCCGGGCCCCCGCUGUUUCCCCUAGAAUCGUUCUCGGCCGUCGGAUGGAAGAUCAACGGUCCUCAAUAGAACUUACCCCUUUGUUGUCAAUUUUGCUAAAGAGUCCCUGGUUUCUUUAUGAUUCGAACCCGCGGUCCUUGGCGUAUUCACUGGUAUACGCUUUUUGGUUUCGAAAGCGUAUUCUGCGUCGGUUCUUUCAAAAUACGUUUUCCAGUAAUUACAAAAAUGCCAUUGAUUUUAUAACACUUAUAAAAUGCUCAUUUUAACUCCGAUUUGAUCCAUUCAAAUUGCGUUAGAUUCGUCUUCUCGAGAUCCAUAUGUUAGUGGUACUGUUUCACCAGUUUGAAACUUUUUAAUUUCGUGGUACUAUUUAAUUAAUUAUUCUUUUAUAGGAAAUCUUAGAAAAUUUAUAACUUCUAGUUUUAAUUCUGAUUUUUAUGAUCUUUACGUUUGUGUGAUAGUAGCGCUGCGUAGAAUGUUUUUAUAAACUUUUAUAUUUGUUUUAUCACUGUUGGUGUAUUGUUCUAGUUAUAGCUUGUUUGCUUUGUGUAUGAUUGUCUCCAUUGAAAUACGUGUUGUUGAUUGUUGAUUGAGAAUAGACGGUGAGCCGUACGUUGAUGAGCAAGACUAAGUCUUUGACGACCAGAGCUUUGAUCAAGGCAAGUAUAACUUAGAACUAUCCUUGUUACCUAUAAACAUUUAAUACAAUAUAUAUCAUAUGCAUGUGUCCACCUUGACGACCUUAGCAAAAUCAUAGAUGAUUGUUACCUUGGAUUCCUUGUUACCUAUUUGAUAUGCAUUUGGGGUAGUUAUUUUUAGUUCUUGAUUUUAAUCCAUGAUCUUGUAAGAUGAUUAAUAGCUAUGCAAUGAACGUUAAAAGAUGACUGAUAACCGUAUGAGAUCUUGUCUGUAAGUGAUCAUCGGGAUAACAGUGCAAUUAUAAGGGCUAUAAUGGCUCUGGCUUUAGCUCAGUAUGAAGACCUUUUCUAGCUUGUUAGAGGUUACCCGAAAGGGCGCUAGAGGGGCUUGCCGUUUUGAGUAUAUUGUGGCCUAUGUCUUUAUGUGUAUAGGUUGCGCGUCAUUGUGCCAUUGGAAGGGGGGCUCUAUAUAUGCGCGCCCAGAAAACCUUGCGGCCUUAACAUGUUAGACGAACUUUUUAAAGGCUUCAUAGUGAUUCCUGCCGACCUUCUUUAAGAGGUUGAUCACCUCGGGUGAAAGGAUAAAUCAUGACUCAUGGGUAAAGACGUACAACCUUUUGCAGAGUGUUAAAAACUGUUAUACUAGCCGUGCUCACGGUCAAGAGCGGCCUUGGAGAUUCUUAUAUUAAAGAUGAUGACACUUAUUAAGUUAUUAUGUUCAUUUGUUUAUCGUUUAUGUUUAGUAUUAACUAUGCUUACAUUUGAUCAUGUGGUUAUGGGAUUUAUUUAUGAUACCUUGACAUUUGCUAUUUAAAUAUGAACAUGGUAUACACCUAAAAGCUAAAUGCAAUUAAACCAGUGUCAGCUAAUUGAGCCUCAUGAACCCCUGGUUAUACUUGUUGAGUACGAUAUGUGCUCACUCUUGCAAUUUCCCAACACCUCAGGUUAUGCAAAUGAUGAUGAUUGGAUUGAGGAUUAUCGAUAUGAGUACUAGGUUUGGAGUCAACCGGUCAACAGUUGUCCCUGUGUGGUGCUUCCGUCGAGAGAGUUUGUUUAUUACCGUUAUCUUUAUUGUAUAAGACUAUGUGAUUAUUAUUGUUCCGCUAUGUAAUAAACAAUGUGAUGAUACUCUUGAGAUUUGUCUACUUAUGUGUGCGACUGUUUCUGGGGCACAUAUGAGUCUUUUAUGCAUCCUAUCUUGUUCUUGAAAUAUGGGUGUAAUAGUUUUGAUCAGUCUCAAUGGUGAAUUUCACUUUACUGUUUUGAAGACUGCCACAUCAGCUAUGAAGAUUUAGAUUGAGAAAUGAAACUGACUCUCUCAAGUUCAAGACAAGCUGUUGUAGUUGGUAAAAAAAAGAGACAAGCUUCUGCAGUUAAUAUAUACAUGAUAUUGAGAUCCAAUGUGCCAUUUUGACUAUGUAGCCAUAUGAAUUUGAUAGCCAAUAAGUAGGAAUUACGUGAAAACACGCAGCGACGACACAUACUCCCUCCAUUCCAAAUUGUAAGUCAUUCUAAGAAUCUUGGAGAGUCAAACUUUUCUAGGUUUGACCAAAUUUAUAUUAUAAAAUAAUUAUUAUUAUGGUACUAACUAAAUAUCAUUAGAUUUUUUCUUAAUUAUAUUUUCAUUGUAUACUCACUUUACGAUACAAAUCUUAGUAUUUUUAUCUAUAACUUUGAUCAAACGUGAAAAUGCUUUGACUCUCCAAGAUUCUUGGAAUGACUUACAAUUUGGGAUGGAGGGAGUACUACACAAGCGAACUAACUUCCUAGGAUUUGCAUUUCACAGAACUGACGUUUUCAUCUAGCAGCUUGUCUAUUUGUGGCCAACACCAUGUAGCAUCAACCGACGAGCCACAAUACACAAUAUGGAGAAUUUGCCUGAAAUAACAUCAUGACUUUCCCAGAUGCAUGAUUCUUCCUUUUUUCAGAUCUUAAAACUUCAAUAUUUGAGACCGUAGUACCAGUUUACUGCUGCUUGUAGGUAGCCAUCAGUUUUUGUCUUAUGCUCCUCAUGCUCUUCCUGUGAGCCUUGUUGGAAUAAAAAAAUACCAUAUCUAUCACAAGGCUAGUAGUAGAUAAUUGAACUGGACAGCAAAUAAGUAGGAACUAUAUGAAAACAUAAAAGAGGCGUUUGUGAGGGUGGCUCAGCUGGGCUGCAAGGCGCACUUGGCCCAGCACGCAGACCGGCCACCCGCAGCCAAAACAACCCUCUGAGUCUAGCUCUAGAGAUACGCUGGGGAUGGGCGUUGUUUUGGAGCCAGGUCCUCGCGGCGCACAACAGGGGCAAGUGGGGGGCAAGAUAGUUGUAUUUGGUGGUUUGGCCUGGCCCUAACAUGGUUCACAAACACAAUCUCCUCUGAACCAGACCGUUUGCAUAUUGGAAGACAACACAUAGGCUGUUGCAGCAUUUGGGGCUGGUCUAGCGUGGCCCGGGCCUAGCGAGCAAGCCAGGUUGACCACGGCCACCCUCACAAACACCCCCGAAGUGAACUUGGAGUGAAAAUGGAGACAGUUUAACAGCAGCCGAGUAUUGGCAUAUCACAUUUACACCUAUACGCUCUUGGGUCAGACCAUAUCAAAUAUACUUUCAGUCAAAAUAGCUUGACUGCAGCCGAGUUCAAUCUUUCAGUUCAGUGACAUAUACCAUAUCAAUAUACUUUCAGUUUCAGUACACUGGUAAAGUCAUAUGAAUGCAAAUGCAGAUAACAUUUAGGCAAAUGCAGAUAGAUUUUCAUUCCAGAACAAAAAAAUUCAGAUAGCAUCUCUUUCAGUUCACUUAAACAUUCAGGAAUAAGGGCACCUAAAUCAUCACAAUUGAAUGCUUUGCCUUUAUUUUAAUUAAUAUUCAGUAGGGGCUUCAAGCCCCUCCUGUUCUUAAAAAAAAAUCAUGACAAUGGUGAUUUUUCUCCAACUCUGCAUCCUAACUUGACAUCGGCACUCCUCUAACAUUUUACUGGCUUUAUAGGUCGGAGAAAUCUGACGCAAAAUACAUCUGAUGCUCCCAACCAGCUAGCGCUCACCACAUAUUCACUGAGUUCUUGUGCGGGAGUGGACUGCACCACCACUGCCACCGAAUCUGGACCAAAAUCCUUCAAUUGGGAAGGAGGUAGUGCAGCACCCGGUGACGCAGCCGGCGGUGGCCAUGGAACUCGACGCCCACAAGCAGCAGCCGGCAUGGAAGGAGGCGUGAGUGUAGGAUUGGGGAGGGAAGGAUUUGGCGCGAAGCAGGGAGGCGGGGCCAGGAAGGAGAAUCGCACGCUUCACAGGAGAUCCGGCCGAGCGCGUAGGAACGAAGCUCUCCGUGCUCAGUGGGCGUUUCAUCCAAUUUCAUUGCCAAACGAUUGAGAGUUUUUUUUAUCUGGACUUAUAUAUAUAACUCGUGCUUAUAUGAGUUAUUACAAUAAGAUCUUAUUUAGUUUAUUACAGAAACUAAAAUUUUUCAAGAUUCCCCGUCACAUCGAAUCUUACGGCAUAUGCAUGUAGCAUUAAAUAUAGACAAAAAUCUUGCGACACAUGCAUAGAGCAUUAAAUAUAGACAAAAAUAAAAACUAAUUGCACAGUUUAUCUGUAAAAUCACGAGAUAAAUCUUUUGAGCCUGGUUAGUCCAUAAUUAGAUAAUAUUUGUCAAAUAAAAAUAAAAAUACUACAGUGUCGAAAACCAAAAAAUUUUUGGAACUAAACAAGGCCUAACUUGCGUCUAAAUUAAUAUGGAGUAGGAGUCCUAAUAUAAAUAGAUUCCUCACAUCCUAAGUAUUCUAAUUAGAACUCUUAAUAGUCAAAUAGAAAAUGAUAAGAAUUACGUUCUUUAUUUUGCUCUGCUUUCUUUAUUUAGUUAGAUAUUGGAGACAAAAGAAAAAUCAAAGUCCUAGUCUAUUUUCCUUCUUCUUCUUCUCUAAUAAUAAAAAGACAAAAUUUUUGGUCAUUUUGGAUUUUGGUCGAGCCCAACUAUUCGCUUGUUUUAGUCUAAAUUGGUUAAAACUCGUGUUAAACUUACAAGUUAGAUUCCGCCCAUAACUUUCCUUUUUUCUCUCAACCCAAUUGGACAAGGAGUCCUAGUGCCAUAAACAGAAAAUAAGAUAAAAAUAAUGGAAACCAGAUCCGAGACGAGCAUCAUUUAAUUAAUCUUUAGACUCGUGGACAUAUAGAAAAAAUCAUGAACUAAAAUUUGCACAAUUAUAUAUUAAGAAAAUGCCCGUGCAUUGCUACAGGAGAAGGAUCGUAUGGUUGGAACUGCAUGAUCUUCUUCCUACUUACCGAUGCCGCCUUCAAUCUGCUCUCGCUUGCGUGCACUGCUUCAUGCACCCCUCAGUUGCCUCCUUCUCCAUUGGGCUUCUAGCACCCACAGUCGCCACCUCAUACAGGAUCACUGCCUUACCAACCUUCUAUGACGUCCUACCCUAACCAUAAGGUUCGUGUCUACCACUCAAGCAUAACGCUCUCACCGCUCACUCUAUGCAAACUUUUAUAAUUGUUUGCUGAGGAUUAAAAAAAGAAAAGAAUGAUUUUAUUUAUGUUCUUGAUUUUCUAGUAUCUAGGUAGAUCUUGGUUCGUCAGGUGUUGGGUUCAAGCCCUUAGGCUUGCGUAAUUUUUUCCUAAUUUGCUAUUUAUGAGCGGACAUAGAAGUGGACAGACUAAAAUUUUUAUGAUUAAAUAUUAGAUAAUUUAUUAUUUAUAGGCAGACAAACAAAAUAGACAGACUGAAAUUUUUAUGAUUAAAUAUUAGGUAAAGAUUUACACGUUCUCUAUUAUAAUAGAUUUUUUAUUAGCUGGAUCCGUCGCUGCCGUGACUAAUUUGUUUUUUUGAUGAAACGGUGGGGGAGCUCCCCACCCUUUUUUUUUGUAUUUCAAAUUAAAUAAAGGAAUAGUUACAAAGGCAGGAGCCGAAGAUUACAAGGCAGCACGCCCAAAAUAAAAAAAGGCAAAACUGUUACAUGUAAGACUCUUUCCAACUACUAAGAGCAGAGCUAACACUGGGUCGCUGCCGUGAUUAAUUUGUUGCAUCGUUGGAAUUUGGGAAUGGAUCGGACUCCGUAUUCUACUCGAACUCAACUGACCUGGCUGAGCUGUGUUCAUAUACUAUGGGCGGAUAGAAAAAGUGGAUAGACUAAAAUUUUCAUGAUUAAAUAUUAGGUGAAGAAUCAUAGUCCUAUAUGAAUGGACUGGUGAAUAGAAUUUCGUGGUGAACAUAAUUUUAUAGAGAACUGAAAUGUUCACAAUUUAUUAUUAGAUGUAGACAUUUAAUGUGACGGGUGAUAAACUUUACCGCUCGCAACCAAACACGCCCUUAAAGAGACCGUGGAUAGUCAAGAAACAUGAACAGUAGAGGAGCUCGCUCACUCUCUAAUGGGCACCUUGGCCCUUGAUAGAAAGUGAGGAAAAAAAAAAGACAUCAUCAAUUAAGCCCGUGGACCAUCACAAUGAGGCCGUCUCUGUCUUCUGUCCUCCACAGUCCACACCACACUAGAGCGUCCGGACGCCGGCCGGGAGAUAAUGCGGACAUGAUCUUUGCCUUUUGCUGUAGCAUCACGAUAAUCCUCCCCUUCAACCUGUUCCAACGGCUGUAGCAGCCCGGAAUCAGGGAAGGCUCCUCGGCUGGAUCCGUUAGUUGCCUUGACCACGGGCGGAUCCGGCCGGCGCGGCGCUGCGACAAAGGGCGGUCGUGAUUCGCGACACCAGCGGUGGCCGGUAACUCCUCGGUGAGUUCAAUCUCGCGCUAGCUCUUCGUGCCCAUCCGAAUAGUUCCUAUAUUCUAGCUAGAGUUCUAGCACUUUGUGCCUUACUUUUGGUUUUGGGUCAGUAUGCAUCCGCAGCACAGCUGCCUCACUCCUUAGCGCGUUCGUCCAGGACAGAUCCAUGGCGGUAGUGACUGGGGCUCUGCCAAGCGUCCUCGCCAAGCUCGGCGAUCUUCUCAUCGGAGAGUAUAAGCUGCAAAAGGGCGUCAAGGGGGAGAUCAUUUUCCUCAAAGCUGAGCUCGAGAGCAUGAAGGGCGCACUCGAGAAGCUCUCCAGUAAACCGGCAGACGAGCUUGACAUUCAGGACAAGAUCUGGGCCAAGGAUUUGAGGGAGCUCUCCUAUGAUAUAGAGGAUAGUAUCGACACGUUUAUGGUGCGUGGCAAAGCCAGUCAGUCGGCCAAGCUGCAUGGCAUCAGGAAGUUUAUUGACCGAAGUGUCGGUUUGUUCAGAAAGGCAAAGAUUCGCCAUGGGAUCGCUACUGAGAUUAGAGACAUCAAGAGCCGUGUUGUAGAGGUGCACGAGAGGCGUCGCAGAUAUGAUGUCAGCCUCGGUGUUGAUAAGCCUAGCACAGCUGCUGUGGACCCACGUUUAUUUUCUCAGUACACAGAGAUUGAAGAGCUUGUUGGCAUUGUCGAGACAAGAGAUGAGCUAAUCAAUAUCGUGAUGGAAGAGAAUGAAGUGCCCAUUCAGAAAGGCAAGAUAGUUACCAUUGUUGGAUUUGGUGGGUUGGGAAAAACUACUCUUGCUCAUGCAGUUUUUGACAAGAUUAGACCAGGAUUCGAUUGUUGUGCUUCUGUAUCAGUCUCUCAAACUCCUGAUUUGAAGAAAUUGUUGAAGGGCAUCCUGUAUCAGCUUGACAAGAAGUAUGAGGACAUCAAUGAAAAACCAUUGGAUGAGGGUCAGCUCGUCAAUGAACUAAGAAAAUUCCUUCGACGCAAAAGGUAUGGAAGCAUUCCUGCCAUCAAUUUGUACAUGGAAAGAAUUUUUUUGUCCUCCAGUAUUUUAGGGCCUCCAAUACGUUUCGUAACACUAAUUGUACAUACAGUUAAUGAGAAAUGUGCUUGCUGUUGUGGUUAAACAAAAAAACAACCAGUAGAGCCUUUUUAAUCACUAUUCUGGCAAGUAAAAGCAAUGCCAACAAUAACUCUCAGCUUCCAGAGUGCCUUGGUAAAGAUUUUGAGUGGACAUAUUUAAUUUGCCCACAGACUUGAUAAUCGAGUAGACCAUAGCUAACUUUGUCUAAUUAUUACUAGUAUUCUAUAAAGCGUGCACAACGUCUUAUAUGAGCAAUAUCAGAACUUUCUGUCCUAAUUUCAUUAGUUUUUCUUGCUAAUAAUAACCUACCAUAUCUAUAGGUAUUUCAUUGUUAUUGAUGACAUAUGGGAUAUCUCAGUCUGGAGAAUGAUCAAAUGUGCUUUGCCUCAUAGCGAUGCUGGAUACAUAAUUAUUACAACCACACGUAAUUCGGAUGUUGCUGAAAAAGUUGGUAGUCCUUAUAACAUGAAACCACUUUCUCAGAAUAACUCCCGAAAAUUGUUGUACAAAAGAAUAUUUGGUAAUGAAGGGAAAGACAACAAUGAAGAUAUAGAAAAAUGUCCCGAUGCAGAGUUAACUGAAGUAUCAGAGAGGAUACUAAAGAAAUGUGCCGGUGUACCCUUGGCUAUUAUUACAAUGGCUAGUCUACUCGCUUGUAAACCAAGAAAUAAGAUGGAUUGGUAUGAGGUGUGCAACUGUAUUGGUACCGGUCUUGAGAACAGUAUAGAUGUGGAGAAUAUGAGAAAGAUCUUAUCAUUUAGCUAUUAUAAUAUGCCGUCCCAUCUGAGGACUUGUUUAUUAUAUUUUAGCGUAUUUCCAGAAGAUUAUAAAAUAGAAAAACAUCGUUUGAUAUGGAUGUGGAUAGCUGAAGGCUUUAUCCAAUGUGAGAAACAUGGGGAGUCCUUAUUUGAUCUAGGGGAGAGUUACUUCAAUGAGCUCAUAAGUAGAAGUAUGAUCCAACCCAUACAUGGUUAUAAUAAUGAUACGAUAUAUGAAUGUCGUGUACAUGAUAUGGUGCUUGAUCUUAUAUGCUCCUUGUCAAGUGAAGGAAACUUUGUUACUAUAUUAAAUGGUACAGAUCACAUACCUCCAUCAAAUACGAUUCGGAGGUUAUCCCUUCAAAAUGGCAAGGAGCAUCUUUCUGAAACUCUGGAAACCAAGAGGUUGCAACAAGUAAGGUCAGUUGUUGUCUUUCCAUCUGGCAUUAGUUUGAUGCCAGUUAUUAGGAGUUUCCACUUUCCAUCUGCCAUUAGUCUAAUACCGGUCUUUAGGAGCUUCCAAGUUUUACGCGUACUGGACUUACAAGAUUGUGAUCUUUCGCAAGGUUAUGGUCUCAAGUACCUUGGGAACCAAUUUCACUUGAGGUACCUAGGACUAUGUGGCACAAGCAUUGCGCAACUGCCUGAAGAAAUAGGAAGCUUGCAGUUUUUACAAAUAUUGGAUGUACGGAGAAAUAAACUCUCAUGCUUGCCAUCAACUGUUGUUCAGCUGAAACAUUUGAUGUGCCUGUACACCGACUUGUCAAUCAGAGUGCCAAAUGGGAUUGGGAGCUUAACAAGACUUGAAGAGAUGUCGGAACUAUUAAUUGAUGACUCCAACAUGGACAUCCUAGAAGAAUUGGGAUGGUUAUCGGAGCUAAGAGUGCUGCGUAUUGCCUUGGGCGGAUGGAACAACAAUCUGGUGGAGUGCCUAGGCAAGCUGCAAAAGCUCCGCGAGCUUAGUGUCUGGGCUCGCGGUGGUCAAACCAACAUUGGUGGAUUGGAUGCCUGGGUUGCCCCUAGACAUCUCUUUAGUCUGUCGACACGGUGGGGCUGCUGGUUCUCAACCCUGCCAGCAUGGAUUAAUCCGUCGCUUGUGCCGGACCUCUCCAAGAUAUUCAUCGGCAUAAGGGUACUACAGCAGGCCGAUCUGGAUAUACUUGGGAGGUUGCCUGCUCUUUGCUAUCUAGAGAUGCAGGUGGAGCAUGAGGAUCUUGGAAUCCCUAGUGGAUUCCUCGUUGGUGCGGAUUCAUUCCCCUGCCUUUUAUCCUGCGAGUUCCGGGGAUUUGUCAGGCCUGUAUUGUUUCAGCAGGGAGCUAUGCCGAGGCUGAGAACGCUUUGGUCCUGGUUUUCUGUACGAGGGGCGAGAGAAAUCGCCAACAGCUAUGGUGGUCUCGACUUGGGCUUGAUGAACCUGCCAUCGCUCCAGAAGGUUAGCGUUGGAUUGGAUUGCAAUGGCGCUAAUGAUGAGGAAGUGAAGGAAUUGAGAGCUGUGCUGAGCCAUGGUACUAAAAUCCAUCCUAAUCGUCCACGCCUUUGGAUAAAUAGGAAAGCGGUUAAAGAUACAGGUGUGGUUCCUCCCAUAUUUACAAAAUCCAUUUUAUUGAUUGAUCCUAUCAUCCUUUCCCUAUCCACUUUUUAACCUUAAUCCUUUUUUCUGCUUCUAUCUCUGUUUCAGAUAAUGAGUGAAUGACUGGUGUUACGGCGUGCCUUGCUGCGGAGGAAGUAUGGAGGGGAGACAGGGAGGUUAGGGCGCCCUGAUCUGCGGCGUGCCGGAGCCGUGGCUGGGAGGCAGCAGAUCGGGACAGAGGUAGGAGGAGACGCCAGGCGCUCUAGGGAGAUAUAAUCUCAAUCCUGGGCUAAGCCCUUUUCAUUAAACCGAGUUGAACUCUUAUAGUCUUUUACAUAAUAGGAAAUCUGAGUUUCCAACAAACUCUAUCUAAUAACCCUCUGUAAAUAGAAUUAAUAAUUAAGACUUCUAAAAGUCUAAUAACUGAGAGUCCUAGAAACAAGGGACUCAACUCCCUGGGCGUGAUCAGCCACCUGAUCAGCCACCCAGCGCCCUAUCCCUUCUACUAUAGACGUUGCCAGUCAUAACAACUGGACUGGGCAAAAGAUUUCUAAUUAUGCAGCUCCAGUCCAUCCCAAUCGGCCAAUCAUUGAGGUAGCGACAUUAAAAUCACAAAGUGCGCUGGGCUACAAUUGUUUCCAUGUCUCCCUAAAUAAAAUAUCCCUGCUUCAAGUUCACCUCCCUGCAGCCUGCAAUAGCUAAUGAAGUUGCAACACUUAAACAGACUUCUUUUUUUCUAAAAAAAUGGUGUCAUUUAAUCUCAGUGACAUUUAGAGAGAUGGAGGCCCACAGUUUUUAACUAAAAUGAUACUAGCACUAAAUUGACAGAAUCAGCUGUUUGAAUGUCAGGUAAAUGAUUAUGAUCAGUUGCAGUCUCAUGUGAUGGAGAGUCCCAGUUAAGGUGUAAUGUUUUGCCAAUUAUACUUGAAUGAUAAGCUCAGUUAAGGUGUAUGUUUUAUGCACGCAUGCUGCUAACUUGGAGGCCUUCAUAGCCUGCUAAUUAAUUCUUAUCAAACACUUGUUAGUGAUGUGAAUUAUACUUUUUGUUGCCCUAAAAAAAAAGUUUUCGUCUCACAUUCAGAUUCACCUCCCCGCAAUAUCCAACUUGUGAGUUAAGUUAAAACCACUAAACUGAAUAUGAACACGGUUAUGAGGUGUAUUUUGUGCAUGCUUGCUACUAACUUGGAAGGCAUCAUAACAAGCUCAAUUUCGCUUCUCAUUUAGAUCGUUUCUUCCCAUGUGUUGCAGGGACAGUGGGAGUCCAGGAGACCUUGCCUUUGGCGAAUGGUAGUACAAUUGGAAGUGUGUUGCAACAAGUCACUUGAACGUCUGUUAAAAAAAAACAAAAAGAAUGUUACACAUACAGAUUAUAUCUGUACAUUUCUCAGUACUGAUGUCUGCUUACAAAGAAGUACAAGUUAGCAGCAACUGUGCACAAAAACACCUCAUAACAGUGCUCAGAUUGUACCUGUACAUUUUUUGGUUGCCUGAUCCUCUUGCGACUCAUUGUUCCUCUGUUGUAUUGCCUGGUCUAGGUUUUUCUUUUUUAAUAAAACCACCAGCUCUCCUGCUUGAUUCUUUUCAAAAAAUAUAUUUUGCUUACUCUGCUGUCGAAGGCGUGUUGCAAAACUUGCAAGCCAGUAAAUACAGGGCACGAAAGAUAUAUAGCUCUGCAAUUGCAACUCUAGUCUUGGGAAUCUUUUUUUUUUGUUUAGAUUUCAGAUUCUAUCAACAAAAUGUUGUGAUAAUUUCCAUAGUUUCUACUACAUUGCAUGUAUUGCACAGUUUGUUCACAGUAGUCUACCCUUGACGAAAAAGGUGAAAUUUGCGUUGAUUUUCCAGCUUGUGGAAUUGGUCAUGUUGUGAGCUAGUGAGACGGCAGUCUGUUGUAGCUACGAAGCAUAUUGUUGCAGCUAGGGAUGAAAAUGGUACGGAUAUUUUCCGACCGUAUUCGAGACCGAAUUCAUUUAGAGGGGUUGAGAUCUGUCCGUAUCCGAGUCCGAAUGUUUAAUAUCCGAUACCGUAUCCGUAUCCGAAUAUUUAAAUCGUAUAUUUAUGAUGUCGACAUCCAAUCGUAUCUUAUCCGACAUUGUUGAUAUUAUCCGUAUUCGAAUCCGAAUCCGACCAAAAAUAUGAAAACAAAUAUGAUAUCAGUGAUAUCCGUUCGUAUCCGAUCCGUUUUCAUCCCUAGUUGCAGCUACGAAGCAUGCUCUGUUUCUAUGUGCUCUGUUCUGUGCCCAUGACACAUUAAAAUCUGGACCACAGAGUGGGGUGCCAUAUAUUGUGGAUGAGAUAAAAAUCAUAUGGCAGUACAACAAUCCCAGCUUUCUUUCUGGUGCCAGUGCCAUCAGUCACUGAUGCCAGUUAAUUGAUUAUUUAACUCAUCACUCACUGAGGCCAGUUAAUUAAUUUUUAAGCAAGCAUAGUAACUGGGAAGUUGGGCCUUGUUUAGUUCCAAAACUUUUUGCAAAAUGGACACUGUAACAUUUUCAUUUGUAUUUGAUAAAUAUUGUCCAAUUAUGGACUAACUAGGCUCAAAAGAUUUGUCUCGCAAAUUACAGGUGAACCGUGUAAUUAGUUUUUAUUUUUGUUUAUAUUUAAUACUUCAUGCAUGCGUCUAAAGAUUCGACGUGACAGAAAAUCUGAAAAAUUUUGCAAAUUUUUUUAGGAACUAACAAGGCCUGGUCUACUCCACCACCAAAUCCAUCCGUAGAAAAAGGUGGGAGAGGGUACCUUUUAUAUUCUACUUAAUCCCCUCCAACAAUUGUCUGAGACAAGAAGUUCCUAAUUAACAACAUCUCCCUUUACCCCUUUUUGCAGAUUGUACUCCCCGAUGAGGAGAUCACCGAGCUUGGUUAUGACGCGGGAGUUGUUAGAAUAGAGGUCAUUCCCUGCAGCAGCAUGGGCGAAAUGCAUGGUCCACGUCGCGUCCGUAGUAGAGUCGUCGUGUGUAGGAAGCCUGGCGCCGAGACCGGGGCUCGGGCGAGGCGUCGAUUGCGCUCGAGAUCGGGGCUCGGGCGAGGCGUGGAUUGCGCUCGAGACUGGGGCUCGGGUGAGGCGUUGAUUGCACUCGAGACCGGGGCUCGGGCGAGGCAUGGAUUGCGCUCGAGACCAGGGCUCGGACGAGCCAUGGAUUUUGUCCGGGACCAAGGCUUGGACGAGUCACUUAUUGCUUCGAGCGAGUUGUGGGUAGUGUUCCGUUCGACUAGGCCUCUCUGUUGGGCCGAGAGGAAGUGGGUCUUCCUUUGCCGCUUUUCCCCCUCUUGAUUUGAGUAUCCUGGUUCAUGGUACCCGGCAUAUAGCUUUAUUAUGCACAAUCAUAUAGGUCAUAUUAUGAAGAAUAAACUUAGUGAGUUGAUAUAUCCGACAGUUUGUUUACAUAUUUAUAAUUUUUAAUACUAUUUUAGGAUGAAUCAAAAUCUGCAGUAGUGAUGCAGUUCUUUGUUUUUCAAAAAAUUGUUAGCAAAAAGAACUCUUGAACAGCUACAACAUGGAGCCUUCACAUGUGUAUGUAUGUAUAAACUGAAACCUGCAUGGCUGCUUCAAGGUCUCUUCACAUCCACAUCCAAGCAGGGAGUUAAAAUUGUAAAAUUUAUCACAACCAGUUCAAUGGUGAGUGGAUUACCUUUGAGAAUUCCUUGAUGUAAACUUGUUUACAAUGCCAAAUCAAAAUGAAUUUUAGAUAAACGUCAACAGAACCAGAUAACUGGAUACAUAGAAAGAUUCGUUGGAGUCAAACUUCCACUUUAAUUGGAUACACAUUAAUAGGAUUUGUCUUACUCUUAGCAGUGCUCGACCUGCCCUUUAGGGCAAAAUUAUUUAUAGAUGGAUCUUUCCGAGUUAUAGCAGUAAGACCUGCUUCCGCAGCUAACCAGAUAAUUUUCAAUUGCUCAUUACUUUUAAGCUUAUAUGUGCAAUUUUUUACAAACUACAACUGCUAAGGAGAUAGCCAGUCGGUCCCCAGCACAGAAGUUUUGAGUUUAUUUGUUACACGAAUGAAACAUAUAUUUUUGUCUUUCAGUUUUCAGUUUUUUUAUAGGAUUUAGAAGUCACUUUGUACAAUGUUUGGGUCAAACAUUAAAAAUAUAAAUCAUCAAUAACUUUUAAAUUAUUGACUUUGCAAAUGUGAAAAUUAUAUGAAUAGAUUUGUCUUGAAUAUAUAUAUAUAUAUAUAAUUUUUUCUAAUUUUUUUUAUAAAAAUAAGAGGUCAAAGUUGUAUUUUAGAGACCGUGUCACUGUCCUAAAUGACUUCUAAAUUCUAUAUGGAGAGAGUAAUAACUUCAGAUUUGAUGAUUUUUCUUGUUUUUUUAAAUCAUGUUCUAGCAAUUUGUUACAUUCUUACAACUAUUAUUUUAUCUAUCUUUUCAUGUGACCAUGUUUUAUUUAUUUAAAUUUUGAAUUUCAAAAAAAUGACAACUUCAAACGUUAUUUUGGAACACUAAAUGGUUUCAGCUGAAAAAUUCAUGAACGUAGAAGUUAUAGAACUUAUCAAGAUCUACAACUUUUAUUUUGGUCAUUUCUUCAUCCGAUAAAGUGAUGGCAACAUUGUUCACAAAAUUUACAUGUCUCUCCUAUAGUUUCAUAGACUAUGAGAGGGAUGUGUGAUAUUUGUGAACAAUGUUACUACCACUAUGUCAGAUGAAUACAUAACUAAAAUAAAAGUUGUAAAUCUUAAAAAGUUAUGCAACUUUAUAGUUGAUAAUUUUUUUUAUUUGAAAUCAUCUUAUCUUGGAAAACAAAGUUUAAAUUCGUAAAAAAAUGAAUUUUGACUUUUUUAAAUGACCUUGGAUGGAGAAACUUCUAAAAUAAAAGUCAUAGAUCUCGGAAAGUUAUGAAAAUUUUUAGUUGAUAACUUUUUUAUUUAAAAUAAUUUUGUCAAAGAAAACAAUAUUUGAAUUUCCAAAAAAUUUUAAAAUUUGAAUUUUUAAAACGAUCACAGAUGGACAAACAACAAAAGAAAAGUUGUAGAUUUUAAAAAGUCAUGAUGCAUUGUUAUUUGAAAUCACAUUGUCAUGAAAAAUCACGUUUGAAUUUCUUAAAUUUGAAAUUCAAAUUUUGUAAAUUAUGUCAGAUGGAGAAACUACCACAAUAAAAGUUGAAGAUCUCCAAAAGUUAUAAAACUUUGUAGUUAACAACUUUUUCAUUUGAAUUGGUUUAAGGCUCCAAAUACUUAUUUUAAAAUCAGAUGAAUAUAAAAUGGCUAGUUCGAAAAUCUCAUUUGGACACAAACAUGUUACUGGCAGAGUGGUUAGAGGCUGAAGACGUGCAGCAGGAGGUUGGGGGUUUAGGUGCUUUAUGGCUAUCUAUGGUGGGUCCUCUUCUAGUAAUAAUUAUUGUACUAUCGGUUUAAAAUCCAGCAGUGAUGGGUUUUUUGAAUCAACAAUGAUGUGAAGAUAUGGAGUAGUGCAAGUGUGCUGCUAGCCUGCUACCACACGUAUUUAAGGACAAACUUAGAAAAUUUUGAUUCAUGAUGACUCGUAUUUAAGGACAAAGAGAGUAGUUCCAGUUUCCUAAUAUUUUUUUUUUCUAAAAAUGCAGGACAUAGUCUCAUUGUGCUCCUACUUUUAAAAUUUUAAUUAAAAAAAUUUAGUGUAGAGGUUGCAAUUAAUUGCAGGUUGCAGCGAGGUGAAUCUGAAGCUGAGGAACAGGAGAAAUUAAGGUUUGCAAAAGAGCGAAAGGAAAGAGGCAAGGCAACAAUAAAGAACAACAUUUGUAGGCAGCACACUUUUAUGUGGCCCACGCCCACCUCAAAGCAUUGGAUGAUCCAAGGGUGGCCGAUCGAAACGAUGGCCUCCUUCCUUGCCACAUCAGCAACAAAUACAAACAGACUCUGCAAUAAAUACAUUAUUAUAGUAUACAAAUUCUCCCUUCUCAAUUACUCCGCGGUGCUCGGCGCAUAAUUUUUUUUUUUUUGAAAAGAAUCGAACAACAGAGCUGCUGAUUUCAUUAAAAAUGAACAACCUAGUUGAGUCGUUGAAACUGAACUCACAAGUUGGAUGUUGCAGGGAACAUCAUUGCCCUUGGCUGCAAUCUCAUAUCCAAAAUGUCCCAGCAGCACAAAACAGAGCAUAUAAAACAGAGCAUGCCGUCACUAGUGCCCAGUAAAGUAACCUAAUUGCCAUUGGCUGUAACCAUUUUGGAAAAAAAGAAAGAAAGAAUGUCCAGACUAAUCACCAUGCAUACUGGCAUCUAUGUCUGAUGACCAUAGCCACAGGCUGGAAAUUAACAUGAAACGGGAUAGACUCCUGAAGAUCCAAGUGACCAUACAUAAUGUGGAAUCGGUUCAAUGUACUGAAAGCUAUGCAAAUGAAUUUGCUUUUUGACAGCUUCGAGUAUCCAUACAAAUUAUGAUAGAUAAAUAAAUAAAUAAAUAAAAAGAAGUAUCCAUACCAAUUGCACUCAACAGGAACGUAAACAGACCCUGCGAACUUUUAGGCAUCCUGUGACCUGUGGAAAGUAACCACAAAUUGGUGCCAACAAGUUCCGGUUCCAACAAACAAUGUUAGCGAGCUCUGGUCCCAACUCUUCCUCACCGGAAUAACCUUGUGUUCAAUCUAUUGUUUCCUGGUCUCCAGGCCACCGACUGUAGAUUUGUGAAUUGUGAGCCCAACUCUGCCAGUGAAACAGAGGAUUCUUUGUUUAGGGAAACAGGCGGGAGAAAUGGCGAAGUGAAAGGACAGAAAGGCAAGAGAGAAGAGUUGUAGCCAGCGAUUUUUUCAUCUGUUCGUGUCGCAUACCUCAAUGUGCUUGGUGAAUUAUGAUGGGCUGCGGUUGCAUGUAGAGGAACAGAUAUCUUUUCUCUGGGACAUCAUUCAUUCAUCUGAAACAGAGGGCAGAAAAAGAACCAAUUAAUCUCACAAGAAAAGGAAACGGACACGAAGCAAUACGGACGAAUUUGAGCAAGCAGCACCUUGGUCUUCAGAGCAUCCGUCUAUUAAAAGCCUGGGACGAUUGGGAUGAAUUUUACUGGCAUGCCACAGCUUAGCCUUCAAUUUCUUCACCUCCUCCUCACUAGCGCCUUCAGAGUCCAACAAAAAAAAGAUAUACUGGAGGGAUGGCAAGAUACCCAGGCCAAAAUCGAGACCAACAACACCGUCGCUGCUGCCGAUUUCAAUGGCCUCCCGCACAAAGAACCCAGAGCAAAGGGUUCUGAGCCUUGGCAUAGCUCCCUGCUGAAACACUAUGGGUCCCACAAAUCCACGGAAGUCGCAGUAUCUUAGGCAUGGGAACGAACCAGCACCAAUGACAAAUCCCCCAAAGAUUCCGAGUUCAUCAUGGCCCACAACCAGAUUUAGUUGACGGAGAGCAUGUAAGUUCCCAAGUAUGUCGAGAUCACGCUGCUGUACCUCCCUUACGGCGAUGGAUAGGAUGGAGAGGCACGGCACAUGUGAUGGAUUCAUCCACUCUGGCAGCGUUGAGAACCAGCAGACCGACUGUAUACGCAAUCUACGGAGACAUCGAGGGGCGACCCAGGCAUCCAAUCCACCGAUGUUCUUUUGAUGCUGCGGGACCCAGAAAUAAAGGUCUUGGAUGUUUUGCAGCUUUGGUAGGCACUCAACCAGCUUGUCGUUCCAUUCAUCCAAAGUAAUCUCCAGUACCCUCAGUUCUGUUAGCUGACCCAACUCUUCUAGAAUGUGGAUAUUGGAGUCAUCAACGCGUAUAUGUGACAGCACUUCCAGGCUUGUUAGGCUCCCUAUACUAUUUGACACCCUCGUUGAACCUUCAAUCUUCAGGCACAUCAAAUGUUUGAGCUGAACUACAUUUGAUGGCAAGCAAGCAAUUUGAUUUUCCUGUAUAUCCAGUAUUUGUAGAAAUUUCAAGUUUCCUAUUUCUUCAUGGAGCUCCACAAUGCCUGUGCUUCAUAGUCCUAGACUCCUAGGUACCUCAAGUGAAAUAGAUUCCCAAGACACUUAUUAAGGUUGUAACCUUGUGAAAGAUCACAACAUUGUAAAUCCAUCACUCGUAAAACUUGGAAGCUCCUGAGGACUGGUAUUAUUAGACUACUGUCUCGUAGCGGGACAACAAUUGACCUUACUUGUUGCAGGCUCCUAGUUGCCAGAGUCAUAGAAUCAUCUUCCUUGCCAUUUUGAAUGGAUAACCUCCGAAUCUUACUUGAUGCAGACAUUUGGUCCAUACCAUUUAGUAUAGUUACAAAGUUUGCUUCACUUGACAAGGAGCAGAUAAGAUCAAGCACCAUAUCAUGUACACGACAUUCAUAUACAUUGCUAGAGACGCCAUAUAUGGGUUGGAUCAUACUUCUGUUUAUAAGCUCAUUGAAGUAAUUCUCUCCAAGUUCAUACUGACUCUUUCCUUGUUUCUCACAAUGGAUAAAGCCUUCGGCUAUCCACAUCCAUAUCAACCUAUCUUUUUCAACUUCGUAAUCUUCUGGAAACAUACUCAAGUAUAAUAAGCAAGUCCUCAGAUGGGAUGGCAUAUUAUAGUAGCUAAACGACAAAAUCUUUCUCAUAUUCUCAACAUCAAGAUUAUUCUGGAGACCAGUACCAAUAGAAUGGUAUACCUCAUACCAAUCCAUCUUAUUUCGAGGUUUACAAGCUAGCAGACUAGCCAUUGUAAUAAUAGCCAAGGGUACACCGGCACAUUUCUUUAGUAUUCUAUCAGAUACUUCGGCCAACUCCUCGAUAGGGCAUUUUCCCAUGUCUUCAACAUUGUUGUUGUUUUCAUUACCAAAUACUCUUCUGUACAAUAAUUUCCUCGAGUUAUCCUCAGGGCUUUCAACUUGUAAGCACCACCAACUCUAUCAGCAACAUCAACAUUACGUGUAGUUGUAAUGACUGCAAAUCCAAUAUCAUUUUCAGGCAAAGCACAUUUGAUCACUUCCCAGACUGAGACAUCCCAUAUGUCAUCAAUAACAACAAGAUACCUAUAAAUACAUAGGAAACUAUCAGUAAAAAGCAACCUUGGAAGGAAAAACAUUUACAAUCAAUUUGAUUAAGCAACAUACACCUUAAGCUGAAAUCGUUAGGUCCAACAGGAUUAACAUGUAAAAAUAGUCAUUUUGGACAAGGUUUGAGUAAACAUUGGGAAUAUAAAUCAUGAAUAACUUUUAAGUAAUUGAGUUUAGAAAUAUGAAAAUCAUAUGAAUAGAUUUGUCUUAAAAAAUACUUUUAUAAACUUAUACAUAUACCAUUUUUUAAUAAAUAUUUUAUAAAAACAAGGAGUCAAAGUUAGGCCUAAACAACUUUCUUUAUGGGUGUGGAGGGAGUAUGUAAACAAAAUUGUUCCCUAAUAAUAUAUGUUUGCCAAAUAAAAAAUAAUUCCACUGGGGAAUAGAAGAUUGUUCCCAUUGCUAUUUAAUUUCCACUCAAUAACAACGUGAAAAAUAUUCUGGUUGCUUUUUUUUAUUUUACCAUGUCACGAAUGAACAUUCCUUACUGACCAUGUGCAUCGUAAGAUAGAACUUCAUAUGUACAAAUUGCUGUCAGGAAUGCUUCCAUACCUUUUUGGUAUAAGGAAUUCUCUAAGUACAUUGAUGAGCCGCCUCUCAUCCAAUGUUUCUGCAUUGAUGUUCUUGUCAAGAUCAUAGAGCAAUUCCUUGAAUAAUUUCUUCAAGUCAGGUGUUUGGGACACCGAAAUAAAAGCACAACAAUGAAACAGUGAUCUAAUCUUCUCAUACACUACUUUGGCAAGAGUUGUUUUUCCAAGGCCUCCAAAUCCAACAAUGGAAACUACCUUGCCCUGCUGAAAGGGCACUCCAUUUCCAUCCAUCAGUACCUUGAUUAGCUCAUCUCUCGUCUCAUCAAUUCCGACAAGCUCUUUUGCCUCUUUGAACUGAGCAAAUAAACGAGGGUCCACUACAGUAGUUGUGGUAGGCUUAUCAACACCAUUGUUAACAUUAUACCUAAGACGCCUCUCAUGUACCUCUACAACACGGCUCUUGAUGUCCCUUAUCUCAGUACCAAUCUCGUGGCGAAUCUUAGCCUUUUUGAACAAGCCAACACUUCUAUCAACAAACUUUUUGAUACCAUGCAGCUUGGCUGACUCAUCACUCUUGCCACACACCAUGAACGUGUCAAUGUUGUCCUCUAUAUCAUAGGAUAGCUCCCUCAAAUCCCUUGCCCAGAUCUUGUCCUGAAUGUCAAGCCGGUCUAGCGGCGUGUUGGAGACCUUCUCGAGGGCACCCUUCAUGCUCUCAAGUUCAGAUUGGAGAAACUUGAUCUCCCCCUUCACCCCCUUCUGCAGAUUGUACUCACCAGCAAGCAGCUCGCCGAGCUUGGUGAUGACACUUGGCAGCGCCCCUGUCACAACCUCCAUCCUUUUUUCAAGCUAGCGUGAGUGAGGAGACCGCUGUGCAAGUCUGCCGCUCACCUGCAGUAAAGUAAGCAGCGGCAUGGGGAGUCACAUGGAUUGUGAACAAGAGAAUGCAACAGCUUGUGAAGUUGAUCUUGUGAAAAAACAAAAAGCAGAUCGAUGGAGACCAAUUUUACUAACUCACCGCUCACCAGAUGGUUGCGAAGGGAGCCGAUGGUGAACGCUGGAUCAAGCUGUGCUUGUGGCCAGAUCGAUGGGAUCUGGCUUGAUUUUGAGUUUUGAAUCUGCCCCGGUGUAGCCACCCAGCAGCUCACUUCUCAGUGCCCUAGAUUCGAAGUUGGAACCUGAAGAGGAUGGAGCCCGACUCGAUGGAGGAGCAGCAGCAGGGAUUGCUAGUGGUUAUUGAACAGCCAGCAACUAGGCGUCUGGACUUCACAAUGGCCACACAAACACGCUCAGUCUGCGAGUCUGCAGGUCAAGGUAAGAGUGUUGGAUGCCAUCAAUCAACUAGCUAAGAGUGAUGAACAGACACAUAGAACUUACGCAUGUGAUUUACCACUUAACACGAGCGUUUUUAUACUGUGAUGAACAGUAAAGACGUAGAUAGAAAGAGAAUUAGUAAGACGCACCGAUCGCUGCAGGAUACGUAUGGAGAUGCUGCCGAUUUUCCAAUUCAGCCGCUGCUCGUGGCUGAAUCACCCAGUCCCUCACUCGCUCGUCGCUGGAUCACACACUCACUGCAAGUCUGCAGUGCAAAGUGCGCUGAGAGGUGAGAGCUUUCUGGAUGGGAUCUGGCAUGAAGAGGAGGAAGAGCCUGGUGAGACUAAGGGUGGGAGUCAUUAAUUAAUUAUUAGAAGGGUGAAUUAACAUCAAGCACAGUACUCCCUCUGUCCCUAAAAGCUUUAACUUUUAGAGUUGUCUUAAGUCAAAUUUUUAAACUUUGUCCGAAUUUCUAGAAAAAAAAACACUAAGAUUUAUACUGUCAAAUUAAUACCAUUAAAUUUAUCAUAAAAUAUAUUUUUAUAAAAUACUUAUUUUAUGUCAAAGAUAUUGAUAUUAUUUUUUAUAAAGUUGAUUACACUAAAAAGUUUGACUCAGCUUUUAAGGACAAGGGAGUGUACUGGUAUUUUUUUUAGAUAAUGGAAAAUUCCAGCUUCAGCCUUCUUCUUAAAAGAAGAAGCAUCAGUCCAAAUUUAUUACAGUAGCACACCCAUAAUUAAAACUUAUUAUAGGUUCAGAAUUAAUGUUUAAGACGGUAAAUGAAAGACCAUCCAUGCGAUGCGAAGAACUCCAUGGCUCUCGAUUCUAGUAGCUUGCAAGCGUCACGAAUCCGUUCCUUGUCGUCAUCCGAGCGCUGCAACAGAGCCUAAAAUCGUAACCAGUGUGUCCCCCUGAAAAGAACCUGCAAAAAAGUUUUUGGGUGACCUUUGUCAAAAACCAUAUCGUUCCUUGUGAUCCAUAUUGCCCAGCAAAACGCCGCAGCCCCAGUUAAUAAUAGAUGAUUAUGAUUGGAUCCUCCUAGCUUUGACCAACUAUUGAAAAGAUGGUUCACGUUCCUUGGAGGAAAAAUACCAAACAAAACAAAUGCAGCACGCCAAAGAAAUCUGGCAUAAUGGCAAUCAAAAAACAAGUGUUGGAUAGUUUCAGGUGUGCUACAAAGACAACAAGCCUUACUCCCAUUCCAAUUCCUUUUAGCAAGGUUGUCUUUUGUGAGUACCACCCCCUUUUUUAAGAACCAAAGAAAAAUCUUAAUCUUCAAGGGCACUUUCAUAUGCCAAAUUUCCUGGGUAACCUUAAUCCCAUUAUUAACUAGGUAUUUGUACAUGGAUUUAACAGAAAAUAAGGCAUUAUUAUUUAAGUUCCAGACGAAAGUAUCCCGACCCUCAUUUAAAUUAAUAAAAGCAACUCUCGCAACUAGACUUUGCCAUUCCAACAACUUGUUCCCAACUAGUGCCCUUCUAAAAGACACAUUGAGAGGGGUGGAAUUAAGUACAUCAGCCACUGUUGCUUGUUUCUUGCGCACUAUAUUAAAUAAAUUUGGAUAUUGGAUUUUUAAGGGUUGGGAGCCCAACCAUUUAUCUUCCCAAAAUCUAAUUUGAGUUCCAUUGUCUAGUUUAAACUUCCCAAGACUUAAGAAAAUGUCUUUGACUCCCAACAAACUAAGGAAGGACCAAGUUGCUAUGAAGGCACACCUUGAUGGAGUUGGUGUAAGUGGCCGGCAGCAAGGUGUCGUUUUGUGCUCAGUACCCAUUAGGCCACUAGUCACAAACACUUGGUCCGUGUUGGUUUUGAGAUCGAAAUCACGCUUUGUUGAAUUUAAAAUAGAGCUAGGUAGCAUCCACUAGCUAGUAGUUUACAGCCGAGAGCUCUAUGAUUCAUGUUUUGGUCGGUCGUUCACUUUGGCUCGAUCCAUACUUUUGCAUAAUCUAUGUUUGUCUCAUAACUCGUUCAGUUUCAGACUAACUCCGUUACAAAGCAAGCCACCAUAUAAAAAACCAUUCUUUGCCGUGCUGUUUGGGACUUUGUGUUGCAGGUGCAGAUUCUUUUUUCUGCUGCACAAGGAGCAUAAUAAUGAUGACAAAUCAAAGAGGGUUGGUGCCUUGGUGGUGGUUCACCAUCUCCAUAUACGCAUCCAUGCAUUGAACAAUUUGUGCAAUCACAUCUUGGUCGUCACUCCCAAAUUGUAAAUCUCAAUAUGCACGUUUUUAUAGCUCCACUUGGUCGAAUAGCUAAGUUCACAGCAGCUCCAAAUAUAUGAUUUUUUUCUCAUUAUUUUCUUACAAAAGGUUUAAUGUUACGCUUCUCCAGAAAUAUACGAGUUCUUGAUAAGCUAACUGUGCAAUUGUGAGUGUUAGGAAAGGAAUGGCAGCACUAGUCAUGGUGGUACUUGACUCAUUCUCAGCUUCAGGUACUGCAUGCAUGGUAAACGACAUGUACAGUCUAUCAAACAGUAAGUAUCUCAUCUAGACUUGGCUCACUAAGGCAUACAUGUAAACAAACAACUAAAAGUAGUCUGGGGACUGACAGUGGGCUGGGUGUUCUUUAGGCCUUAUUUCACUAGUAGAAAAGAGUACAACGCCGACGGUCCCUUUUUAUACUACAGGCGGUUGUAGUGAUCACGCGCCUGUGGUGUAAAAAGGGUGGUGUCAGAACUACGAACUGUCUGUGAAGAUGCAUUUUCACAGGCAGUUUUCCUAACAAAACCGCCUGUAGAAAUCAUGUAUUUCUACAGGCGGUUCUCCUAAGAAACCGCCUGUAAAAAUCAUAUUUCUACGGUUUCUUAAGAAAGCCGCCUGUAGAAAUAAUUUGAAAUUAAAUUUUUUGAGUUUUUCAAAUGACCUUGUUUGAAAAAACUGUCAACAUGAAAGUUGUAGGUCUCGAAAAGUUAUGAAACUUUGUAGUUGAUAAUUUUUUCAUUUGACAUCAUCUUGUCGUCGAAAACUACGUUUGAAUUUCUUAAAUUUGAAAUUCAAAUUUUAUAAAUGACCUCGGAUGGAAAAACUUCCAAUAUAAAAGUUGUAGAUCUUAAAAAGUUAUGAAACUUUGUAGCUGACAACUUUUCCAUUAGAAUCCGUUUAGGGCCUCAAAUAAUUAAUAUAUGCUCGGUUUGAGAUAAUAUGUGGGGAACUAAACUCUAAUAUAGACACAAGUUAGUGAUAGGUGGAGUGGUAGAGGAGGCUACACACAAGGGCAAGGUCUUAGGUUCAAAUCUCACCGGCCGCGAAGCACGCGAUUUUACGCGAAAAGAAGCGAAUAGCCAAUGGGCCUUUCCUAUAAUUAAAAUCAUUUUUUUCUAUUUUUAAAAGUCGAUUUUGUAUUUUCUGUAAAAACAUUUCUACAUGCGGUCCACAUAACUGAACUGCCUGUAGAAAUUCAUUUCUACAGGCGUUUCUUAGUUACCGCCUGUAUAUUUGGCACAUUUCUACUGGCCUCCAGCACAGGCGGUGCUGAAAAACGCCAGUAGAAAUAGGUUUCCAGCCGUCUGUACAGUAUGUCUCUGUACUAGUGUUUAGUUCACCAUAAAAUCCAAAUUUUUUUGAAAGUUUCUAGUCAUAUCGAAUCUUGCGGCACCUACAUGGAGCGUUAAAUAUAGAUUAGAAAAAUAGUUAAUUAUACAGUUUGUCUGUAAUUUGCGAGAUGAAUCUUUUAAGCCUAGUUAGUCUAUGGUUGGAAAAUAAUUGCCAAAUACAAACGAAAGUGCUAAAGUACGCAAAAAAAUUUCAACCAGAGAACUAAACAAGUUUAUAGUGAACAUUAGUGGCAUAAUUUAAAGUGAAAACAAAACUUAUGACAACGUAUUGGCCUGGUCUUACUGUAGUACUGAGUGUGAACAUAAGUUUAAAGCGAACAUUAGUUGUAUAAUUGCAUUAGCCGUUUGAUCAAGUGGGAGAAUGUUGGAAUAUGAACGGCUCGGCUACCCAAACUUAAUUAUAUUAAUUAAAAGUUAAUCUUUGAUUCACCCACUGGUCAUUAAUUGUAACUAAAUAAGCAUUGUCGUGAUCGGUGACAACCCUUAGAAUUCUAAGGAUUCACCUGGCCCACGAUGCAUUAUAAAUAAGAGAGGUGCCGCUAGUGUCAAAAUCACUCCAAACCACAUAACUUUUCACAUAACCGAUCACUUAGGCACUGGAGGGUUUAGGAAGCUCUGUAUCCCGUCCAAUACACCGCCGGUGGUCCAAAAGGCCGCUGCUACCUGGCAUGAUGAGUUCAUCACCUGCAGAGGGUUCCCAAACCCUCAGCCCGUGAUCUACAUUCAUCUACACCAUCGUCAACGACUGCAUCACCACCGCCGGAGGCACUAAUGGCGACCACCAAUACUGGUCUCGCACUAUUUACUAAAGGCUUUGUUUAGUUCCGAAAAAAUUUCGGAUUUCGCUACUGUAGCAUUUUCGUUUUUAUUUGACAAAUAUUGUCCAAUCAUGAACUAACUAGGAUCAAAAGAUUCGUCUUGCGAUUUACAGACAAACUGUGUAAUUAGUUUUUGUUUUCGUAUAUAUUUAAUGCUUCAUGCAUGUGUCGCAAGAUUCGAUGUGACGGGAAAUCUUGAAAACUUUUUGGAUUUCGGGGUGAACUAAACAAGGCCUAAGUAUUUCCACAUUAGAUGAGUUGUGGUCUUGAGUUAGACUAUGUAUAAGAUCCUAUAAUCAUGUGCUAUACGUUUUAUGAUAAAGUUAAUUUCAAUAAGCUCCACAAAUUACUCAUUCUUUUAUAGUUAGAUGAUGGUUGAUUUGAUUUGAUGAUUGACGAUUGAUGAUGACAUGGACUAAUUACUGGGUCACCAGCCCCGCCCACAACCUGAGCGCCAAAGUACAACCAACGACGGUGGCGAAGAAUAAGGAUGAAAACAGAAAUGAAAAUUCCCGACCGAAUCGCAUCGUUUUCUACAUUUGAUCCGAUCGUUUUCACUUUUCUCGGAAUAAUUCGAAAACGGUACGAAAUUCGGUAGACAAAUUCGAAAACGGUGCGGAAUUCGAAAUAGGCUUAUUUCGACCGUUUUCUACUUUUCUUCAUUAUAUUCGAAAUUAUCCGUAUUCAAAAUGCGAAAAUAACCGAAUUUGGCCCAUAAUCUGUAGUGUGUAGUCCCCCCUCCCCCACUACCACUGCCAGACUUUUCCUUUCCGGCCCGGCCCAGUAACACAAGUACACAACCCUAAAUCCCUAAUCCACUCGACCACCCGCACCCUCCGGCCUCCACCCGACCACGACGCAAAGAGUGGCGGCACCCCUAUUCCCUUCCGUCGCGACUCGCGAGUGGGACGCCGCCGCCAGUCCGCCACAGCGCCGCCCGGGCUCCACGCCUCCAGCGCCGCCAUGGCUCCACGCCGCCAGCCUCCAGUGCCGCCAACCACCAGCGACAACAGGGCUCCAGCACUGCCAGCCACCAGCGCCGCCAGGGCUCCAGCGCCGCUAGCCUCCACACCGCCAUCCCGCCCGUCAAGCAUUCGAUGGCGCCUACUGGUGCUUCUGCUCCUAGAACGAAGGGCGCCAGCAAGGGGGCAAGCACAAGACGAAGAGCGUGCGUCGUCUUCUAGAGCCACCUCCCAUACCGGCAGCGGCAACAACGUCUUCAAUAGCAGGUUCAUCUUCCAUUCUUCCUUGAUUAUUUGGCUACUUUAGAAAUUUUUUGGUGUCCUGUUAGUUUUGGCUGUUGGUAGAGGAAGAAUGGAUCACUGGAAUCCUGUUUUUGUUGUCCUGAUAGUUUUGGCCGUUGGUAGAAUUGUAGAAAGAAUUUAUGGAUGUUGUAGGAUUGUAGGAAGAAUUUGUGGAUGUUGGAUAGUCCCAUUUAUCUAAUUUAGCAAUGUUUCACUUGGUUGUUUGUAGGAUCAGGGAGUAAAAUGCCAUCUCAAAGUGUUGCACUUACUAGUUUGGUGACUAUGUACUUGUGUGUCGGUUAACUAUUAUGUGCACUUGAACUAAAUCAUGCAUUUGUUAGUUUGGUCAUGCACUUGUUUAAAACUAUGCACCGUGAGUUGGUAUUUCGUAUUCAAUUUUCGUACGUCGACCGUUUUCGACAUAAUUCCGAUCGAAUUGGUUUGUUUUCGAAUACCGUAAUUUCGCUUUCGUUUUCGUUUCCGACUAUACCGUUUCCGUUUUCGUGUUCGUAUUUAAAUAUAAAUAUAGAAAACAAUAGAGGAGUUUUUCGACCGUUUCCGACCGUUUUCAUCCUUAGCGAAGAACCAUAUGUAAAUACGAGCAUGCAGCCCGCACUGGUGGCCUAGCAUGAGGCCCAAAAUUUUGGCCUGAUGGCUAGCGGGCCCAGACCAGCACAGACGAGCCCAGCCCAGAGGACUAGGCUGCUCUAUUGGUCCUGCGGGUGGCAUGGCCCAUCCUAGUAAAAUACGCCAAGCCCAGUGGAGUCUUAGCUAGCACCAUCUCAUCCUAUUUUCACGAUAACCCUAAGUAUUUUCAUCCCACUUCUCGCAUCCGACAUCCCUAUCCCUGCGCCGCAUUCAACUCAUGCGAAGGCGUCUCAUAGUAGCGACCUCGCCUCUACACCCGCACCAUCCAUGGCGCCAAACUCCUCGCCCUCCACAUCAACGGAUGCCUGCUCCUCCUCCAUGCUCCACGCCCUAGUACCAUUGGUGGCCCCCUCCUCGCCCUCACACAACUGACCAGUCACUGCAUUAUCCUCCAAGCCUCCUGCACGGCUGCACCGUAGGCAGUAGCCUCAAGCGCGGCGGGUGCGACCGUGUCCUCCUCACCCUCACUUGGCGGCCUUGAGCUCCCUCCUCCUUCGUGACCCAGUGGUGGCUUGCCUGGCCUACUAAAAAGGCCAUACUUUCUCGGCCGGCCUGGUAUGGAAAGUGGCUCGAUAGGCCGACAUAGGCCGGGCACAAAGGACUAGGGCAGCACAGCCCGGCGGCAAGAUGGGCCGUACCGUGCCAUUGCAAGCAUGGGCCCGUGUGGCUUGUUUGCUCAUAUAUAUAAUAAAUAUUUUUAUAAUGGUUGGAGAGGUGAUGAGAAGCGAUUGUUGUGUCUACGGCCGGUGGACCUAAAACAUGAAAAAUAAUGAGAGACGAUGGGAGCAAGACGAUGGGAGGUGAUAGGUGUGUCUAUGGUCGGUGGGCCAUAGACGUCACAUUGCCUCCUAUCGCCUCCGAAAUUAUAGGGAAUAGGAAGCCUAAAUAGCAAAUCAAAGAGGCUCGGUGACAAAUAAAGAAAAAGCUCCCUGUUGAUGCCUUCAAACAAAGCAUAGAGCUAAUAAAUAAAAAAUACAUGAAGCGACAAAGAGAGACGACUAAUAGCAAGUCAAAGAGGCUCGGUGACAAAUACAAAAGAGCUCCUUGUUGCUGCCUUCGAACAUGAUUUUUUUAUGACAUAUCUAGUGAGAAUUAAGUGGCUUCUUUGUUCGAGCCUCCAAUUAAUAAUAAUAAGAUUGGACUUGCUAGGAAAACCGGCUUAGCUGGUUUCUAAAUCUAUAGGUGUAGAAACUUCACAAUUGCGUAAAUUUCUUUCUCUGAUUCCUAAAUUGGAUGAUCUGUACAUGUUUUUUCGAUCAUCGAUCUCGACAAGAGAAACACAAUGUCAAGUCCUUUCUUCAAUUUAGAGAAGUUUAUAAAACUGGCUUACCUAGUAGUUUAGGACGCUUAGCUGGUCAGAAGCGGCUGCAGUGUCCUCGACCUUCGCCAUGCCGCCAAGCUAGGCCGAGAGUGGCUGCUGCGUUGUCUGCCAGGCAGCUCUGGCUCUGUGCAACGACGGGAUGAGUGUAGCCGGCCAAGGAGACAAGGAGUUUUUUUAAUAGGAGAGAAACGUGAGCAGUUGGUCCAGCGAAUGGGCCGCAAGUGGGUAGAAAGGGAGUGGGUGGACAGUUGGGCCAAACCAAGAAUGGGCUGGACCAAAAUGAAGGUAAGGACAAAUUUUGCUUUUUUAUUAUUAUAUAAGUAUAGAUAAAUAUUAAUAUUUUUUAAUAUAUAUUUGGUUAAAGUUAAAAUUGUUUGAUUUUUAAAAAAAGUGAUAAUGGUAUUUUUAAUGGGAUGGUAGAAGUAAACCAUGAGAUACCCUUUUAAAUCUGGGUGACAUGGUAUGGCAAGUAUGUGGAUCUAAAACAACACUUUGAUAUUGACAUUGAUGACACAUGAUGACAAGCUAUGAGACUUGAAAAGGCAUUUGAGAGUUUAGUGGAGCCAUUCUAGGAUCACAUAUGUAUUUUACUAUAUAAAAUUUGAAGUACUCCAUCUGUCCCAAAAUACUUGACCUUAUAGUAUUCAAAUUUUAUUCCAAAUUAAUUAUCAUUCUCAUUUCUCAAAAGGCACCUUUCUUUUCUCAGAAUACAUUCUUUUCUUUUUUUACAAUACAUUUUUAUCUCCACUUCUAAGGAUACUAAGAUCUUUUACCCCAAAUUGGUAUCAAGGAUAGAACCUAAAACAUCUACUAUUCCCAGGCAGAGGAAGUAUCUUACUAUUACUAAUUGAAGGCUCCAACGGAACCAUCACAUUAACUCAAUAUACACAUUAAGAAAUAGAUAAACCCUAGAAAUUCCAAUAAUAAUUAGAGACAUGUAGCGUCUAAUCUGAUAUACUCUAAUCAUUGUCACAAAUAAUAAUCCUUGUAUCUAAUAUAAUUUAUAGCCUACUAUUGUUGUUAGUGACGCUCUCUGAAUCUGUCAUCGAGAAUAUGUCAUAGAUUAAGAGAUUUGUUGUAGUGUUUUGAGGCAAAAGAGGAUGCACUAAUUGAUGUGUUGAUAUGCAUAAAUGAUGUGAUCAUUACCCAAUGGGCAAUGUUCACUACAUGGACUACUCCAGGCCUCCAGGGCACGUGGUAACCAGUAGUAAUGGGUGUGCUCCACCUAUUUUGUAGCAAUGAGACUUUGGUUUUUAAUGACUUUAUCUCUACCUAUUACCUAUUAAGUAUGUAUAUAUGGUUUUCUAAUUAUUAUGAGAAAUGGGAUGGAUUGUGAGAUAGUAAUAUUAUACAAUAACCUCUAUUUAAUUGUACUAAUAAUGCAUAUACUAAAAUGGAUAAAAUGAGGAUCCAUGGUGGUUGAAACCACUAAUUGGCAAUGACCUGCAGUCAUAAGGGCACUCACAAUGCAUACUCUAUCAUAGAGUCUAAAGUUAUUUAUUACCUCGAAUAAUAUGGACUUAGAGUCUAAAUAAGACUUGGAGUCUUAUUUUUUCUACCUAUUUUUCUUCAAUAAAUAUGCUGCCAUAUCAGCAAAAUACCAUAUAUAAUAUGUAACUAAUUAUCUUGGAGUCUGUGAUUGAGUCUUGCGUUGUGAGUGCCCUAAGUACAAAGUAGACUCGGCAGUGGUCCAUAUACUAUUACUGUCGGGUCAAUCCUUGGACCGGCAGUGAUUUUUACUCUGUGUACCAAGAACCAGCGGUGAUAUUGGAAUUUCUUUGCCGGGUCCAAAACCGAAACCGGUAGUGAUCACCCCAUCACUUCUGAUUGACCACUGCUAAUAGUGAUGUAGGGUUUCAACCUUGCAAUGAUUGCAUGUUCUAUAUUAGUGUGUUAUUAGCUCCGGAGGCAUCUGAUGAUCAAAAACCACAAAGCUGAAAGAUAAUCAGUCAGUUAAUUUGUUACAGAAAAGGAACAAGAUAUACAAUGGAAGGUAAUAAUAAGUUGGCUUACUGCAGUAAAGCUGGGAAUAAGUUUUGAUCUGCCUAAAGUUGUGCCAGUGACAUUACACAAUCACAACAUAGAAGCCUAAACCAGUUACAAGUGACACCUAUAUCUACCCCUUCAGUGUAUAUACAUAUGCAGAUGAAAACUGCGCACCCACAACAUAUAUCCUUGCAUUUCUUAUUAGGCCUAGUUUUGGUGGACAAUGCAGCAAGGGGCGUACAAAGCAUUCUUUCAAGCAUCAUAAGUCAUUGUAGGGUUCUCUUAACUCCAGUUCAACUGGACAUCCAAAAACAGGCGUAGGUUUUGGAUCCUUCUUGUAGGCUUCAUCUUUGAAGCACAACUUCCACCUGAACUGUGUCACUAGAUAGUGCAUGGCUACCAUUGUUUCUACCCUAGAAAACUCAGUUCGAGGGCACAUUCUUGGCCCUCCCCCAAACGGCAAGAAGCUGUAUGGUGGAAUUGAUGAACGCUUCUCAAAGCGAGAUGGAUCGAACUUGGUGGGUUCGGUGAAGAACCUGGAAUCCAUAUGCGUAAUGCUUUGGGCUGCGAAGACCUGUCAUGUUGUGAAACAAAAGCGUCUUGAUUGAUAUUUCUGACAAAGGAAAAAUAAGAUCCAGUUUCUGAAAACAUGUGCACACAAAGAUGCCUACUUUCCAGCCUUUGGGGAUGUGAUAGCCCUGGUAUUCGAUGUCCUUGGUCGCAGUUCGGAAGCUCCCAAACACUGGAGGCACUGUCCUCAGUGUCUCCAAUGCGACCCUCCAAGUGUACUUCAUGCUUGAAACAUGUUCCCAUGUUAGAGCACCAUCUGUUCCUUUCUUAUUUGCGAUCUCAUCUUGUUCUGCAAUCACGAGUAUAUGAUAUUAUUGAUAUCACAAGGAUCACUUUAAUCAAAAUAAAAGGCGAUACCAUGUAGAUGCAAAAGUGUAGGCACUGUUGACACUAACACACACCUUCAGUGAUUUUAGCAAGGACGUCUGGCUCGUUUGCGAGGUGGCGCAUCAUGAAGGUGAUUAGAGCUGAGGUAGUACCAUGUGCGCCGAUGAUAAUGCCCAUCACAUUGUCAACAAUGUCCUCUAGGGUGAUGGAAUGCGCACCCUUGGAGCGCAGAAUGAGCAUGUAGGUGACAAAAUCAGUGGUAGAAAUAGUGCAUCGUUCCUCCAACAAAGACUCCUCCCUCUUCUUGGCAAACUUUCUGACGGCUUCCCUAAUCUUAGCACUGGACCUCAUGCCCUUGCCGAACCUGUCCACCCCGCGGGUCCGAUGACCCGAUGAUACUGGAGGCUUCCUACCUCGACAGCGUUCCGACGGCCCCUGAUGAUGCACAUGUCGCGCCGCAAUCUCCUGCCUACAUCCCAGUUUCCGCCCUCUGGUGGGGGAACAAGCAGACCAACUGUACCCCAACUGUCCAGGAUGAGAUCGUCUUUGGACCAGGGGUGCAGCAACAGGAGCCUGGAGGCUCACAAGCUGGUUCGAUGGAUGAGGUUGGAGUGAUUUCAGGCCUCGUCACCAAGAUGGACAUCGACACUGCGACUGAACGUGGGCCGACAGCUGCUGCUAUGACGAGUAGCCCAGCAGGAGUACCACCACCGCCACCUGAGAACCAACAGCCACCCAACCUCUACACUGGCUUGUUCUGCGAGCUCCCGGCACCAGUCCUACAGGCGCCGGCACCUGGUGAGCCCGCGCCUCGGGCGCGCAAGAUGAAGAAGCCCACGGUGUCCACGCGCUCCAGUUCACGCCUGGCAGCUAGGCCAUCGGCUGUGCCUGUGGCCCAACGGGCACAACGGAAGCUGAUGCAAGAGUUGAGCUUCAUCGACAACAAUCAGCAGCAGGCACCAGAUGCAGCGGUGACGGAGUACCUUGACCUGUAUGCAGACGACCUCCCGGAGCAGGCUGUGAAGGCCAUUCAGACAGCUGCUCGCCUGGGGAACAAGAGGCUUGUCAAGAUCCUCGAGGCUGUUGUGCAGGAAGCUGAUGCCCUGGAGAUGGAGACCUAGAGUCCUUGCAUUUUAUUUGUCUGUGUGUGCUAGUGUUUGCUAUGUUAGUUAGAACAGUGCCAGCGCCGGCCGGUCUUCAACCGGUGAAGUUAGGUCUCUUUUACUUCUGUGAGGUAUGUUCUGAGCUUGACAGUGAUGGUCUGUGUGGCAGUUUUAGUGAUGGUGGAACUGUGGGUGUGAUGUUGUCCAGCCAUAGCAUGAAGGCUGUUGUACCAGGUUGUUGUGCUGUUUCAAUAGAUGAUCACGGUUUGCUGGCCACCUGUGUUUUCCUCCUGUCGCUCUCUAUGUUCAAUAAUGUCUGAAAAUGAUGCAAGAAUCCUAAAUUGGAACGUCAGAGGUCUGAACAGUGCAGCAAGAAGAGAAGCAGUGAAAUUGAUCUGUCAACAGGCAAGGCCAUAUGUCAUUUGUCUGCAGGAAACCAAGCUUGAUGCUAUUGAUGGCCUGCUUGCCAUGGAAUUCUUGGGGAACAACUAUUACAGUAGUUUUGAAUUUCUUCCUGCUGACAACACUAGAGGAGGUGUCCUAAUUGCCUGGGAUCAGGAUUACAUUCGGGGAAAUCUUGUGAGACAGGAUAGGUUUUGCCUGUCAAUUGAUAUCACCCUGAGACUAACCAACCACUCUUUUGUGUUGACUACUGUAUAUGGCCCAGCAAACAACACAGAGAAGAACUCCUUCCUCGCAGAGCUCAUCAGAUGUCAACCGAGGGGCAGGCCAUGGCUCUGCCUAGGCGAUUUCAACCUUAUCUGUGAAGCCCAAGACAAGAACAACAACAACAUCAAUAGAGCACAUAUGAGGAAAUUCAGGCAGGCACUCGAUGCUAGUGAGCUAUUGGAAAUUAAGUUGCAAAAUAGAAAAUAUACGUGGAGUAAUGGUAGAAAAAAUCCAACACUUGUACACUUAGACAGAGCCUUCUGCAAUCUGGAUUGGGAUGAAAUUUUCCCCUCGGCCACACUGAUAGCCCUGAGCAGCUCGCUUUCUGAUCACUGCCCUCUGUUCCUCUGUAACCAGCAACAGCCGCACCGGCGAGCCACCUUCAAGUUUGAAUCCUUUUGGGUACGUGUGCCGGGCUUCCUCCAAAUUGUGCAAACAGCAUGGGCACUACCGGUCCGAGGUUCAAACCCACUAACGUUGCUCCACAAUCGACUGCGGAAUGCAGCCGAGGCUCUCAAAAAGUGGAGCAAAUCGCUAUUCAGUGAAGCACGCCUACAGCUGGAAUUAGCAAAUGAAGUAAUCCUACGGUUGGACAUCGCUCAAGAAUCAAGACCAUUGUCUGAUGCAGAAGUUGAUCUCCAUAGACAGUUGAAACUGCAGUUACUUGGCUGGGCAGCAAUUGAACGAUCGAGAAGAAGACAAAGCUCACGGAUCAUUAACAUCAAAGAGGGAGAUGCCUGCACAAAAUUUUUUCAUCAGCGAGCCAAAGGUCGCCGAAAACGAAACUUGAUCACUUAUCUUAAGAAUGAAGGUGGUGAGAUGGUCUGGAAGCAUUGUGACAAGGAAACGAUCCUCCACCAACAUUUCCAUGGAGUCUUAGGGAGAAUUGGGGAGACGGCACACUCUGGACUGGGAAAGUCUAAAUCUGAGCAGACUGGAUGUUCCAGGACUUGAUCAACCUUUCACAUUGGAGGAGCUCAAGCACACGGUUGAUGAGCUCCCAGCAGAAAAGGCUCCUGGACCCGAUGGGUUCAAUGGACUCUUCUACAAGAAGUGCUGGGAAAUCAUAAAAACAGACAUACUGGCGGCCAUGAACAGCUUUCAUAGCCUAAGAGCUGGCCCAAUGCGAAGUCUGAAUGGAGCAAACAUAACACUAAUUCCCAAAUCCGAUAAUGCAGAAGACCCCAAAGACUUUAGGCCGAUCAGCCUGAUCCACUCUUUUGGAAAAUUUGUGACCAAGACACUUGCCAUCCGCCUCUCUCCUCACAUUGAUCGGAUGAUCUCCAAUUCCCAAAGCGCGUUCAUAAAGCACCGCUGCAUCCAAGACAACUUCAUGUAUGUUAGAAAUCUGGCGCGAGCAUACCAUCGGAAGAAAAUACCGGCAUUGCUGUUUAAAUUGGACAUCUCCAAGGCUUUCGACACAAUUUCAUGGGAAUAUUUGCUUGAGCUGCUGGAACAGAGGGGUUUUAGUGCUAGAUGGAGAGAGUGGCUGACCCUCAUUUUCAAGACCUCGCACUCAACAGUCCUCCUCAACGGUACCGAGGGAAGGCAGAUCAACCAUGUCAGAGGGCUGCGACAAGGUGAUCCACUCUCCCCGUUUCUUUUCAUACUCGCCAUAGACACGCUGCACAGGAUCCUUGAAGUAGCAACAGCAAAUGGUUUUCUGUCGCCGCUAAGAGGGAGGAAUGCUAGACUCCGACUAUCUCUCUACGCCGAUGAUGCUGUUAUCUUCAUCAACCCAAUCAGGGAGGAGGUCACAGCGCUGUUUGAAAUCCUCGAGCAGUUUGGAGCGACAACCGGCCUAAAGCUAAAUAUUGGAAAAUGCACAGUAGCCCCUAUCAGAUGUGCUGAGAUCAACCUAGAUCAUGUUCUUGAGGGUUAUAGAGGAAAUAAAACAAACUUCCCAAUCACAUACCUGGGUCUACCAUUGUCCUUAGGUAGGCUGAAGGUUGUGCACCUGCAAAAGAUUGUUGAUAAAUCAAGAUCUCGGUUAGCUGCGUGGCAAGGAAGACUAAUGAACCCGGCGGGCAGGCGAGAAUUGGUACGCUCUGUGCUUAGCUCCAUGCCUGUAUACCUAAUGACUACUCUCAAGGCGCCAAAGCAGCUGAUUGCGGACAUUGAUCAAAUGAGGCGUCGCUUCCUUUGGGCGGGAGAUAAUGAGAUUUCAGGAGGCAAAUGCAAAGUGGCUUGGACAGCUGUGGCCAAGCCGGAGGAGUUUGGUGGAUUGGGCAUUAUUGAUUUAGAUAAAUUCAGCAGGGCACUGCGCCUUAGAUGGCUUUGGUUCCAGUGGACUAAACCAGAAAGACCAUGGAAUGGGUCUGAACUACCAGUGAAUGCUGAUGAUGUGGCGCUCUUCAAUGCAGCUACAACUGUCACCGUUCGAGAUGGAAGGAAGGCCUCCUUCUGGCACUCUAGUUGGAUCGAAGGGAGAGCACCGGCCAGUCUGUGGCCGCGGCUGUACGCCCACAGCAGGAAAAAGAAUAGGACAGUCAGAGAAGCAUUGUUGAACAGAAGAUGGGUGAGUGAUAUUGCACACAAUCUGAAUCAGGAUCUGCUUAAGGAAUAUUUUGAGUUCUGGUUGGCUAUCGACCGUGUCAGGCCAGCUCUAGAUGAGGCAGGUGGAGACAUAAUUAUCUGGGGCCUUGAAAGUUCAGGUCAAUACUCCAGCAAAUCGGCAUACAUGAUUCAGUUUGCUGGCCAAGUCCAAUCCCCUUUCCCAGCCUUAAUCUGGAAAGCCUGGGCACCGCCAAAGUGCAAAUUCUUCUUAUGGCUGCUGUAAAAAACAGGCUAUGGACCUCAGCACGUCUGCAACAGCGUCAUUGGAAGAAUAACUACUUCUGCGCACUAUGUGAAAGAAACCUGGAGACAGCACACCACUUAUUCUUUGAAUGCCCCUACUCUCGACUAGUUUGGCAAGCCGUAUCCUCCUGGAGUUCAUGCCCUAGCUUGCAGCCGGCUUCAUGGGAAGACAGGAGCCGCCUCGAGGACUGUUUCAGCCAAACCUUGACAACAGGGGAGAAGAAGGCGCAUACAUUGGCAAUCCUAACUCUAUGGAGCAUUUGGAACCGACGAAAUGCAGUUGUUUUCAGAGAAGAUCGAAAGACGACCAUUUCACUAGUGGUGGAGAUUAAGGACAUGGCUCGCCAAUGGUCGUUGGCAGGAUGCAAAGCUCUUAGGCCUCUUAUGGUUGCACAUGUAAUUAGUGAGUAAUUAGCUAAGAACAAAAGCCCCACGCGGUCUAGGCUGCGUGGGGGAGCGCUGCUCGCGCUUGUAACCCGAUGUUUCCUGCUUCUCCUCUUAUUAUUAAUCAAAGCCGGUAAAACCGGAUCUUUCAAAAAAAAAAAAAAAAAAAAAACCUGGUGAAGGGUAUGUUCACUGGAAAUGACAAGAUUGCAUCACCUAGCAACUGGAAGUCGGUACCGAGGGCAUCUACUAUGGUGGCUGCUUCUUCGCCGAAGACAACUGAACAUAUGACCCCAAGUGUAAGAUUCCUUGCCAUCGGCAGGACCUACAUGGUAAUUAAGAAAAAACACAUACUUUACAUAUUAACCUUAUAGUUGUUUUUGUAAUAACCCUCGUAAUAGUGUCGAAUUUAGUUGUUGUAAGUGGGUUAUAUUUGGUACCAGUACAGUCUACAAGGUUAAUCUUAGACUAACGAUGUCUACGAAACGAUAGAACUUGAAUAAAGAUAAUUAUGUACUAUGAAAGCUAAUUACUUUCCAUGAUGAAUAUAUAGUAGAAUCAACCUAAAGUUGCAUAUCUAUUUAGAAUUUAAUUACUGUCGGUCAAAGCUCACAAUGUUGGACACAGAACAAAAUUAGAAACACAUAUAUUAAUUGGCGGGACCACGAGGUAGUGUGUGUGUCUAUACAUACAUACAUACACACACACACACAUAUAUAUAUAUAUAUAUAUAUAUAUAUAUAUAUAUUACUCUGUAGCUGGCUACAAAAUAACUUAUUUUGUAGCCACUUUGAGUUACGAUAAUUACUAUAUUAAUUUACAAGAUUAUAGUAACUCCUUACGAACAUUACGGUAAAUAUCUCGAUGUGUUAUAGUAACCCAACAAUUGUAAAUAUGUACACAUAUUAUCGUAAAUUAGUAUAUAAAAUUAUCGUAAAUGGAGGUGGUUACAGAAUAACAUAUUUUGUAGCUAGGUACAGAGUAUACUCUAUCUCUCUCUCUCUAUAUAUAUAUAUAGAGGGAAAUAUAUAUAUAUAUAUAUAUAUAUAUAUAUAUAUAUAUAUAUAUAUAUAUAUAUAUAUAUAUAUAUAUAUAUAUAUAUAUAUAUAUAUAUAUAUAUAUAUAUAAGGAAAUAUAUAAACAGAAUUCACUAUACAAUGCAAAUGAAAAAAAUAUCUUAGUGUCAAUCAUUUUGUCCUUACGUUGACAGUGCUGCGACCAACCCAGUUGAGCUUCAGUUGCCUUCUGACCUCGAUAUCCAUCUUCCCCACGUACCUUCUGACCAUCUCAGGCCUCAAGUAACCCUGCAGAGCACUACGCACCUGCUUCAGCUUGUCGCCGGUGAGCGUCAGAAUAGACCGCCGGAGGAGGGAGCGAAGCGCACGCGUCUGCGUGAGGAUGAGGUCCUCGUUGGUGAAUAUGAAAUGGUUGGCCGCCGUCCCAGCAAGCAGCACCGUCGGCGAGCCCAGCACCGACAUCUUCGACACCGGACCGUAUCUCUUUAUCCGCGCCCUGAACCACCGGUCGUCUGUGUUGGUGCGUAGGGCGUGGAGGAGGGAGAAGGUCUGGCCGAUGACCGGGAUACCGAGGUUGCCGGGAGGGAGGCUGUAGGUUGGGUGAGACCGGUGGUUUUUGGUGGCAAGGUGGAGGACAAAGGCUAUCACUGCUGCAGCAGCAGCAAGGAGCACGAUGAAAGCCAUUGAAAGUAUGCUGGGAGAGGCCGGCCGCCGGCGGGGCACGAUGAAACUUGGGGGUUAUUUAGCGGCGUUGGACACUUAAACGCGUGUGCGUGUGGAGAUAUAUACAUAUAGUGCUGUGUAAAGUGGAGAUUAAUCCAUAUACAUCUUAUUUUUCUUCGUUUAGUUUUGACAUCAUGUCAUCCCAAAAGAGUAGGAAAAGCAUGUACUGUUGAAAUAGACCAUGCCAGAUAUGCACUGGUCGAUGUGUUUUGCACCUGUGUUUAACUUAAACACCUGAAAAACACAUGUGAUUGUGACUUGGAGGGAGACUGCAAUUUUCAGUUUUUCGUGGAUGACUUGACUUGGAGGGAGACUGCAGUUCUUCGUAUAUAAAAUCUGUUUCAGGGUGCAACUAACAAAAUUGCCAUGCCUACGUGUGUGGUGGUCUGUUGUUCACCAGCUACAUUUAUUGUCCAAAAUGGAUAUGCAGUGACACGUUGUGACCGCAAGAAUCUGUGGCAGGAAACGUACACACAGAAGUGAACAGCAGGAGGGCUGCUGUCAUCGUUUGGGAAAGCUGGUGAAGACGUGCCAUCAUCUUGCGUUCCCAGAAAUACUACUACGCCUUGUUUAGUUCUAAAAAAUUUUGCAAAAUUUUUCAGAUUUCCCAUGAUAUCAAAUCUUUAAACACAUGUAUGAAGUAUUAAAUAUAGAUAAAAAUAAAAACUAAUUACACAAUUUAGUCGAAAUUAAUGAGACGAAUAUUUUGAGUCUAGUUAGUCCAUAAUUGAACAAUAUUUGUUAAAUACAAACGAAAAUGCUACCAUUAUCGAUUUCUCAAAAAAUUUUGAAACUAAACAAAACUCGUACGGAAGCUAUAGCUAGGGCCUAGGGUAUCAACGACGAGUAGUCACAAUCUCGUGCAGACAACUAGACAUGCUGUUGCUCUCCACGUUUUUCAUGUGUUUAGAACUACUUUCCUGUUUCCUGAAUCGACGAGGACUAUCACAAAAAUGAAUGACUUCUGAAAGACGGAAUCAGCACGAGUUAAUUAGUUCCAUGUCGGUGUAACUACUUGUAAUGCCAACAAGCCGAGAGCAGGUCAGGGAGCUUCAUCACAAGCAUUAUUUACCUUCAAAGCGUACAAAUCUUGAAGCACAACUAAAAGAUUGAAAUUGAAUCGGGGAUAACAUAUGUUUUCCUGGAUCACUGAGUGAUGUACAUAACAAUUAUCCAUACAUAAUUCAGUGAUGCAUAACAAUUUUCUUUUUUUUUUUGGUGCCACGUAGUUUUUAGACUGUGUUCAUCUUUUAAAAGUUUACUUUUUUCUGGUAAAACUCGUAUGCAGAUGAGCUUCACUCUGUGAUUCAAAAGCAGCUGUUUGGAGAGUAAAACUGAUUAAUUACUGUUAACCUUAAUAGUAGUGGUCGACUAUUAUACAUACGGUGAGUCGGUGACUCAAAUCCUACUUGUAACUAGAGAUGUGUGCUGUUAGCAGAACUUCUAUUUCUAUUAGGACUUGAGCGUAGGACUUCUAGUAGGAGUAGGACUCCUAUUUGUAUGUAUGAGAAUCUUGUACGUGAUAAUAUAAAGGAUAGUGGCCAUAGGCAUAAGCUAACACAUGGGUUCUCAUCGAAGGCUUCUAAUUAAGGAGCAACUAUGAGUGCUCGUGAGGAUGAAACUAGAUAGUUCUAUUGCACAAGAUUCUUAUAUAGGGCAAGAAUUAGUUGGUCCUAGAGAGUCAAGUACAUUGUAACAAAGAGAUGAUCACUUGUACUCUUUUGUUGUUGUGCUUAUAGAAUUUGUUAUGAGCUUCUCGCCAAAUCCUAAUGUCUUGUCGUGAUUGGUUCAACAUUGUCAUCCAGUGUAUUUUACGAGAUUCAUCUAUAUCAUUUUGAUACAGUGCAAGCAUGUGUCAUACUACUCAUACUCGUAAUAUCAUUUCAAAGAUUGGAGCACUGUUACGCAUAAUUUGGGGUAUCAGAUUCAAGAUGAUGUACUAGCUUAACCCCCAAGUCAGGUGAACUAUGCAUGUACCACUCGAGAGGCUCAAUGUAAAUCAUUUAUCUAAUUCUAUUUCUCUACAUGGUAUCAUGACACUAGGUUAACCCUAGCCACUGCUCGAUUUCGCACUAUGCACUGUUCUUCGAGAACUCAUUUCCUAGUAAAAGUUGAUACUAUUAUUGAAUCUCAGGAUGCAAUAAUCUUCUUUGAGAACUUAUUUACUAUGAAAGUUGUCUGUUGUAUAGGCAUAUGCUUCUCAAAAUGCAUACAACUAGAAAGUUGUCUGUAAUGAGACAAACUCGAUUCUUUCUGUUGGGGUGUGGGACUUAACUGAAUGACACUAUGGUUGUGAGCAUGUGGGAUGUAAGUGAGUGUUCAAGAUGAACCUUACAACUGAUGGCACCAUGUCCAAGGGUUAUACCCCAAAUUGAAGCGCGGGGACUUAUUUGAUACAUAUUCGCUACCACUAGAAUCACGACCUAGUACAUACAUCAAACAUUGGGUUAAACAAGAGUUAUAUGCCCAAAUGAUUUUAGGCACAUUUGGGCACUGAUUUUGUUGGAAUAUAUGUGAAUUGCCCAUCUCUCUCUCCAUCAUAUUAAGCUUUUGGGUUGAACUGAUUGGUGCAUGUAACAGAAUAUGGUAUCAAAGCGAGAGGUCUUGAGUUUGAAUCCUAGUUAGUGCAAUUAAAUAAAAUAAUUUCUUCUCUCUUCAUCCGAGGCCUGAGGGAGCCUCCACAUGAGGAGAAGUGUUGGAAUAUAAGUGAAAUUUCCAUCUCUCCCAUCAGCUUAAGCUUUUGGAUUAAACUGGUUGAUGCAUGCGACUUAAUAGAACUCAAUAGAUUUAAAGGAGGUCUGUUGUUGUGGCUUUCUAGAGACAUCGGAAACUUAACCUAGGUGUUCGAUAGAGCUUACCUAUGGUUAAAAUGGCUAUGGAUGAACUCGAAGAUUUAUGGAGGAGAGGGCAAUCAAGAGGCGAUUGAGGGUGAGGUGGCUUGGGGCUAUGGCACAGGGUUCUCUAUCAUUAGCAAUUUCAUCAAGGAUGCCUCGUAGAGAUAGAUCGAAAUGAAGUCUUUUUCAUGAACGUGUUGGAGAAGAUGAUGGUUGGGAGGCUCCAUCCUUAACUCCAGCAAGGUCGAGGACGAUGUGGAGUAGCUUGCCGGUGUGUUUUUUUGCUGAAUAGACAAGAGGGUUGCGUAUCUUUGUAUUAAGAAGAAAAAAGGUUCAGUACAAAUCCAUCCGACGCCAAAAACACCAGUGAUUAGUUUGAAGGACUCGGGUGGCAGCUAGCUACCCCCAAUGCUAAACACCAUAGGUUCUUGGUGCCUGCGUUCGUCGACUGCUUUGCCUCUAUCACUGCUGCAUGAUCGGGCAUUAGCACCGGUCGAGAAGGGCCUGUUGCCCGGUUCCCGAGCCGGUGCUGCCCUUCCGGGACUAAAGGCCCACCCUUUAGUCCCGGUUCGGGGAACCGGGGCUAAAGACCAACCGGUGUUAAAGGGACCUGCCAGGGCUGCCACGUUGCAUGACCCUUUAACACCGGUUGGUAUUACCAACCGGUGUUAAAGGGUUUCUUUUUUUUUGGUUCACUUCUUCGGUUCUGUUUAUUGUUUUUAUAUAAUAAUAAUAGGUUUUUCAAUACAUGUUUUUACUGAUACAAUAAUAUAUUUAUAUUACACGCAUAUUAAGCAUAUAUAAAUGAAAAUUAUAGGCAAAGCUUAAUUAUUAAGCUUUGCCAAUAAUAAAAUGAAUAGGCCACAUCAAAAAUUAAAUAGAUAUGUAAAAAGCUUUAUAUAUAUAUAGUUUUAUAUGUAUAAAAUUCGUAACACAUAUAUACAUAGAGUUUUUUCUCCCAAUGUCUACAAACGAUACAAAUGAUCAUCAUUGUUUGGAAUAAGAGUUUCGUUGCCAUUGAAGUGAAACUCACCGUUUGGAUUGAUCACUUGCUCGCGGAGAAAUCCUGCUAUAGUCUCUUGGAUAGCUUUGAUUCGGUCUUUUUGUAUGACCUUUUCCCUCAACCAUUCCGUCUUUAAUUUGAAAUAAAUAAAAAAGGUAUUAGUUAUCUAAGUUAUUCAAUAUAAUUCAGGAGAUAAUGAAAAGAGACAUGUAACGUACUCUGAGCGUCUCUGUGGGUGUUUGAUUGACUUGUGCCAUCAUGAAUUUGCACACGUAAUAUGCACAUAGAUUGUUUCCCCCUUCUUGUCUUAAACACCACUGUACGAUAUAUAUAUAUAUAAAAUAUUUACGACCACGACAAUAAGAAGGCUAAAAGUUAGCGAAAGUUUGCUAGCUAGUAGAACUUACUUGUGGAUGUAUUUUGUUAAGCGGCGUUUUACAUCCACUGAGAUGUUCACGGUCAAUGAAUCUUUUCCAAACCCUACACACAGCCAUUGUGGAUCGUGAACUAAUAAUUACAGAGUCAUAUUAUGAUAUUCUUCUAGCUGAGAUCGACAUUACGUACCUUUGAAUAAUGUUUACCAUUUGUUGAUAAUUUUCUUGUGGUUUUCUCAUUGAGUCAAAGAUUAUCAACCGGUUCUUAGGAAUUUCAAUGACCAUGAGUAUCUAGUGAAAGCUGUUUACACACAUAUAUAUAGUCAGGCCUAUAUAUAACUAUAUAAAAACUUGUCUCGAGUAAUAAUUAUUAAAAUAAAAUAUGCAUGCACUUAAUAACUAUAUAACUCACUCGAAGUUGAAGGGGAAGAAUAUUUUUUGUUUUUCUUUUUGGUUCAUAAAGAACCUCAUAAGAUUGGUGCAGACUUCUGUCUCACGAGCUGCUGUCCACACUGCCUGUGGAGCUUUGAAAACAAUAUAAGGGUCAACGAACCCAAUAUUAUUGUCAUUUCUGAUUCUGAGCUCUCUCAUUUGGUGCCUGCAUAUAUACAUACAAAUCCUAAGUGUGUAAGGAUUAUAUACAUGUAAUUAAAGAAGUUAGAAGUAUAAUAAAAAGAAAAAAAUACUUACAGACAAAAGCAGCUGACAAGAGAUUUGUCGAGAGCGUCGAGGUGACAUAAUUGGUGCAAUUCUUCGAACUGCACGUAUAUGAGGUCAUCUCCACGGAAGUAGUGAUGUUGUCUAAUACGAACAAAAAUCCAAUUCUCUCCCCUUUUAGACGCCUCAAUGCACCAUUUGUUUAUUGCAAAUAUUUGUGUGCCGAGCUCGUGUAAACGCUGAGGGUCGAAUAGACUCCUGCCCGGUUCAUAUCUUACCCUCCAUUGAUCAACUACCUCGGCUUUUUCAAAUGUUUGACAUCCAAGAAUGGCGGCAAUUUCUUCCAUAUUUAAACCGCUCUGUCCAAAGUAACACUCAAGCGAGUCUAGCUCAGACAACGCUAAGGAUUUCUUUGGCAUCAAGUCUUCAUUUGAGCCGUAUUGAUUUGGCACAAUCAAAGGGGGCACCGGUUUUGAUACUUCUCCGAGCUGUGGGACCCCCUUUCCUACUCUCUUCUUAGGCUGUGAAGACUUGACCAGAGACCGCUCAUAGUCCGAAAGUGCUGGCUUUUUCUAAGCUUCGCGUUGCUUCUUUUGCUGGUCCGCCACCUUCUGCCUCAGUUCCGAUGGCUUUACAUAAAAGUACGGUUUUUCGCGGUUUAGCCGUUUUUUUCUAUCCUCCUUCAAUUUAUCAAAAAAUUGUUUCACCUCAGCUUUGGAUGCAGCAAUUACCUCCUCUUCACUCUUUUUGUAAGAUAAUUUUUCUGGUGUCUUAGCUCUCUUUGCUGAGGCAGCCUUCUUUGGAGGUGGGACCGAUGACUUCGGUCGUUCUUGGGCGGACCGCUUCUGACUACCUCGCUUUGGAGGCGAGGGGACUGACCAUGCACUCUUUGGAGAGGGCGGUGCAGGCGGUGGAGGUGGUGGGGCCGAUCUUUUCGGUGUUGGAGAACGCGGUGGAGGAGUUGGAGACCUCGGUGGAGGAGGUGGAGACCGUGGUGGAGGCGGUGGCGGGGUCGGUGUGGCCGCCGCAGGUGUUGGAGGAGAUCCAGCAUUGUCACCGCCCGCAGCUCUAUGACGCGCUGGGGAGAGAACUGGACUUAGGUUGGAGGAUUCCCUGCAAAGAAAACAAUUACAAGUUUUGUGAGCAAACUUUUUUUUAAUUUCAAUACAUAAUAAAUAAUAUAAGAAGUAAAAUCACACACAAACCUAUGUUGAGGAAUAAUUAUGAAGCGCUUGCGCCAACAAAUAAAUGUCUUCUCAGCUUCACCUAAGGUCUUCUCUCCGUCUCCCCCUUCUAUGUCUAGAGGCACAUUGCCACAACCUUUCUCAACCCUAUCAACCGAGACGCUAGCAUAUCCACCAGGUACUGGUCGAUUAUGGAUUCUUGGAGUUCUCCUUCGGUCGAUAGGGUUGACAACAGCGAUAGCCACCUUUGUUUGUUGCAUUCCCAUCUGGUACAUGCAGCUCACAGGUAGUAAAAGCCUCUGUGACAUCAUCCAUGGGGAAGUGUAGCUUCGUGUCAUCCUGAAUGGUUGGUACUUCCAUAGAUGCGCAGCUGCUUUUCAACUGGCCUGGGGGGCUAACGUUGACCUCAGGCUGUGAUGUACCUUGCCCUUUCGUCAUUUGACUAAGUGCUGCUUGCACUUGCCUUUGAAUCUCCGCCUGCAUCCAUUCUUCACGAGCUUUCUCGCACUCUUCUGGCUGCAGAACAAAAGCUUCCAGGCAGCGGAUCCGCUCUGCCUCCUCAUCCUUCUUUCUCUGGCGGCUUCUGUAGGUAUCUUGAUCGGCUUGGAAUGAUUGCAGCCAUGGAACUGCCCCCAUAGCCUCUCGUACGCCCACCGUGCUCAGGAUUUUCAAGCGCAUAGGUGAGUUCAUCCUUCUCCCUGUUAGGCCUGAACUCACCAGACUGAACCGCCUCUCGUGCACGGACUAGUCUCUCUGCUGCUCUAGAGAUUUCUUGGCCCCAAACUAGCGCCCCGAUGUCUGGGUCCACGCUUCCCCCAUGACCGUAGAACCAAUGCUUGGAGCGCUCGCUCCAAUUCUUUGCUAUUGUCUCGGGUGUGACCCCCCUAGCAAGCAUAUCCUGUUCCAUUCGGUCCCACUUGGGAACAACACUCUUAUAACCACCUGAUCCCAUAUGAUGGUGGUAUGUCUUUUUACUUGCAUUCUCUUUAUUUCUAAUGGCUCGUUCCUUGCCCUCUUCUGAUGUUUUGUACUGCACAAAGUCAUCCCAGAAGGUCCUCAGCUUUACAUAUUGCUUGAGGUUGAAAUUUGGGGUCUCGUUUUUCUUGACAUAUUUAUUGUACAAAGUUUUCUUCCAAUUCUGGAAGAGUACUGCCAUCUUCUUCAUAGUCCAGUCAUAGAUUCGCACCUUCAACUCUUCAUCGUUGGUGUCGAAGGUGAAAACGUCUGUGACGGCUUUCCAAACUAACUCCUUGUCACGAUCAGAGACAAAACUGAUCUCAGGAGCACCUCGCUUCUCUCUCCAUUCACGAGCACUGAUCGGUAUUUGAUCUCUCACAAGAUAUCCACAGUGACUAACAUAUUUAUUUGCAUGUUCACCAAGUGGACUGCCUGUAGCUAUCUCAAACUCAGAGAUUACAUAGCGGCCGUCCAACGGCUUCUUUGGCCCUCAUGGAGGUACGCUUCUCCCCGUAGAGGUCGAUCCAGAAGGCUACACGUAGAUAUAGAAACAAAAAUACUAAAUUAAUAACCAAGUAAGUCUAAAACCUAAUGUAAGAGAUGCAUUAAUUAUAUAUGUUUACAUUUACAUACCUCACCAGUAUUUUCUUCUUGUUGCACGACCAGUUGUUGCUCAGGCGCAUUGCCCUCUUGUUGCUCAGGGGCAUUGCCCUCUUGUUGCUCAGUAGGAUUGCAUUGCAUGAUCUCGUGGUAAUCAAUAAAGUACUGACUACCGUCGUCGAUCAUAUUUUGAAUGGCAUCUUCCAUAUAGUCAGGAUCAUCAUGAGCACGGUCAGCCAUUUCUAUGUCUGCAACCAUACAUAUAUAUAUUCUAUAUAAGAUAAGAAAUACACUAGAAUAAUAUACUAAAAAAAUAAUACUAACAAUAACACUAGAAUUCAUAAUAUACUAAAACACUAGAAUUCAUAAUAUACUAAACAAAUAAUACUAGAAUAAUAGUACAAACAAUAACAUAUACAAAACACUACUAGAAUAUAUAUUAGAGACUUAUAUACUACUACUAGUACUACUACAAAUGAAAGUGUUGGAGUGCUCUAAAAAUAAUACUAAAAUCUUUUAAGCCAAGUAAUACACUAGAAUAAUAUACUAAAAACAAUACUAGAAUAAUAUAAUACAAACAAUAAUAUAUACAAAACCCUACUAGAAUAAAUUUGGUGGCUAAACACUACUAGAAUAUAUAUUAGAGACUUAUAUACUACUACUAGUACUACUACAAAUGAAAGUGUUGGAGUGCUCUAAAAAUAGUACUAGAAUCUUUUAAGCCAAGUAAUACAUUAGAAUAAAAAACAAUACUAGAAUAAUAUAGUACAAACAAUAAUAUAUACAAAACCCUACUAGAAUAAAUUUGGUGGCUAAACACUACUAGAAUAUAUAUUAGAGGCUUAUAUACUACUACUAGUACUACUACAAAUAAAAGUGUUGGAGUGCUCUAAAAAUAAUACUAGAAUCUUUUAAGCCAAGUAGUACACUAGAAUAAUAUACUAAAAAACAAUACUAGAAUAAUAGUACAAACAAUAAUAUAUACAAAACACUAGAAAAUAAAAUAUGAUAUAAGAAUAAUAUACAACAAAUAUAUACUAAAAAAUACUACUACAAAUAAUAUAUUAAAAAAAUAAUACUACAAAAUAAUACAAGAAUAAAAUUAAUAUAUUACAAAUAUAUAUUAGCAUAGUAUAAUUUAUAACAGGUCAACACUAAUACAUACAUACAAAAAACUAUAAUUCAUAAUAUACUAGAAUAAUAUAUUAAAAAAAUAAUACUACAAAUCAAAACACCAUAUAUAUAUAUGUAUACAUAUAUAUACAAUAUAUACAUACACAUAUAUAUAUAAUAUACAUAUUAUAUAUAUAUAAUAUACAUAUAUAUACAUAUAUAUAUAUACAUUUAUAUAUAUACAUAUAUAUAUAUAUAUAUGUGUAUAUGUAUAGAUAUUUCUGGUCUAGUGUAUAUAAAUAUAAUAACAUUCAUUUAUUUUUUUAGUAUACUUAAUUAAUCAAUAUAUGUGGAGAGAUGCAUGGCGUUCUCGAUCUAUACAGAUCAUACAGGGAGGAGAUCGAUGACGACGGUGGCCGGCGCUGGUGGUGUUCCCUCCGGCGUCGGCGCUGGUGGAGGCCGCGGCGGCGCUGGAAGAAGGACGCGGCGGCGCUGGGAGUUGAAACGGCGCGACGGCGGUGAAGACGACGAACGUCGCGGCGCUGGAGACGAAGAAGAUGAACUGCUCCAGAUCGAGGGCACCCAUAACUUAUAUAGGGGUAGACCCUUUAGCACCGGUCCGUGGCUGGAACCGGUGCUAAAGAGUCUUUAACACCGGCUGGUAACACAAGCCGGUGUUAAAGGGUGACCCUUUAGCACCGGCUCGUGUUACCAGCCGCACCGGUGCGAGCCACGGACCGGUGCUAAAGGGUCCUGAGCGCGCUAAGGCGGGCUCCUGAAAUUUUCAGGACCCUUUAGCACCGGUUCCCACUAUGGGCCGGUGCUAAAGGCCCUGUUUUUUAGUUUAGGGUUUUUCAAUUGUUUAUAUAUACACUUUAUAUUAUAAAUUGUAUAGUAAAUUAAAUAUUUUGCAUAAUAUUUUUUAAAUAGUGACAUAUAUUAUAAUUUUUUUAAUGUACAAAUGAAAAAUUUUAACCUUAAAUAUCUUACUGUAUUUUUAUAAUUUGCAAUGAUUUUGUAAGAAAUGUUUAGUAUUUUGUUAAUGCAAAAAUAUAUUAUUCUAAUAAAUUUACAAAAACUAUAUCCAAUCAACUGGAAAUCUAUUUUCACAUCAUAUUAACGUUAAACUUUUUAUUUUUGUUAUUUAUUACUCGGAAUGCUAGUAGGGUAUUGUUUUCAUCAAAUAAAAAAUCUAUUUAUCAUAUAAAAAUAUAUAUCUUGAUGAACACACCCUUUGACCGAACCCUAGAUUGUCCCAAAUGGAAAAGUCAUGAAUACAAAGUUUGUUACACUCAUCAAGUUCUACAUUUUGUCUAAUGGUCAACUUUUCAUUUGGAAAAGUUUGAACCACUGAAUUUUGAAUUUUCAUAGAAUUCAUAGCCACGCAGCGGUUUCGGAGCCCUAGAUGGUCUCGAAUGGAAAAGUCAUGAAUACCAAUAUUGUUCCACUCAUCAAAAUCUACAUUUUAUAUAUAGACUAUUUUUGCAAUUGACAAAGUUUUGGGAAGGUGUAGUUGAAAAUCCACAAUUAACACAUAUAGUUUCAUAUAGUUUGUAUGAGAUUCAAGAAUUGGUGGGUAUUGUUAACUUAAACUUUCUCAAAUGGAAAAGUUGUGUAUAUAAAAAGUUUAGAUCUUGUUGAUAUCUAACAACUUGGUGUUCAAAAUUUUUUCAUUUUAAGUAAUUUAGUUUGUCAUUUGACCAAGUUUGACCAAAAUCCGUCUUGGAUUUUAUAGAAAUGUGAUUAGGAUUGGCUCAAAAUUAUCCAAAUGGAAAAAUAGAUAAUAUAUAAAAUGUAGAUCUUGAUGAUCUCUAACAACUUUGUAUUCAAAUUUUUUUCAUUUGAAGUCAUCAAAUGGGCCAUUUGAUCAAGUUUGACCAAAGUCAAAGCAUUGGUUUUUACAAAAACACCCUUUGACCGAACCCUAUAUUGUCCCAAAUGGAAAAGUCAUGAAUACAAAGUUUGUUACACUCAUCAAGUUCUACAUUUUGCCUAAUGGUCAACUUUUCAUUUGGAAAAGUUUGGACCAUUGAAUUUUGAAAUUUCAGAGAAUUCAUAGCCACGCAGCGGUUUUGGAACCCUAGAUGGUCUCGAAUGGAAAAGUCAUGAAUACAAAGUUUGAUACACUCAUCAAAAUUGACAAUUCUCAAAUAUAGUUUCAUACAAUUCUCAGAAUUCGUACAUUUCUCAGAAUUCGUACAUUUUACAACACAUAAUAUUAAACAUGACUUUAUGUUAAGCCGACACAACAGUGAACUUCUUCUUGACGUAUGACCCUUGGUUAUGAUCCUGCCGUAACCAUGGAGUAUCCUCAUUGUUUAACAGAAUGCUUGGGUCUUUUUUGACUAUGAAGGGCGGAAUUCGAUCAUCACUUUCGUAAUCGCCUGACAUGUCUGACUUGUCCUCAAUUCCGACAAUGUUUCUUUUCCCACAAAGGACAAUGUGGCGCUUUGGCUCAUUGAUGAUUGAGUGGUCAUCAUUUUUUCCUCUCUUUGGUUUCGUAGACAUAUCUUUGACAUAGAACACCUGACUCACGUCUGCAGCAAGGACGAAUGGUUCGUCUUUGAACCCACUAUUGUUAAGGUCCACGGUUGUCAUCCCAUACUCCUUGUCGACUGUUACCCCACCUCCGGUCAUCUUCACCCAUUGGCACCGAAACAAAGGAACUUUAAAAUUAGCUGCAUAGACUAGUUCCCAUAUGUCUUCUAUGCGUCCAUAAUAUGUUUGUCUGUUCCCAUUUGGAUCCGUGGCAUCCACGCGUACACCACUAUUUUGGUUGGUGCUCCUUUUAUCUUGGCCAACUGUGUAAAAUGUGUUACCAUUUAUCUCGUACCCUUUGUACGUGAGGACAUGCCAUGAUGGUUGCCUGGCCAACAAAUAAAGCUACUCAUUAAUGUUUUCAUCACCUUGACAUUUUUUGUGCAACCAAUCGCCAAAAGUUUCCAUGUGCUGACGCAUUAUCCAAGCUUCAUUCUUCCCGGGCCACUAGGACCGUAGGAAAUCUUUGUGUACCUCAACAUAUGGUUCGACCAAUGAGGAGUUCUGGAGAACUGUGUAGUGUGCUUUAUUGAAGUAAUCGUCUCCCGUACCAAUAUAUGUUUUCUUCCCAAGUGUUCCCUUUCCGCUGAGUCUGCUCUCGUGUCGAGAUUCAGGAAUGCCAAUUGGGUCAAGGUCUGGAAUAAAGUCAACACAGAACUCUAUGACCUCCUCUGUUCCGUAGCCCUUGGCAAUGCUUCCUUCUGGCCGGGAAGGACUAUGAACAUAUUUCUUCAGGACACCCAUGAAUCUCUCGAAGGGGAACAUGUUGUGUAGGAACACAGGACCGAGAAUACGAAUCUCUUUGAUCAGAUGAACUAGGAGGUGUGUCAUGAUAUCGAAGAAGGAUGGAGGGAACACCAACUCAAAGCUGACGAGACAUUUAACGACAUCAUUUUGUAGAGUAGCUAGUUGCUCUAGAUUGAUUGCCUUCUGAGAAAUUGCAUUGAGGAAUGCACAUAGCUUUACGGUGGCUAGACGUACGUGUGGAGGUAAAAUUCCUCUUAAAACCACCGGCAGCAAUUGCGUCAUUAGAGCGUGACAGUCAUGGGACUUCAAGUUCACGAAUUUCUUCUCUGACACAUUAAUUAUUCCCUUGAUAUUGGAGGAGAAUGCAGAUGGGACCUUGAUGCUGCUAAGACAUUCAAACAUGCUUUCCAUCUCUUCUUUGCUCAGAGUGUAGCUAGCAGGGCUUAAGUAAUGACGUCCAUCAUCGGUCUUUUCUAGAUGCAGGUUGUCUCGUUCUUUCAUGCGCUGUAAGUCUUGUCGUGCUUCAAGUGAAUCCUUAGACUUCCCGUAGACAGCCAUGAAUCCGAGCAAGUUCACACAAAGAUUCUUUGUCAGAUGCAUCAUGUCGAUCGCGUUGCGGACCUCUAGGACAUUCCAGUAAGGUAGCUCCCAAAAUAUGGAUUUCUUCUUCCACAUGGGUACAUGUCCCUUAGCAUCCUUGGGAAUAGGUUCGCUGCCUCGUCCCUUUCCAAAUACCACUUUUAUAUCCUUGACCAUUUCGAGUACAUCAUCCCCGGUUCGAUUGAGAGGUUUGGUCCGGUGGUCUGCCUUGCCUUUAAAAUGCUUGCCUUUCUUUCGUACUGGGUUGUUCAUAGGAAGAAACCGAUGGUGGCCAAGGUACACGACCUUUCGACAUUUUUUCAAAAAUACACAGUCAAGGUCUUCAUAACAAUGUGUGCAUGCAUUAUAUCCCUUGUUUGACUGGCCUGAAAGAUUACUCAGAGCUGGCCAAUCAUUGAUUGUUACAAACAGCAAUGCUUGCAGGUCAAAGUGCUCUUGUUUGUACUCAUCCCACAUGUGAACUCCUAGUUUGCUCCAUAAAAGUUGAAGUUCCUCAACUAAUGGCCUUAGGUAGACAUCUAUGUCAUUGCCAGGUUGCUUCGGACCUUGGAUAAGCACCGGCAUCAUAAUAAACUUCCGCUUCAUGCAUAGCCAUGGAGGAAGGUUGUAGAGACAUAGAGUAACUGGCCAAGUGCUGUGACUACUGCUCUGCUCACCGAAAGGAUUCAUACCAUGUGUACUUAAGGCGAACCGCAAGUUUCUAGCAUCAUCUGCAAAAUCUGGGAAUUCUCUGUCUAUCGCUCUCCACUGGGAUCCAUCGGCAGGGUGUCUCAGCAUAUUGUCUAUCUUACGGUCUUCUUUGUGCCACCGCAACAACUUUGCAUUGUCCUUAUUUCUGAACAGACGUUUUAAUCGUGGUAUUAUAGGAGCAUACCACAUAACCUUGGUAGGAAUUUUCUUCCUAUGACGUUCUUCACCCUCAACAUCGCCAGGAUCAUCUCGUCUAAUCUUAUACCGUGAUGCCUUACAUACUGGACAUGCAUCCAAAUUCUCGUAUUCCUCCCCACGGUAGAGGAUGCAGUCAUUAGGACAUGCGUGUAUCUUCUGGAUUUCUAAUCCCAAAGGGCAGACAACCUGUUUUGCUUCAUACGUAGUGGUGGGCAAUUCGUUGCCUUUCGAAAGCAUCUUUUUUAUGAUCUUCAAUAACUGCCCAAAUGCCUUGUCAGACGAUGUACCAUUCUUUGCCUUCCAUUGCAGCAAUUCUAGUGUGGUACCCAGCUUUUUUUGCCCCUCUUCAGCGGUGGGAUAUAGCGAUUUCCUGUGGUCCUCUAGCAUGCGCUCGAACUUGGCUUUCUCUUUAUCACUUUCACAUUCUCUUUGUGCAUCACGGAUGACAUCACCAAAAGCAUCAUCGCCCCGAUCAUCUUCUACCGCUACCUCUUCUUCAUUAUCUCCCCCAUUGCAACAUCAUUGAAGCCACCGUACUGAGCAAUAAUAUUGGCAUGGUCCAAUUCUUCUUCUUCUUCUUCACCUUCAUCCAUUAUAAUUCCACUUUCUCCAUGUGUGGUCCAACAAAUAUAGUUUGGUACGAAACCAGACUUUAAUAAGUGCGAAUCAAGAGUUCUUGAGUUAGAAUAUUCCGUCAAAUUCUUGCACACGCCACAUGGACAGCACAUGAAACCGUCCCUCUUAUUUGUCUCGGCCACACUUAAGAAAUAGUGCACGCCAUUAAUGAACUCUUCGGAACGCCGAUCGGCAUUAUACAUCCAAUUAUGUGUUACCAUCUGCAUUAAAUAUAACAUAUAUAUAUUAUGAAAACCAUGCACACAUAUAGUUUCUCAUCCUAUUGCACAACAUGUCUAAGAUACAUAGUUGUUUUAUUCAGGAAAGCUUGGCUACAACAAAUACAAUCGCAACUAGCACUAAAAAAACCAAAACUAAAAUGCACUUAAGCAACAUAAUUAGUUCGCGUCCGAUCUCAACUAUAAUGGAUAGAUCAUUCGCUUGAUCAACAUCAUUGAACUCCUUUCGUCGGCUCACUGCCUCACCACCUUUAGCCUCAACCACCUGUGCAAAAGAUUUCUUAAUGUGUUCAAUGUAUUCUUCCUCCCAGUACCAAUCUGUACAUCCGCCGGUACCGUCCCACUGAAAUUAAAAGAGAGAACCAAAAGUUUAAUUAAAAUCAUUUAAAAAAAUAUGCACAUAUAUAAGCAAAUGUCUGAAAUAACUCACAUUACGAUCCAGACACUUAUAGAAUAUACGACCCUUGUUUACUCCCUCUUUCGACACUUUGUACUCCAUCACAAUCUUCUGCCCACACUUACCACAAGUAAUGAGAGGGAGUUCCAGCCGGUAUCGCUUUUGAACCCGUUGAGAGACCGAAGACCCGGUCACGGUUGCCAUCUACUAUCCAUACUCAAUUUUUAAACAAUUAUAAAUUCCACAUUUACUAGUAAAUAUGUAUGAUUAAAGAAGAACCUAAUAAUAUCUUUUAUUUGUCUAGUUACUUCAACAAAUCUUCUAAAUUAUACAAUGGACAUUAUGUAGUAAUAAAAAUAAAUCAAGUGAUAUUAACAAACCAAUUAAUUUGAACUAUCCUACUUUCUAAGAUCAUAAAAAGAUACUAUAAUUCAUUUUUGCAAACUAUAUUAAUACUAGAUUAACCAUGAAAUAUGAUAUAUAUAUAUAUAUAUAUAUAUAUAUAUAUAUAUAUAUAUAUAUAUAUAUAUAUAUAUAUAUAUAUAUGGAUACUAAUUCAUGUGAAUGAUUUAAAAUAACAAUGUGGAUUUGAGCUAAAAAAUAAUGGGAACAUCACAAGCCAAAAACAAUAUGAAAAAGACAAGAAAGACAAAAGUUAGUCACCUCCAAACACGAAGAAACGAUGACGGAGUCGAAGAAGAUCAACGAUGGGCGUCAGAGAUGAAGAACAAGGAAGAAGAAGCUCCAAGAACAACAAUGGUGAAUGGUGCUCUCGGUUUCAAAUAGGCAGAGAGGAGGAGGGAUCCGGCCUAUAAACCGAACCUUUAGCACCGGUUCAGGACAAAAACUGGUGCUAAAGGAUGACCCUUUAGCACCGGUUUGUAACACAAACCGGUGCUAAAGGCUUUGCCUCGGCCCGUAGCGCUGGCCGGUGCUAAAGGGGUCUUUAACCCCGGGCCGCAAAAAGGCCGGGGUUUUUGGCCAUUUUAGGCAUCGACCAAUGCCUCAUCCUGUAGUAGUGUAUCUUGAUCUUUGUUAGGAGCUCUCGAAUCGUGGUGGCGACGUCCCUGAAGCAGCGCGCAUUCCACUCCUUCCAGAUGGUCGAGGAAGUCAGCUCGAAGAGAGAAUCAAAGCCCUUCCUCGAGUUCCCUUGCCUGGUGCUCCUCGGACAAGUCCACUAGGCAAUGACUGAAUUUCCCAUGGUAGGCAAAGGCCGCCCAAGCGCCUGACACAAGUGGUGCCAUACCUCUCCUGUGAAUGGGCAGGUACAGAGGAUGUGGUCGAUCGUCUCUAGAGAUUGGUCGCAGAGGUAGCACUCUUCUCUAGCCUCGAGCACGUAGCAUGCGCGUCGAACAUUUGUUCAGUGUCGUUAUCGGAAGGACAACCAGAGGAAGAUCUUGCCGGUGUGUAUAUCACGAGAAAGAAAGUUAUAGCUCAACAAAAAACAGUGAACCUCAAUUGUAGUUCCAGUCAACCAGGAUUUAAUCCCUUGUUUUGCACCUAUAUAUUUAGGUGAGAACCUCAUCUCUUGGUGACCCUAAAAUUCAAAGAAAAAAAAAGUGAAGUUGAGUCAGACAAGAAAUGUACAGUUUACUUCAUCCUCACAAAUGAAUCUUUCAUUCCGCUUUUAUUUAUAAUCAAAAUUUACGGUAAAACAAAAUAGAAAACUAACGUUAAACGUCCGUGAAACCAGAUUUACAGUACACCUUGAAAGAACCAUACAAAGCCAAGUUGUGACGACACUGUGAAUCCGCAAGUUCCUUAUUACUCGAUCAAAUUUUCAGCCCUAGCCUCAUACAUCACCAAGCAUCGAAUUUUCAGCUCGUAGCCAUGCACACCUAGUACAGGUACACAUCGACCUCUACAACGCCUCCCUUGGCCAAGUCGUAGUCGUAGCUCCGGCUGAGCGCAUACCCCCGCGCGGCGCGGAACCGGCCGGUGCCGCCGACGAUGACCGACUCGCGCACCGCCAGGUCGGUGUCGACCCUGCCGCUGACCACCAGCGAGAUGCCGGCGUGCUCGCCGGCCUCCAUCACCAGGUGCAUGCUCAGGGCGUUAACGGAGCCGCGCUCCGCCACGCGCACCGUGAACCCCUGCGCCGUGCCUACGCGCGCGCUGCCGCGCUCGGGCCCUUCUGUGAGCGCGUUGUUCAUCACGGCGAUGUCGCCGAACCGGCGCGGGUCGUCGUCGUCGCUGCUGCCGGUGGUGGUGGCGUUGGAGUUGGACAGCGGCGGCCUUCCCUGCAUGAUGAGCGCGGCCGUCGGGUUCUCGCCGGUGUACUGGUCGUGCAUGUAGAAGUGGAGGUGCGUUCCGGCGGUGACGCUGCCGCCGCUGCUGCGUGUGUCAUGGCGGAAGUAGGUCGCUGCAGCAACGAGGAUGGCAGAAGCGAGAAGGACUGUAGGGAUCGUGCUAGCCAUGGCGUGCUUUACUAUAAAAAGAAAUUGAACUAAAAUUUAGCUGACAAGGUUCAGUUGUGGAUAUGAUUAUAUAAGGCAGUAGACUAAGACAACGACAGAAUAAUAGCGUCAAAACGAAUUCGUCAGGAGGUUUGAGCUCAUAGUAGUUGGCCCAAAUUCUUCGUGGAAAUGUCACACACCCACGUUUGUCGCGUGCAUCCAUAUUUGUAUGUGUGGAUGGUAGUGAGCCGGAGAUAAGGCUCCUGUGGACUGAAUGAACUCUCGUUACUGUUCUACGAGAUUUUGGAAGUUUGCCAAUACAUAUGUUUACAGUGAGCGUAGCUAUAUCAGAGGUCCAUCAAACAGCCUGGCAUCCGUGUGCGUACGUUCGAAUAUAGUUUUGGCUCACCGACAGCAGCAUACACAAUUGAUUGAGACACUCUAGCUAGAUCACCUCUAUUAUCAAGAAGCAAAGUUAAGACGAACUGAUCACAGAUCAGUUGGUUGGGUUCACUACCAGAAUCGUGUUCUAUGCUGAGUGCCAAAAUGUUUGCUAAGUUCAUUAUAUUGGGCACUCGGAAAAGAAGGGAUUUGUCGAGUGCCACACUCGACAAACCCAGACACUCGGCACACGUGGUCUUUGCCGAGUGCCUAACCCUCGGUAAAGCAAGACACUUGGCAUACAGGAACUUUGCCGAGAACUUGGCACUCGGCAAACCCAGGUACAAGACAUCAACUGAUGCCGAGCACCUCCAUUACUCUUUGACGAGUGCCAAGCGUUAGCACUCGGUAAAGGGAGAGAGUUUGCCGAGUGCCAGAGUCCAACACUCGGCAAACUUUUUUUUUAUUUGUGGCCUUUAAACUUUUUCUGCUCUCAUCUUCUACUAAGAUUUACUCCAUCUUAAGGUACGGCACAUUUCUCAGUCUACUUGCUAUAUUUAGUUAAUUUAUCUCAUUUAAUUGAAUUUUUGAGGAUAACUCAAAUUUGAAUCGCAGGUGGUUCUAAUAAUAGAAAAAAUGAAUGGAAAAAUGAUAUUCAUGCAAUUUCAAAUAGAAUAACAUUAAAAUCCAGGAAUUACAUCAAAUUUCAAAAAUGUUGCCCAUGAAGCAUAAGCACAAACUUGUGGCGAAAUUGUUUUAAAAUUUUAUAAAAAGCAAAUGAAGUCUGAAAAUCACGAGAUUUGUCAAGAUGUCUUGAUAUCAUAUGUGGAGACUAUGAUAAAAAUUUAAGAAAGUUUCAUGAAUGUUAUCACAUAUGAAUGCAAACAAAUUAGAACAUCUUCGAGGAAGUUUCAAAGAGUUGAGGAAGAUCCAUAGUCAAAUUGAGUGUCAAGUUAGAGUAUCACUUUAAAACUUUUUGUAUAGGCAAUAGACAACAGAGAUUAUUUCUUGUUGUGAAAUUUUGAUAAUUUUUUGGAUCCAUUUUGCUAAUUUUAAAUUAUUAAACGUAAUUAUAGAAUUUUAAUUGCGAUAAAUAGGAUUUGAACUAAAGCCAUGGUCUUUGUUGACUGUCCAUGUCAACGACACUAGGCAAAGAUGACCACUUUGCUGAGUGCCUUGACCCUGGUACUCGGUAAAGCCACCAUCACUGUAUCACUCGUCGUCACGGCAACUUUUCUUUGCCGUGCGUUAAAGUGGCACUUGACAACGCCUUUGCCGAGUGCCUGACGAAUGACACUCGGAAAAGCGCCCUUUGCCAGCACAUUUUUUACCGAGCCCUCUUUGCCGAGUGGUACAGGCACUCGGCAAAGAGCGUGAUUCUAGUAGUGGUUCCUCGACUUAGCAUGAGCUCUCACAUUUUCUAGGAUUUAACGGUACAAUGCUUUCAAUGGUAGGCAAUGUUCCCAUUGAUAGCGAGACGCCUAUGGUGAGUUCAUGAAUCUUAAGAUCUAUGGACUUAGUUCUUCGGUGGUGCUUAUAAGGGGGGGGGGGUUUGUAUGUGUAUUCAUAGGGGUGAGUGUACCUCCUUGUUGUGGCCAUCUACAUUGUAGUGUGUCAUUCUCAAAAAAAGAACCAAAGUUAAGGCUCUUCUUAUAUGGAUGUAAGGAAAAUGAAACCUUGGCCCAUUUAGUUUGGAUUUUGGUGUCUCAUGAUCAUCAAGACCAAAUUGAACUAUAGCGGUCCAAUGGUUGGCAUAUUUGCCCACCAAGGUGCCCAACGGCUCCAUUUGGUUGGGGGCUCAUAAGUACCCCAUGGUUGGCCAAUUGGAAGGGCGAGAGCCCAAGAAAUUACCAUAUGAGUUGAAGCACAAUUUUAGUUGCUCUGUCACCAUAGUGCUUAGUGAAAUACUUGGUGAUUAGCAUAGGCACUUUGCGAAGUGCUUAUUAGGUUAAUUAGACCACCACUUUGCACUUGCUCUAGGUGUUAGACUAGUGUUUAGUGAGCUACGCACACCUCUUACCACUUGGUGCUUGCAUGCACAAUUCUUGUCAGACCACACCAAUUGUGCUUGUGGUGUGGCCACCAACAUGUACCAAAGAGAACAAGGUGUGUGGCAUUUUAGACGGAAGCUUAGUAGUGAAGACGAUGUGGAGCGAUCUAGGAGAGACUUGCUGGAAGGCACACCAGCAACCCACUUGUGCGUGGGGAAGGUCCACGGAUAUCCAUAGAGUUACUCAACUAGGAUCUCCAACAAGGACUAGGGGGAAGCUUGAGCGCUUGUCAAUGCUUCUCAAUACAUCGAUAAAAAUACCGUAGUCAUUGACCGGAGUUUGCAUCUCUACCUCAUAUUUAGCUUAUGCAUUUAUAUUGUUGUGCUUUACCUUUCCUAGCUUAGUUGAAAGGAUUGGAACCUAGGUUGCAUAACUCUUUUUCGAUAGGCUAGUUGAUAGGAUUGGAACCAAGGUUGCAUAACUCUUUUAUGGUAGAGAUAGCAACACACGAGCAAAACCGUAGUUGCACAUUUAGAUAGUUUAUCCUAUUGUAUAGGUUUUGCUAAGGUUGGAAUUACAGGCCAUAGUUAGAAGUAGAUUUUUAAGUUACCUAAUUCAUCGUACCCCCUCUUAGGCAUCAUGGUUCUUUCAGUGGAGAACCACCAAAGCAUCAUGUUUAUUAAAACUUACUCUCAUUUGUUGCAUGACAAAAUUGGGAGCAUAAGCAGUUUUUUGUAAAACUCAUUGUGAACAAUUAGGAUUUUUAUCUCUAUCUCUCAUGUUCAACACAAAUAGAAGGAAGUAGAACACAUAGACAAAUGGAAGUGGGAACUAUUCUUUCCUCUCUGAACAUGUGCAGAACAACUUCCAUGUAUAUGUAGUCUUACUAAGGUCUAAGAAUUUGGUAAGCGCCUAAAUAGAUAAUGGAUUAUGAUUAAGAUUUGUCAUGGUCAUUUCCUUUUAGGUUAGAGUAUGUAUGUUUUAUAAUACUCCCCCUUUAAUACCACAAUAUGCACAAGUCUCAUUAAAAACUCACCCAAAAACCUAGUGGGGAAAAAAGGCUUCCAAGAAAAGAGAACAUUAUAUCCAUAAUUGGGCAAAUAGUUGUUGCAAGAUGCUAUUUGAAAACGCCUGCUGUAGUCUAUAGGCCUACAGAGCUGGAUGUUCGAAUCCCAUAGGAGUAAGUGCUGGGAGGAACUGUGGAAUAAAAACAUUAGGAGCAAGUGAGCACUCGGCAAAUAUCUCGGUAGCCAUUGUUGUUUGAACGUUGCUAGUUCAUUUUAUUUGGUAUGUUUCUAAUGCUCUCAAUGUUGUGGCGAUGGGAUAACUACUGAUUCAAGGCCUAUUUACAAAAAUAAGGGCUCAUGUAUAUCUAUUUAGAUAUUGACAUUUGUCAAACAACAGAUAAGCUAUAUAUGAUAUGGCACCUAGUCAAUUUUGACAUUUAAUUAUCAAUUAGGCUGGUAAGCUUAAUCAUUCGGACUAGGCAAAAAUUUUGGGCUAAGGAUAUUCAAUAUGGCUAAAAUAUUUAAAAAGAACAACUUCAAUUCACUCCUAAUCCAAACGAGGGAAAAACCUUUUCAUGGACUUUGUUACUAUUCCUUUUUUAUUUAUGAAGGAAUUAAUUGUAUGACUGUGAAAUAAUGACUGCAGUUGUUGUGCUCACUGAAAGAGCAAGGAGCGCAAGGAGGGCAAAUAUCAUGGGCUCCAAAUAUUUCCUUACAUGUUGUAUUAUAGGGUCAUGCACAAUUUGGGUUCUAGCAAAAAACAUAUGCACCAAAUAUUUACUAAAAACAAUAACUAAGAGGUAAGACUUCGCGCGAACAACUUUGCACACACAUAUAGGUUUACUCAUGAACUUAUAUUAUGUUUUGCUUGGUAUACGUUCACCUGAUUUGAGUGUUCACGGUCAAAGCAUAUGUGCCAAUCACUUUCUCAAAAGAACAUAUCACAGAUUUAAGUACUCAAUUACAAGCACGUACAGUCACAUCUAUCUUAUAAACACACAAGCACACAUCCAAACAAGAACAUUCAAGCGGUUCGAGCUGGCACAUCUUUGGCUUGGUGAAGUAUGCGGUAUUGUCUACAUAUUAACCAAGCAUGUAUCUUUAUAUUUGAUUUGAUGUUUUCAAAUGUAUAUACAAAGAACACUCUUAAGAAAUUGACUCAAAUUAAUUCUCAAACAAUAUAUUGAUUAUUUAUUGGAAGUUGCACACGCCGAUAUGAGACCUUUGUUAUGAAGUACAACUCAUAUGUAAUCUAGAAGAUGGCACUUCCAACGAUGGGUUGCUGCCAUGAAAAGGCAGGGUUCAUCAAAGAUAUCUGGUUGAAUGGCAACAAUUGUUGCUGCUGCAGGAAGGCGGCAGCCAAUGGGUUAGCAGCUACCACUGGAUUAACACGAAGCAGCUGUUGUUGUUGCAGGUAUGCGGCGGUGUUCGUCACAGCGAGUUGGUUGAAUGGAAGCAGCUGUUGUUGUUGCAAGUAGGCGGCCGGGUUCACCAAGGCUAGUUGACUGAGUGCUGGUAGGAUUUGUUGCAGCUGCUGUUGUUGCAAGUAUGCAGCAGCAUUGGCCGCAACCAGUGGGUUGUAUGCAAGUUGUUGUUGUUGCAAGUAGGCGGCAGGGUUUGCCAUGGCUACCUGACUGAUCACUGGCAGGACCUGUUGUAGUUGUUGUUGCUGGUAUGCAGCAUUGUUCACCAGAGCCAGUGGGUUGGAUGCAAGUAGUUGUUGUUGCAAGUAGGCCACAGGGUUUGCCAGGGCUAGUUGACUGAGUGCUGGUAGGAACUGUUGCUGCUGCUGCUGCGCUGCGAUGGUCUGUACGGUUAGAUGAGCCGAGGAUUGUUGUUGCAAUUGGGCAAAUGGUUGUUGUAAGAUGCUAUUCGCAAGCGCCUGCUGUAGUCUGUAAGCCUGCAGAGCCGGGUGUUCGAAUCCCACAGGAGUAAGUGGUGGGAGGAACUGUGAAAUAAUAGCAUUAGGAGCAAGUGAGCACUGCGGAAUAAUGACUGCAGUUGUAGUGCUCACUGAAAGAGCAAGGAGUGCAAGGAGGACAAAUAUCUUGGUAGCCAUUGUUGUGAGGACGUUGAUGUUUGUUUCCCUUGGUAUGUUUCUGAUUGCUCUCAGUGUUAUGGGCGAUGGAUUAACUACUGAUCCGGGGCCUAUUUAUACUAGUGAGGGCUCAUGUAUAUCUGUUUAGAUUUUGCCUUUUUUCAAACAACAGAUAAGCUAUAGAUGACAUGGCACCUAGUCAAUUUUGACAUUUAGUUAUUAUUUUUGUUGGAUUAUAUGGUCUAUGUAUGAAAGACAAUUUCCACUAAGUACAAGGAAAACUUGUUGUUUUCUAUUGGAGUUUUUUUGAUACAAUAGAAAUAACAUGCAUGAUCACUUCACCUUUACACAUGUUACAACCUUAGCCACAUCAUAAAUGUCCACUUUAUAUACAUGGCGAGUAUGUAAAGUUAUGACUUGCUCAUGUGGAUCAAAGCCUUUAUCAACGGACGUUCUUGUAGUAUUGUACUCAUGGUUGAAGAUAGCACGGUAGUUAGGUGAGAAGUUAAUCAAUGAAUAAACAAAUGCUAAAGAUUGAGACUAAAUAAAAAUACCAUUAUGUACACAUAGAAUUUAUAAAUUUAGAAUGCUUAUAGCCAAACAUGACAGUUGCCACACACUCCCUGUGUUCCUUGUUACAAUUUAUUUUUGAAUUAUCUAUACCCAACAUUGUAUAACUAUCAAAAAGUUUUAAAUAAACUUUGAUGAGAAUAAGCACUAUCAUGACAUUAUCAUUAAUAAUUCAAUGAAAAAACUUGAUGUUCAAAAUUUUAGAUAGAUUUAGUAGGAAGUAAGUGAAAGUUAGGGGAGUUAGCGAAAACCUAGAGCAUGUAAUAAACUAGAGUGGAGGAAGUAUUUGUUGAACUAUAGCUAUUGAUUCGAAUUAAUUUACAUCAAGCUUGUCAAAGUUAACUUGUUUCCAUAUAGAAUAGACAAUGACAAAUUUUAUGCAACUUUUCUUCGUUCCACUACCUAUAAUACGAGUCUAAGCUUCAAUAUACAUACGAAGAGGACCGUGGCCAUCCUCCUAGCUAUCUUACAUAUAAGUUAGAGCUCAAAGGCAUAGAUUCUUUCAAGCAGACAGACAAUAUGAUCAAUAAUCUAAACGGUUCUCAGCAAUGCUGCAAAAACCUCAAGAAACCCUUGGCUAAGAUGGGGUCAGGAUUGAUUUUAUAAUACUCCCCCUUUAGUACCACAAUAUGCACAAGUCUCAUUAAAAAAUCACCCAAAAACCUAGUGGGGAAAAAAGGCUUCAAAGAAAAGAGAACAUUAUAUCCAUAAUUGGGCAAAUAGUUGUUGCAAGAUGCUAUUUGAAAACGCCUGCUGUAGUCUAUAGGCCUACAGAGCUGGAUGUUCGAAUCCCAUAGGAGUAAGUGCUCGGAGGAACCGUGGAAUAAAAACAUUAGGAGCAAGUGAGCACUCGGCAAAUAUCUUGGUAGCCAUUGUUGUUUGAACGUUGCUAGUUCAUUUUAUUUGGUAUGUUUCUAAUGCUCUCAAUGUUGUGGCGAUGGGAUAACUACUGAUUCAAGGCCUAUUUACAAAAAUAAGGGCUCAUGUAUAUCUAUUUAGAUAUUGACAUUUGUCAAACAACAGAUAAGCCAUAUAUGAUAUGGCACCUAGUCAAUUUUGACAUUUAGUUAUCAAUUAGGCUGGUAAGCUUAAUCAUUCGGACUAGGCAAAAAUUUUGGGCUAAGGAUAUUCAAUAUGGCUAAAAUAUUUAAAAAGAAUAACUUCAAUUCACUCCUAAUCCAAACGAGGGAAAAACCUUUUCAUGGACUUUGUUACUAUUCCUUUUUUAUUUAUGCAGGAAUUAAUUGUAUGACUGUGAAAUAAUGACUGCAGUUAUUGUGUUCACUGAAAGAGCAAGGAGCGCAAGGAGGGCAAAUAUCAUGGGCUCCAAAUAUUUCCUUACAUGUUGUAUUAUAGGGUCAUGCAUAAUUUGGGUUCUAGCAAAAAACAUAUGCACCAAAUUUUUACUAAAAACAAUAACUAAGAGGUAAGACUUCGCGCGAACAACUUUGCACACACAUAUAGGUUUACUCAUGAACUUAUAUUAUGUUUUGCUUGGUACACGUGCACCUGAUUUGAGUGUUCACGGUCAAAGCAUAUGUGCCAAUCACUUUCUCAAAAGAACAUAUCACAGAUUUAAGUACUCAACUACAAGCACGUACAGUCACAACUAUCUUAUAAACACACAAGCACACAUCCAAACAAGAACAUUCAAGUGGUUCGAGCUGGCACAUCUUUGGCUUGGUGAAGUAUGCGGUAUUGUCUUCAGAUUAACCAAGCAUGUAUCUUUAAUUUUGAUUUGAUGUUUUCAAAUGUAUAUACAAAGAACACUCUUAAGAAAUUGACUCAAAUUAAUUCUCAAACAAUAUAUUGAUUAUUUAUUGGAAGUUGCACACGCCGAUAUAUAUGAGACCUUUGUUAUGAAGUACAACUCAUAUGUAAUCUAGACGAUGGCACUUCCAACGAUGGGUUGCUGCCAUGAAAAGGCAGGGUUCAUCAAAGAUAUCUGGUUGAAUGGCAACAAUUGUUGCUGCUGCAGGAAGGCGGCAGCCAAUGGGUUAGCAGCUACCACUGGAUUAACACGAAGCAGCUGUUGUUGUUGCAGGUAUGCGGCGGUAUUCGUCACAGCGAGUUGGUUGAAUGGAAGCAGCUGUUGUUGUUGCAAGUAGGCGGCCGGGUUCACCAAGGCUAGUUGACUGAGUGCUGGUAGGAUUUGUUGCAGCUGCUGUUGUUGCAAGUAUGCCGCAGCAUUGGCCGCAACCAGUGGGUUGUAUUCAAGUUGUUGUUGUUGCAGGUAGGCUGCAGGGUUUGCCAUGGCUACCUGACUGAUCACUGGCAGGACCUGUUGUAGUUGUUGUUGCUGGUAUGCAGCAUUGUUCACCAGAGCCAGUGGGUUGGAUGCAAGUAGUUGUUGUUGCAAGUAGGCCACAGGGUUUGCCAGGGCUAGUUGACUGAGUGCUGGUAGGAACUGUUGCUGCUGCUGCUGCGCUGCGAUGGUCUGUACGGUUAGAUGAGCCGAGGAUUGUUGUUGCAAUUGGGCAAAUGGUUGUUGUAAGAUGCUAUUCGCAAGCGCCUGCUGUAGUCUGUAAGCCUGCAGAGCUGGGUGUUCGAAUCCCACAGGAGUAAGUGGUGGGAGGAACUGUGAAAUAAUAGCAUUAGGAGCAAGUGAGCACUGCGGAAUAAUGACUGCAGUUGUUGUGCUCACUGAAAGAGCAAGGAGCGCAAGGAGGACAAAUAUCUUGGUAGCCAUUGUUGUGAGGACGUUGAUGUUUGUUUCCCUUGGUAUGUUUCUGAUUGCUCUCAGUGUUAUGGGCGAUGGAUUAACUACUAAUCUGGGGCCUAUAUAUUUAUACAAGUGAGGGCUCCUGUUUAGAUUUUGCCUUUUUUCAAACAACAGAUAAGCUAUAGAUGACAUGGCACCUAGUCAAUUUUGACAUUUAGUUAUUAUUUUUGUUGGAUUAUAUGGUCUAUGUAUGAAAGACAAUUUCCACUAAGUACAAGGAAAACUUGUUGUUUUCUAUUGGAGUUUUUUUGAUACAAUAGAAAUAACAUGCAUGAUCACUUCACCUUUACACAUGUUACAACCUUAGCCACAUCAUAAAUGUCCACUUUAUAUACAUGGCGAGUAUGUAAAGUUAUGACUUGCUCAUGUGGAUCAAAGCCUUUAUCAACGGAUGUUCUUGUAGUAUUGUACUCAUGGUUGAAGAUAGCACGGUAGUUAGGUGAGAAGUUACUCAAUGAAUAAACAAAUGCUAAAGAUUGAGACUAAAUAAAAAUACCAUUAUGUACACAUAGAAUUUAUAAAUUUAGAAUGCUUAUAGCCAAACAUGACAGUUGCCACACACUCCCUGUGUUCCUUGUUACAAUUUAUUUUUGAAUUAUCUAUACCCAACAUUGUAUAACUAUCAAAAAGUUUUAAAUAAACUUUGACGAGAAUAAGCGCUAUCAUGACAUUAUCAUUAAUAAUUCAAUGAAAAAACUUGAUGUUCAAAAUUUUAGAUAGAUUUAGUAGGAAGUAAGUGAAAGUUAGGGGAGUUAGCGAAAACCUAGAGCAUGUAAUAAACUAGAGUGGAGGGAGUAUUUGUUGAACUAUAGCUAUUGAUUCGAAUUAAUUUACAUCAAGCUUGACAAAGUUAACUUGUUUCCAUAUAGAAUAGACAAUGACAACUUUUAUGCAACUUUUCUUCCUUCCACUACCUACAAUACGAGUCUAAGCUUCAAUAUACAUACGAAGAGGACCGUGGCCAUCCUCCUAGCUAUCUUACAUAUAAGUUAGAGCUCAAAGGCAUAGAUUCUUUCAAGCAGAAAGACAAUAUGAUCAAUAAUCUAAACGGUUCUCAGCAAUGCUGCAAAAACCUCAAGAAACGCUUGGCUAAGAUGGGGUCAGGAUUGAUUUUAUAAUACUCCCCCUUUAGUACCACAAUAUGCACAAGUCUCAUUAAAAACUCACCCAAAAACCUAGUGGGGAAAAAAGGCUUCAAAGAAAAGAGAACAUUAUAUCCAUAAUUGGGCAAAUAGUUGUUGCAAGAUGCUAUUUGAAAACGCCUGCUGUAGUCUAUAGGCCUACAGAGCUGGAUGUUCGAAUCCCAUAGGAGUAAGUGCUGGGAGGAACUGUGGAAUAAAAACAUUAGGAGCAAGUGAGCACUCGGCAAAUAUCUCGGUAGCCAUUGUUGUUUGAACGUUGCUAGUUCAUUUUAUUUGGUAUGUUUCUAAUGCUCUCAAUGUUGUGGCGAUGGGAUAACUACUGAUUCAAGGCCUAUUUACAAAAAUAAGGGCUCAUGUAUAUCUAUUUAGAUAUUGACAUUUGUCAAACAACAGAUAAGCUAUAUAUGAUAUGGCACCUAGUCAAUUUUGACAUUUAAUUAUCAAUUAGGCUGGUAAGCUUAAUCAUUCGGACUAGGCAAAAAUUUUGGGCUAAGGAUAUUCAAUAUGGCUAAAAUAUUUAAAAAGAACAACUUCAAUUCACUCCUAAUCCAAACGAGGGAAAAACCUUUUCAUGGACUUUGUUACUAUUCCUUUUUUAUUUAUGAAGGAAUUAAUUGUAUGACUGUGAAAUAAUGACUGCAGUUGUUGUGCUCACUGAAAGAGCAAGGAGCGCAAGGAGGGCAAAUAUCAUGGGCUCCAAAUAUUUCCUUACAUGUUGUAUUAUAGGGUCAUGCACAAUUUGGGUUCUAGCAAAAAACAUAUGCACCAAAUAUUUACUAAAAACAAUAACUAAGAGGUAAGACUUCGCGCGAACAACUUUGCACACACAUAUAGGUUUACUCAUGAACUUAUAUUAUGUUUUGCUUGGUAUAUGUGCACCUGAUUUGAGUGUUCACGGUCAAAGCAUAUGUGCCAAUCACUUUCUCAAAAGAACAUAUCACAGAUUUAAGUACUCAACUACAAGCACGUACAGUCACAUCUAUCUUAUAAACACACAAGCACACAUCCAAACAAGAACAUUCAAGCGGUUCGAGCUGGCACAUCUUUGGCUUGGUGAAGUAUGCGGUAUUGUCUACAUAUUAACCAAGCAUGUAUCUUUAAUUUUGAUUUGAUGUUUUCAAAUGAAUAUACAAAGAACACUCUUAAGAAAUUGACUCAAAUUAAUUCUCAAACAAUAUAUUGAUUAUUUAUUGGAAGUUGCACACGCCGAUAUAUAUGAGACCUUUGUUAUGAAGUACAACUCAUAUGUAAUCUAGAAGAUGGCACUUCCAACGAUGGGUUGCUGCCAUGAAAAGGCAGGGUUCAUCAAAGAUAUCUGGUUGAAUGGCAACAAUUGUUGCUGCUGCAGGAAGGCGGCAGCCAAUGGGUUAGCAGCUACCACUGGAUUAACACGAAGCAGCUGUUGCUGUUGCAGGUAUGCGGCGGUGUUCGUCACAGCGAGUUGGUUGAAUGGAAGCAGCUGUUGUUGUUGCAAGUAGGCGGCCGGGUUCACCAAGGCUAGUUGACUGAGUGCUGGUAGGAUUUGUUGCAGCUGCUGUUGUUGCAAGUAUGCAGCAGCAUUGGCCGCAACCAGUGGGUUGUAUGCAAGUUGUUGUUGUUGCAGGUAGGCGGCAGGGUUUGCCAUGGCUACCUGACUGAUCACUGGCAGGACCUGUUGUAGUUGUUGCUGCUGGUAUGCAGCAUUGUUCACCAGAGCCAGUGGGUUGGAUGCAAGUAGUUGUUGUUGCAAGUAGGCCACAGGGUUUGCCAGGGCUAGUUGACUGAGUGCUGGUAGGAACUGUUGUUGCUGCUGCUGCGCUGCGAUGGUCUGUACGGUUAGAUGAGCCGAGGAUUGUUGUUGCAAUUGGGCAAAUGGUUGUUGUAAGAUGCUAUUCGCAAGCGCCUGCUGUAGUCUGUAAGCCUGCAGAGCCGGGUGUUCGAAUCCCACAAGAGUAAGUGGUGGGAGGAACUGUGAAAUAAUAGCAUUAGGAGCAAGUGAGCACUGCGGAAUAAUGACUGCAGUUGUUGUGCUCACUGAAAGAGCAAGGAGCGCAAGGAGGACAAAUAUCUUGGUAGCCAUUGUUGUGAGGACGUUGAUGUUUGUUUCCCUUGGUAUGUUUCUGAUUGCUCUCAGUGUUAUGGGCGAUGGAUUAACUACUGAUCUAGGGCCUAUAUAUUUAUACAAGUGAGGGCUCCUGUUUAGAUUUUGCCUUUUUUCAAACAACAGAUAAGCUAUAGAUGACAUGGCACCUAGUCAAUUUUGACAUUUAGUUAUUAUUUUUGUUGGAUUAUAUGGUCUAUGUAUGAAAGACAAUUUCCACUAAGUACAAGGAACACUUGUUGUUUUCUAUUGGAGGUUUUUUGAUACAAUAGAAAUAACAUGCAUGAUCACUUCACCUUUACACAUGUUACAACCUUAGCCACAUCAUAAAUGUCCACUUUAUAUACAUGGCGAGUAUGUAAAGUUAUGACUUGCUCAUGUGGAUCAAAGCCUUUAUCAACGGACGUUCUUGUAGUAUUGUACUCAUGGUUGAAGAUAGCACGAUAGUUAGGUGAGAAGUUACUCAAUGAAUAAACAAAUGCUAAAGAUUGAGACUAAAUAAAAAUACCAUUAUGUACACAUAGAAUUUAUAAAUUUAGAAUGCUUAUAGCCAAACAUGACAGUUGCCACACACUCCUUGUGUUCCUUGUUACAAUUUAUUUUUGAAUUAUCUAUACCCAACAUUGUAUAACUAUCAAAAAGUUUUAAAUAAACUUUGACGAGAAUAAGCGCUAUCAUGACAUUAUCAUUAAUAAUUCAAUGAAAAAACUUGAUGUUCAAAAUUUUAGAUAGAUUUAGUAGGAAGUAAGUGAAAGUUAGGGGAGUUAGCGAAAACCUAGAGCAUGUAAUAAACUAGAGUGGAGGGAGUAUUUGUUGAACUAUAGCUAUUGAUUCGAAUUAAUUUACAUCAAGCUUGUCAAAGUUAACUUGUUUCCGUAUAGAAUAGACAAUGACAAAUUUUAUGCAACUUUUCUUCCUUCCACUACCUACAAUACGAGUCUAAGCUUCAAUAUACAUACGAAGAGGACCGUGGCCAUCCUCCUAGCUAUCUUACAUAUAAGUUAGAGCUCAAAGGCAUAGAUUCUUUCAAGCAGAAAGACAAUAUGAUCAAUAAUCUAAACGGUUCUCAGCAAUGCUGCAAAAACCUCAAGAAACGCUUGGCUAAGAUGGGGUCAGGAUUGAUUUUAUAAUACUCCCCCUUUAGUACCACAAUAUGCACAAGUCUCAUUAAAAACUCACCCAAAAACCUAGUGGGGAAAAAAGGCUUCAAAGAAAAGAGAACAUUAUAUCCAUAAUUGGGCAAAUAGUUGUUGCAAGAUGCUAUUUGAAAACGCCUGCUGUAGUCUAUAGGCCUACAGAGCUGGAUGUUCGAAUCCCACAGGAGUAAGUGCUGGGAGGAACUGUGGAAUAAAAACAUUAGGAGCAAGUGAGGACUCGGCAAAUAUCUCGGUAGCCAUUGUUGUUUGAACGUUGCUAGUUCAUUUUAUUUGGUAUGUUUCUAAUGCUCUCAAUGUUGUGGCGAUGGGAUAACUACUGAUUCAAGGCCUAUUUACAAAAAUAAGGGCUCAUGUAUAUCUAUAUAGAUAUUGACAUUUGUCAAACAACAGAUAAGCUAUAUAUGAUAUGACACCUAGUCAAUUUUGACAUUUAGUUAUCAAUUAGGCUGGUAAGCUUAAUCAUUCGGACUAGGCAAAAAUUUUGGGCUAAGGAUAUUCAAUAUGGCUAAAAUAUUUAAAAAGAACAACUUCAAUUCACUCCUAAUCCAAACGAGGGAAAAACCUUUUCAUGGACUUUGUUACUAUUCCUUUUUUAUUUAUGAAGGAAUUAAUUGUAUGACUGUGAAAUAAUGACUGCAGUUGUUGUGCUCACUGAAAGAGCAAGGAGCGCAAGGAGGGCAAAUAUCAUGGGCUCCAAAUAUUUCCUUACAUGUUGUAUUAUAGGGUCAUGCACAAUUUGGGUUCUAGCAAAAAACAUAUGCACCAAAUAUUUACUAAAAACAAUAACUAAGAGGUAAGACUUCGCGCGAACAACUUUGCACACACAUAUAGGUUUACUCAUGAACUUAUAUUAUGUUUUGCUUGGUAUAUGUGCACCUGAUUUGAGUGUUCACGGUCAAAGCAUAUGUGCCAAUCACUUUCUCAAAAGAACAUAUCACAGAUUUAAGUACUCAACUACAAGCACGUACAGUCACAUCUAUCUUAUAAACACACAAGCACACAUCCAAACAAGAACAUUCAAGCGGUUCGAGCUGGCACAUCUUUGGCUUGGUGAAGUAUGCGGUAUUGUCUACAUAUUAACCAAGCAUGUAUCUUUAAUUUUGAUUUGAUGUUUUCAAAUGAAUAUACAAAGAACACUCUUAAGAAAUUGACUCAAAUUAAUUCUCAAACAAUAUAUUGAUUAUUUAUUGGAAGUUGCACACGCCGAUAUAUAUGAGACCUUUGUUAUGAAGUACAACUCAUAUGUAAUCUAGAAGAUGGCACUUCCAACGAUGGGUUGCUGCCAUGAAAAGGCAGGGUUCAUCAAAGAUAUCUGGUUGAAUGGCAACAAUUGUUGCUGCUGCAGGAAGGCGGCAGCCAAUGGGUUAGCAGCUACCACUGGAUUAACACGAAGCAGCUGUUGUUGUUGCAGGUAUGCGGCGGUGUUCGUCACAGCGAGUUGGUUGAAUGGAAGCAGCUGUUGUUGUUGCAAGUAGGCGGCCGGGUUCACCAAGGCUAGUUGACUGAGUGCUGGUAGGAUUUGUUGCAGCUGCUGUUGUUGCAAGUAUGCAGCAGCAUUGGCCGCAACCAGUGGGUUGUAUGCAAGUUGUUGUUGUUGCAGGUAGGCGGCAGGGUUUGCCAUGGCUACCUGACUGAUCACUGGCAGGACCUGUUGUAGUUGUUGCUGCUGGUAUGCAGCAUUGUUCACCAGAGCCAGUGGGUUGGAUGCAAGUAGUUGUUGUUGCAAGUAGGCCACAGGGUUUGCCAGGGCUAGUUGACUGAGUGCUGGUAGGAACUGUUGCUGCUGCUGCUGCGCUGCGAUGGUCUGUACGGUUAGAUGAGCCGAGGAUUGUUGUUGCAAUUGGGCAAAUGGUUGUUGUAAGAUGCUAUUCGCAAGCGCCUGCUGUAGUCUGUAAGCCUGCAGAGCCGGGUGUUCGAAUCCCACAAGAGUAAGUGGUGGGAGGAACUGUGAAAUAAUAGCAUUAGGAGCAAGUGAGCACUGCGGAAUAAUGACUGCAGUUGUUGUGCUCACUGAAAGAGCAAGGAGCGCAAGGAGGACAAAUAUCUUGGUAGCCAUUGUUGUGAGGACGUUGAUGUUUGUUUCCCUUGGUAUGUUUCUGAUUGCUCUCAGUGUUAUGGGCGAUGGAUUAACUACUGAUCUAGGGCCUAUAUAUUUAUACAAGUGAGGGCUCCUGUUUAGAUUUUGCCUUUUUUCAAACAACAGAUAAGCUAUAGAUGACAUGGCACCUAGUCAAUUUUGACAUUUAGUUAUUAUUUUUGUUGGAUUAUAUGGUCUAUGUAUGAAAGACAAUUUCCACUAAGUACAAGGAACACUUGUUGUUUUCUAUUGGAGUUUUUUUUGAUACAAUAGAAAUAACAUGCAUGAUCACUUCACCUUUACACAUGUUACAACCUUAGCCACAUCAUAAAUGUCCACUUUAUAUACAUGGCGAGUAUGUAAAGUUAUGACUUGCUCAUGUGGAUCAAAGCCUUUAUCAAUGGACGUUCUUGUAGUAUUGUACUCAUGGUUGAAGAUAGCACGGUAGUUAGGUGAGAAGUUACUCAAUGAAUAAACAAAUGCUAAAGAUUGAGACUAAAUAAAAAUACCCUUAUGUACACAUAGAAUUUAUAAAUUUAGAAUGCUUAUAGCCAAACAUGACAGUUGCCACACACUCCCUGUGUUCCUUGUUACAAUUUAUUUUUGAAUUAUCUAUACCCAACAUUGUAUAACUAUCAAAAAGUUUUAAAUAAACUUUGACGAGAAUAAGCGCUAUCAUGACAUUAUCAUUAAUAAUUCAAUGAAAAAACUUGAUGUUCAAAAUUUUAGAUAGAUUUAGUAAGAAGUAAGUGAAAGUUAGGGGAGUUAGCGAAAACCUAGAGCAUGUAAUAAACUAGAGUGGAGGGAGUAUUUGUUGAACUAUAGCUAUUGAUUCGAAUUAAUUUACAUCAAGCUUGUCAAAGUUAACUUGUUUCCAUAUAGAAUAGACAAUGACAAAUUUUAUGCAACUUUUCUUCCUUCCACUACCUACAAUACGAGUCUAAGCUUCAAUAUACAUACGAAGAGGACCGUGGCCAUCCUCCUAGCUAUCUUACAUAUAAGUUAGAGCUCAAAGGCAUAGAUUCUUUCAAGCAGAAAGACAAUAUGAUCAAUAAUCUCAACGGUUCUCACCAAUGCUGCAAAAACCUCAAGAAACGCUUGGCUAAGAUGGGGUCAGGAUUGAUUUUAUAAUACUCCCCCUUUAGUACCACAAUAUGCACAAGUCUCAUUAAAAACUCACCCAAAAACCUAGUGGGGAAAAAAGGCUUCAAAGAAAAGAGAACAUUAUAUCCAUAAUUGGGCAAAUAGUUGUUGCAAGAUGCUAUUUGAAAACGCCUGCUGUAGUCUAUAGGCCUACAGAGCUGGAUGUUCGAAUCCCAUAGGAGUAAGUGCUGGGAGGAACUGUGGAAUAAAAACAUUAGGAGCAAGUGAGCACUCGGCAAAUAUCUCGGUAGCCAUUGUUGUUUGAACGUUGCUAGUUCAUUUUAUUUGGUAUGUUUCUAAUGCUCUCAAUGUUGUGGCGAUGGGAUAACUACUGAUUCAAGGCCUAUUUACAAAAAUAAGGGCUCAUGUAUAUCUAUUUAGAUAUUGACAUUUGUCAAACAACAGAUAAGCUAUAUAUGAUAUGGCACUUAGUCAAUUUUGACAUUUAGUUAUCAAUUAGGCUGGUAAGCUUAAUCAUUCGGACUAGGCAAAAAUUUUGGGCUAAGGAUAUUCAAUAUGGCUAAAAUAUUUAAAAAGAACAACUUCAAUUCACUCCUAAUCCAAACGAGGGAAAAACCUUUUCAUGGACUUUGUUACUAUUCCUUUUUUAUUUAUGAAGAAAUUAAUUGUAUGACUGUGAAAUAAUGACUGCAGUUGUUGUGCUCACUGAAAGAGCAAGGAGCGCAAGGAGGGCAAAUAUCAUGGGCUCCAAAUAUUUCCUUACAUGUUGUAUUAUAGGGUCAUGCACAAUUUGGGUUCUAGCAAAAAACAUAUGCACCAAAUUUUUACUAAAAACAAUAACUAAGAGGUAAGACUUCGCGCGAACAACUUUGCACACACAUAUAGGUUUACUCAUGAACUUAUAUUAUGUUUUGCUUGGUAUAUGUGCACCUGAUUUGAGUGUUCACGGUCAAAGCAUAUGUGCCAAUCACUUUCUCAAAAGAACAUAUCACAGAUUUAAGUACUCAACUACAAGCACGUACAGUCACAUCUAUCUUAUAAACACACAAGCACACAUCCAAACAAGAACAUUCAAGCGGUUCGAGCUUGCACAUCUUUGGCUUGGUGAAGUAUGCGGUAUUGUCUACAUAUUAACCAAGCAUGUAUCUUUAAUUUUGAUUUGAUGUUUUCAAAUGAAUAUACAAAGAACACUCUUAAGAAAUUGACUCAAAUUAAUUCUCAAACAAUAUAUUGAUUAUUUAUUGGAAGUUGCACACGCCGAUAUAUAUGAGACCUUUGUUAUGAAGUACAACUCAUAUGUAAUCUAGAAGAUGGCACUUCCAACGAUGGGUUGCUGCCAUGAAAAGGCAGGGUUCAUCAAAGAUAUCUGGUUGAAUGGCAACAAUUGUUGCUGCUGCAGGAAGGCGGCAGCCAAUGGGUUAGCAGCUACCACUGGAUUAACACGAAGCAGCUGUUGUUGUUGCAGGUAUGCGGCGGUGUUCGUCACAGCGAGUUGGUUGAAUGGAAGCAGCUGUUGUUGUUGCAAGUAGGCGGCCGGGUUCACCAAGGCUAGUUGACUGAGUGCUGGUAGGAUUUGUUGCAGCUGCUGUUGUUGCAAGUAUGCAGCAGCAUUGGCCGCAACCAGUGGGUUGUAUGCAAGUUGUUGUUGUUGCAGGUAGGCGGCAGGGUUUGCCAUGGCUACCUGACUGAUCACUGGCAGGACCUGUUGUAGUUGUUGUUGCUGGUAUGCAGCAUUGUUCACCAGAGCCAGUGGGUUGGAUGCAAGUAGUUGUUGUUGCACGUAGGCCACAGGGUUUGCCAGGGCUAGUUGACUGAGUGCUGGUAGUAACUGUUGCUGCUGCUGCUGCUGCGCUGCGAUGGUCUGUCCGGUUAGAUGAGCCAAGGAUUGUUGUUGCAAUUGGGCAAAUGGUUGUUGUAAGAUGCUAUUCGCAAGCGCCUGCUGUAGUCUGUAAGCCUGCAGAGCCGGGUGUUCGAAUCCCACAAGAGUAAGUGGUGGGAGGAACUGUGAAAUAAUAGCAUUAGGAGCAAGUGAGCACUGCGGAAUAAUGACUGCAGUUGUUGUGCUCACUGAAAGAGCAAGGAGCGCAAGGAGGACAAAUAUCUUGGUAGCCAUUGUUGUGAGGACGUUGAUGUUUGUUUCCCUUGGUAUGUUUCUGAUUGCUCUCAGUGUUAUGGGCGAUGGAUUAACUACUGAUCUAGGGCCUAUAUAUUUAUACAAGUGAGGGCUCCUGUUUAGAUUUUGCCUUUUUUCAAACAACAGAUAAGCUAUAGAUGACAUGGCACCUAGUCAAUUUUGACAUUUAGUUAUUAUUUUUGUUGGAUUAUAUGGUCUAUGUAUGAAAGACAAUUUCCACUAAGUACAAGGAACACUUGUUGUUUUCUAUUGGAGUUUUUUUUGAUACAAUAGAAAUAACAUGCAUGAUCACUUCACCUUUACACAUGUUACAACCUUAGCCACAUCAUAAAUGUCCACUCUAUAUACAUGGCGAGUAUGUAAAGUUAUGACUUGCUCAUGUGGAUCAAAGCCUUUAUCAACGGACGUUCUUGUAGUAUUGUACUCAUGGUUGAAGAUAGCACGGUAGUUAGGCGACAAGUUACUCAAUGAAUAAACAAAUGCUAAAGAUUGAGACUAAAUAAAAAUACCAUUAUGUACACAUAGAAUUUAUAAAUUUAGAAUGCUUAUAGCCAAACAUGACAGUUGCCACACACUCCCUGUGUUCCUUGUUACAAUUUAUUUUUGAAUUAUCUAUACCCAACAUUGUAUAACUAUCAAAAAGUUUUAAAUAAACUUUGAUGAGAAUAAGCGCUAUCAUGACAUUAUCAUUAAUAAUUCAAUGAAAAAACUUGAUGUUCAAAAUUUUAGAUAGAUUUAGUAGGAAGUAAGUGAAAGUUAGGGGAGUCAGCGAAAACCUAGAGCAUGUAAUAAACUAGAGUGGAGGGAGUAUUUGUUGAACUAUAGCUAUUGAUUCGAAUUAAUUUACAUCAAGCUUGUCAAAGUUAACUUGUUUCCAUAUAGAAUAGACAAUGACAAAUUUUAUGCAACUUUUCUUCCUUCCACUACCUACAAUACGAGUCUAAGCUUCAAUAUACAUACGAAGAGGACCGUGGCCAUCCUCCUAGCUAUCUUACAUAUAAGUUAGAGCUCAAAGGCAUAGAUUCUUUCAAGCAGAAAGACAAUAUGAUCAAUAAUCUAAACGGUUCUCAGCAAUGCUGUAAAAACCUCAAGAAACGCUUGGCUAAGAUGGGGUCAGGAUUGAUUUUAUAAUACUCCCCCUUUAGUACCACAAUAUGCACAAGUCUCAUUAAAAACUCACCCAAAAACCUAGUGGGGAAAAAAGGCUUCAAAGAAAAGAGAACAUUAUAUCCAUAAUUGGGCAAAUAGUUGUUGCAAGAUGCUAUUUGAAAACGCCUGCUGUAGUCUAUAGGCCUACAGAGCUGGAUGUUCGAAUCCCACAGGAGUAACUGCUGGGAGGAACUGUGGAAUAAAAACAUUAGGAGCAAGUGAGCACUCGGCAAAUAUCUCGGUAGCCAGUGUUGUUUGAACGUUGCUAGUUCAUUUUAUUUGGUAUGUUUCUAAUGCUCUCAAUGUUGUGGCGAUGGGAUAACUACUGAUUCAAGGCCUAUUUACAAAAAUAAGGGCUCAUGUAUAUCUAUUUAGAUAUUGACAUUUGUCAAACAACAGAUAAGCUAUAUAUGAUAUGGCACCUAGUCAAUUUUGACAUUUAGUUAUCAAUUAGGCUGGUAAGCUUAAUCAUUCGGACUAGGCAAAAAUUUUGGGCUAAGGAUAUUCAAUAUGGCUAAAAUAUUUAAAAAGAACAACUUCAAUUCACUCCUAAUCCAAACGAGGGAAAAACCUUUUCAUGGACUUUGUUACUAUUCCUUUUUUAUUUAUGAAGGAAUUAAUUGUAUGACUGUGAAAUAAUGACUGCAGUUGUUGUGCUCACUGAAAGAGCAAGGAGCGCAAGGAGGGCAAAUAUCAUGGGCUCCAAAUAUUUCCUUACAUGUUGUAUUAUAGGGUCAUGCACAAUUUGGGUUCUAGCAAAAAACAUAUGCACCAAAUAUUUACUAAAAACAAUAACUAAGAGGUAAGACUUCGCGCGAACAACUUUGCACACACAUAUAGGUUUACUCAUGAACUUAUAUUAUGUUUUGCUUGGUAUAUGUGCACCUGAUUUGAGUGUUCACGGUCAAAGCAUAUGUGCCAAUCACUUUCUCAAAAGAACAUAUCACAGAUUUAAGUACUCAACUACAAGCACGUACAGUCACAUCUAUCUUAUAAACACACAAGCACACAUCCAAACAAGAACAUUCAAGCGGUUCGAGCUGGCACAUCUUUGGCUUGGUGAAGUAUGCGGUAUUGUCUACAUAUUAACCAAGCAUGUAUCUUUAAUUUUGAUUUGAUGUUUUCAAAUGAAUAUACAAAGAACACUCUUAAGAAAUUGACUCAAAUUAAUUCUCAAACAAUAUAUUGAUUAUUUAUUGGAAGUUGCACACGCCGAUAUAUAUGAGACCUUUGUUAUGAAGUACAACUCAUAUGUAAUCUAGAAGAUGGCACUUCCAACGAUGGGUUGCUGCCAUGAAAAGGCAGGGUUCAUCAAAGAUAUCUGGUUGAAUGGCAACAAUUGUUGCUGCUGCAGGAAGGCGGCAGCCAAUGGGUUAGCAGCUACCACUGGAUUAACACGAAGCAGCUGUUGUUGUUGCAGGUAUGCGGCGGUGUUCGUCAUAGCGAGUUGGUUGAAUGGAAGCAGCUGUUGUUGUUGCAAGUAGGCGGCCGGGUUGACCAAGGCUAGUUGACUGAGUGCUGGUAGGAUUUGUUGCAGCUGCUGUUGUUGCAAGUAUGCAGCAGCAUUGGCCGCAACCAGUGGGUUGUAUGCAAGUUGUUGUUGUUGCAGGUAGGCGGCAGGGUUUGCCAUGGCUACCUGACUGAUCACUGGCAGGACCUGUUGUAGUUGUUGCUGCUGGUAUGCAGCAUUGUUCACCAGAGCCAGUGGGUUGGAUGCAAGUAGUUGUUGUUGCAAGUAGGCCACAGGGUUUGCCAGGGCUAGUUGACUGAGUGCUGGUAGGAACUGUUGCUGCUGCUGCUGCGCUGCGAUGGUCUGUACGGUUAGAUGAGCCGAGGAUUGUUGUUGCAAUUGGGCAAAUGGUUGUUGUAAGAUGCUAUUCGCAAGCGCCUGCUGUAGUCUGUAAGCCUGCAGAGCCGGGUGUUCGAAUCCCACAAGAGUAAGUGGUGGGAGGAACUGUGAAAUAAUAGCAUUAGGAGCAAGUGAGCACUGCGGAAUAAUGACUGCAGUUGUUGUGCUCACUGAAAGAGCAAGGAGCGCAAGGAGGACAAAUAUCUUGGUAGCCAUUGUUGUGAGGACGUUGAUGUUUGUUUCCCUUGGUAUGUUUCUGAUUGCUCUCAGUGUUAUGGGCGAUGGAUUAACUACUGAUCUAGGGCCUAUAUAUUUAUACAAGUGAGGGCUCCUGUUUAGAUUUUGCCUUUUUUCAAACAACAGAUAAGCUAUAGAUGACAUGGCACCUAGUCAAUUUUGACAUUUAGUUAUUAUUUUUGUUGGAUUAUAUGGUCCAUGUAUGAAAGACAAUUUCCACUAAGUACAAGGAACACUUGUUGUUUUCUAUUGGAGUUUUUUUUGAUACAAUAGAAAUAACAUGCAUGAUCACUUCACCUUUACACAUGUUACAACCUUAGCCACAUCAUAAAUGUCCACUUUAUAUACAUGGCGAGUAUGUAAAGUUAUGACUUGCUCAUGUGGAUCAAAGCCUUUAUCAACGGACGUUCUUGUAGUAUUGUACUCAUGGUUGAAGAUAGCACGGUAGUUAGGUGAGAAGUUACUCAAUGAAUAAACAAAUGCUAAAGAUUGAGACUAAAUAAAAAUACCCUUAUGUACACAUAGAAUUUAUAAAUUUAGAAUGCUUAUAGCCAAACAUGACAGUUGCCACACACUCCCUGUGUUCCUUGUUACAAUUUAUUUUUGAAUUAUCUAUACCCAACAUUGUAUAACUAUCAAAAAGUUUUAAAUAAACUUUGACGAGAAUAAGCGCUAUCAUGACAUUAUCAUUAAUAAUUCAAUGAAAAAACUUGAUGUUCAAAAUUUUAGAUAGAUUUAGUAGGAAGUAAGUGAAAGUUAGGGGAGUUAGCGAAAACCUAGAGCAUGUAAUAAACUAGAGUGGAGGGAGUAUUUGUUGAACUAUAGCUAUUGAUUCGAAUUAAUUUACAUCAAGCUUGUCAAAGUUAACUUGUUUCCAUAUAGAAUAGACAAUGACAAAUUUUAUGCAACUUUUCUUCCUUCCACUACCUACAAUACGAGUCUAAGCUUCAAUAUACAUACGAAGAGGACCGUGGCCAUCCUCCUAGCUAUCUUACAUAUAAGUUAGAGCUCAAAGGCAUAGAUUCUUUCAAGCAGAAAGACAAUAUGAUCAAUAAUCUAAACGGUUCUCAGCAAUGCUGCAAAAACCUCAAGAAACGCUUGGCUAAGAUGGGGUCAGGAUUGAUUUUAUAAUACUCCCCCUUUAGUACCACAAUAUGCACAAGUCUCAUUAAAAACUCACCCAAAAACCUAGUGGGGAAAAAAGGCUUCAAAGAAAAGAGAACAUUAUAUCCAUAAUUGGGCAAAUAGUUGUUGCAAGAUGCUAUUUGAAAACGCCUGCUGUAGUCUAUAGGCCUACAGAGCUGGAUGUUCGAAUCCCAUAGGAGUAAGUGCUGGGAGGAACUGUGGAAUAAAAACAUUAGGAGCAAGUGAGCACUCGGCAAAUAUCUCGGUAGCCAUUGUUGUUUGAACGUUGCUAGUUCAUUUUAUUUGGUAUGUUUCUAAUGCUCUCAAUGUUGUGGCGAUGGGAUAACUACUGAUUCAAGGCCUAUUUACAAAAAUAAGGGCUCAUGUAUAUCUAUUUAGAUAUUGACAUUUGUCAAACAACAGAUAAGCUAUAUAUGAUAUGGCACUUAGUCAAUUUUGACAUUUAGUUAUCAAUUAGGCUGGUAAGCUUAAUCAUUCGGACUAGGCAAAAAUUUUGGGCUAAGGAUAUUCAAUAUGGCUAAAAUAUUUAAAAAGAACAACUUCAAUUCACUCCUAAUCCAAACGAGGGAAAAACCUUUUCAUGGACUUUGUUACUAUUCCUUUUUUAUUUAUGAAGGAAUUAAUUGUAUGACUGUGAAAUAAUGACUGCAGUUGUUGUGCUCACUGAAAGAGCAAGGAGCGCAAGGAGGGCAAAUAUCAUGGGCUCCAAAUAUUUCCUUACAUGUUGUAUUAUAGGGUCAUGCACAAUUUGGGUUCUAGCAAAAAACAUAUGCACCAAAUAUUUACUAAAAACAAUAACUAAGAGGUAAGACUUCGCGCGAACAACUUUGCACACACAUAUAGGUUUACUCAUGAACUUAUAUUAUGUUUUGCUUGGUAUAUGUGCACCUGAUUUGAGUGUUCACGGUCAAAGCAUAUGUGCCAAUCACUUUCUCAAAAGAACAUAUCACAGAUUUAAGUACUCAACUACAAGCACGUACAGUCACAUCUAUCUUAUAAACACACAAGCACACAUCCAAACAAGAACAUUCAAGCGGUUCGAGCUGGCACAUCUUUGGCUUGGUGAAGUAUGCGGUAUUGUCUACAUAUUAACCAAGCAUGCAUCUUUAAUUUUGAUUUGAUGUUUUCAAAUGAAUAUACAAAGAACACUCUUAAGAAAUUGACUCAAAUUAAUUCUCAAACAAUAUAUUGAUUAUUUAUUGGAAGUUGCACACGCCGAUAUAUAUGAGACCUUUGUUAUGAAGUACAACUCAUAUGUAAUCUAGAAGAUGGCACUUCCAACGAUGGGUUGCUGCCAUGAAAAGGCAGGGUUCAUCAAAGAUAUCUGGUUGAAUGGCAACAAUUGUUGCUGCUGCAGGAAGGCGGCAGCCAAUGGGUUAGCAGCUACCACUGGAUUAACACGAAGCAGCUGUUGUUGUUGCAGGUAUGCGGCGGUGUUCGUCACAGCGAGUUGGUUGAAUGGAAGCAGCUGUUGUUGUUGCAAGUAGGCGGCCGGGUUCACCAAGGCUAGUUGACUGAGUGCUGGUAGGAUUUGUUGCAGCUGUUGUUGUUGCAAGUAUGCAGCAGCAUUGGCCGCAACCAGUGGGUUGUAUGCAAGUUGUUGUUGUUGCAGGUAGGCGGCAGGGUUUGCCAUGGCUACCUGACUGAUCACUGGCAGGACCUGUUGUAGUUGUUGUUGCUGGUAUGCAGCAUUGUUCACCAGAGCCAGUGGG